rnacentral:lncRNA from 1 species
CAGUUCUUACUUUAUAGUUGUCUUGCUGCUAUAGUAGAUAUUCAUGUAUGCUUUCGGUUCUAGUUACAGUAGCGGUAGCCAUUAUUCAGUCUAGUUCUUACUUUCUUUAAGUUUAUUGCUACUGUAUUUAAUAUAUCUGCUCAUUACCUUAUACAUCUCUUUUGUUUACUAUUGUUCCUACUGUAUUUCCACUGACCCGUGUUGUUGUAUAGCUCUUCCUGAUCCGGUGAGUACUCCUCGCCUUCUUCGGCUUGCGGUACCCACUGGGAGGGGAGACAUGUUUACAUGUUCUCACCUCCCCCACCAUUUUUCAGGUAUCGCGGGCGAUGAUUAGUGGGACGAGACGUGAGGUACGUGUGUAGCAGUCGAUAGAACUUCCGACUCAGGUUAUUUCGAUUUAGUUAUUACCCUUAUUAUUUCUGUUGAUUUAUAGCUUAGUCGGUUUACAUGGUUCAGUUUUGUGUUAUUAUCUGAAUAUCUGAGUUUUCAGUUGGUUUUGGAAUGUAAUAAAGGAUUUGUGUUUUCUUGAAAUAAAAAUAGUUUUCUACCCCUCGUGGUAGCGUUUUAAAAAGAUAAAAGUUCCCGUGUAGGGAACAGUUUUCAAAGGGUUUUCUGUGAUUUUGUAUCUUAGUAUUUUAAAACAUGUUUCUGUGGUUGGAAACAUUUUAACUGAUAGAUGUGAAUUUAUGUUUAAAUAUUGAGUGAAAAAAUGUGAAUCUGUGGUGAAUGGUGUAUGAAUAUAUAACUGUGGUUAUUUGUAUGUUCAUCUGGUUGUGGUUGUAUCAUGUUUGAACUCUUGUACUUGUGCGACGCCGUGCAAAUACAGGGGAGACUUUGUCCGUGUGAACCGUGGAUCUCCUGUAUUUGUGGCGGAUCUGGCAUACCUUGGGGUCAGGUUUUCAAAAAAAAAAAAAUUCAGACGCUUUUCCGCUAUGCUUUAAACUAAAAAGGGACCCCGGGGCGUGACACUCUCUCUCCCUCUCUCUCUCUCUCUCUCUCUCUCUGUGUCCCUCACCCCAAGUCCCCAAUUAAUAGGGUAAUAGAACGCAGCCACCACUCACCACCAAGCUUGUUGGCUCUAUUGCCCACCUCGUGGGCUGCUAUAACUAAACUUGUUGGCCAACGUCGCCCCAACGUUGUCCGCUGCCGUGGCCAAAAUCGUCCCAGCGCCUCAACCUCGGCGGCCACUGUCGCGAACCUCGUCAGCCACCGUCACCGCAACCUCGACGCCACCAUUGCUGACCUCAACCGCCGCUACUGCCGCAGCCUUGACACGGCCGCCGACGUUGCUCUUCGAUCUCUUUACACCGACUAAUUUGAUUUUUUAAUGUAAGAAAAUUUUAAUACUUUUAUUUGGAGUUUUUUUUAUUAAAUUUUAGUUAAGCACUAAUAGGAUCGUAUGACUUCAGAUACUCUGUAAUGCACCCUGUAUAAGCUAUUCGACUGUCAUAAUUUUGUAAUUAUGCCAAAAGUAUCUUACUUUUUGAAAUCUUUCAUACUCUUCUUGGGUAUUCUUGGCAAUUUCAGUUUGUUCUUCUAGGACAACUUGCAAUCUUGAAAUCUAACAUUAAAAAAAACACAGAGUAAAGAAAGAAAAUACUGCAAUGAAUAAUACAUCACAUGGAGUGCAAACAAUUAAUGUUGAUAACAUGUUGAUGAACAUUAUGGAGAUUUAUAGUCAAAUUAAUAAAAUAGUAGUAGAAGUGCACCUCUGUUAGUAGAACUUUCUUAGGCAUAUUCUUUAGCAUUAUCAAAGAGAAGCAUCGCCCAAGAAGAUAUAGGUAAUAAUUUUUGCUAUGACAUUUAAUUUAGAUUAGGUUGAAUUCUACUCUUUUGUUCUUUGGAACAUUAUUACAAAUCUUUUUAGUUUAAUAUGUGAUAAUUUAUUUUUGUACUUAGAUGUCUUCACGGAUUCCUUCUUCUCAAAAUUCUAUAUCUUCUCCCGCCAUUGAUGAUAUUAUUGCUGAUGACUCACCGAUCGCUGUCGAUGAGGAGUGCAGAGAUGAUGGAGAUAAUGACUAAUUGAUGAAUGAGAAGGCGAUUGCCACCAGCAGCCCAUCCAAGAAAAGGGGGAGAAAAAAAAUAUCAGAUGUAUGAAAAAACUUUAAAAAAAUUUAGGUAAUAGAGAAAGGAUCAUCUAUUGAGAAAUAUAAAUGCUACAAAUAUCCGACAACUUUUCACAUUCCUAAGUAUGGUACCACUUCUCAAUUUAAAAGGUACUUGAUUGCCUACACACAAAGCUAGAUAAAAAGCAAUGUACUAUAUCUUUUGCUUUCACUUGCACAAUAGUUAUUGAUACUAUUGGAGAGAAAUAUCUUUCCAAAAUUUCGAAAGGAAAAUAUGACCACAAAAUGAUAAGAAAAAUAAUUGCGAAAAUGAUUAUGGCACAUAAGUAUUCGUUUAGUAUAGUUGAGCAUGCAUAGUUGUUACGACAAAACCGAAAAGAUCUAAUUCGUCAGGCGUGAAAGUAGCAAGAAGAAUAGAGAAAUAGAGAAGAAAAUAAAGAACACAAUGUUUACGUGGUUUGGCCACUGGCCUACGUCCACGGGCGAAGACGGAGCAAAACUUUAUUACUGUCGAAGGUGGAAUACAAAAUUAUAUAUCUCUCCCAAAAGACCCAAAUCAGAAAAUAUAACCAAAAAGCACACCACGAUGAACGGGCGAAUUACUCAAGUCAUGUCCGUGCAACCGGAUUACACGGCUCGGCCUCUCACCAACACCCUUGUUCGACUUUCGCACCCAAUAUUUGGCCCGGCUCUCUCCCCGUCAGAUGCACCACGAGAGCUCACGCGCCAGCCUUAUGGAAGAGCUCACGACGGGUUGGCUUGAUUGGAACUUAAUUAAUUAGACGUGGCUUUUUCUCUCUCGCUCUCCCUGAGAAAGGAUUGGAUAUAUAUAUAUAUAUAUAUAUAUAUAUAUAUAUAUAUAUAUAUAUAUAUAUAUAUAUAUAUAUAUAUAUAUAUAUAUAUAUAGAGUGUGUGUGUGUGUGUGUGUGUGUGUGUUUUAUGCUCAUCUCCUCCCUGGGGACAUUGAGACACAAAAAAGAAGAGAAAAAGGAGAGAGAGGAGUGUUAGUAGAUGGCACAGAUUCUUGAGUGAUCUGAGCUCUCACCAAUCAGCCAAANAUAAUUCACAUGUAAUUCUAAUAAUCUAAAAUGAAUCCUCAUAAUCCAUACAAAAAAAUUGAUAAAUAAUGAUAAUAAUUUGAAAAUAGUGAAUGAUUUACCGCUUUCUAAAGAUGGUGAACGAUUCAACCGAUUUUUUUAUAUUUGUCAAACAUGCAUUGAGUUUGCAAGAAGAAGAUUAGUUGGCCAAAUAAAAUGUUAAAAAAAUUAUUUGGCUAAUUAGAAAUUUUUAUAAGAUUAUUUUUUAAAAAAGUCAAUUCUACAAGGAGCAAAUAAUACUAAUGGUACACAUAAAAACGGAGUGUAAAUCUUAUAUCCAUCACUCAAGGUUUAUAUUGGAUUCUUGUUUUGUCUAUAUAUAUAUAUAUAUAUAUAUAGAGAGAGAGAGAGAGAGGAUGCAGCCUAAUUAAAUUAGAACUCCCAGUAUGACUCCAAAACCAAUCCUAUAAUUCCUAGGAAUCAAAAAAUACCAAAUAGAUCCAGCCUACCAAAUUGACAUGGACUAAAUCUAAAUCCUAUUUUAAUUAGGAUAAUUAUAAUUUGAGUUCUUUUAAUUUUGCUCCACAAAAUUUUAAGCCGCAUCACAAAAUAAUUUGGAUCGAGACAUAUUUAACAAUAGUUUAAUGUGUUAUUGAAAGUUUUGAAUCCUAAUUAUGAAAAAAUUUCUAGAAAAAUUAUAAAGAAUAAUUGUAUGAAAGUUUAUGACAAUAAAAAAAAUAAGCUAAAGAAGAUGCUUAAAAGUGUUGGAAUGAUAAGUUUAACAUCAAAUACAUGGACAUCCAACCGAACAAUUGGUUAUAUGUGUGUUUGACUGCUCAUUUUAUAGAUUCUGAAUGAAAAUUACAGAAGCGUGUCAUAACUUUUUGUGAGUUGGAGCCUCCACAUAUGGAGGUUGUCAUUGCUGAUAAUAACGUUGAAUGACUACUUAAUUAGGGCAUUGAGAACAAGAUAUCCACUAUAACCUUGGAUAAUGCCUCCUUUAACGAUGUGACGAUUCGAUUUUUAAUGGAUAAUUUUGUUGUUAGAGGAAGAUUUUUUUUUUAAGCGAAUUAUAUUUCAAGUAAGAUGUUGUACUCAUAUCUUAAAUUUAGUUGCUCAAGAUGGGCUCGAUGCAAUUGAAAAAAUUAUUGAAACUAUUAGGAAUAGUAUUGUUUACUUGAAAAAAAAGCCUCACACAUCUCCACAAAUUUGGUGAAAUUGCUCGACAACUUAAUAUCUCUACAACAAAAGGAUUGGCAUUAGAUGUUGCAACUCGUUGGAAUUCUAUAUACAUUAUGUUAGAUCAUGCCUUUACAUAUAAAGCCGUUUUCCAACAACAUGCAACUAGAGAUGCAAAUUAUAAAUGGCUUCCAUCUCAAAGUGACUGGAUGAAAGCUCAAAAAGUUUUUGACAUUCUUGAAAUUUUUUAUGAAAUGAUAAACAUCUUCUCUGGUUCACUUUAUCAUACAGCAAAUCUUUUUCUUCCAGAAAUAAAAAAUAAAAGAACAGCUAAAUCAGAAAUUUAAAUGUGAGGAUGAAUUUUUGAAAAACAUGGUUGUUGAGAUGCGAAAAAAGUUUGACAAAUAUUAGGGUAAGUGUAAUAUAUUGAUGUCUAUUGCAACUAUUAUGGAUCCUGGUUACAAAAUGAAUCUUAUUAAGUUUUGCUUUCUUAAAAUUUACCCUCAGAUUGAAUUUGUUGAUCAUAUUCUAAAAGUUCAGAAAGCAUUAUUUAAUAUAUAUGAAAUUUAUGUACUCGAGCAAGUCUUAAAGUACCUACACAUGAUGUUGGAGGACCAAAUUUAUCAAAUGAUGAAAUUGGUUAAGAUUUAUCUAAGAAGACAAAAGUUAAGACAAAAGAAAGAGUUGUAUUUGAUUUAUUCUUGGAGACAGUUGAUACAAUGAAAAUUAGAAAAUCAGAGUCGAAGAUUUACUUGGAAGAGCAAAACGUGAGAUGUGAUGCAUCUACAGACACAACAUUUGAUGUUCUUAAUUGGUGGAAAAUGAACUCUCACAAGCUUUCUAUUCUUGCACAGAUGGCAAAGAAUAUUCUUUCUGUACUAAUUACCACGGUGAUACAGAAUAUGCAUUUAGUGCUGGUGGAAGAGUUCUUACGAAUUACUAUAAUUCACUAUCCACUCUUACUGUAGAGGCCCUAAUAUGUGAAGGAAGUUGGAUUCGCGAUGCUUCAAAACUACAACUAAAAUCUCCCAAUGUAAGUUAUUAUAUGUUUUUAAUCUUGAAUUUUAUAAUUUACUAUUCAUUACUAGUGUUUUAGAUAAUUAACUAUAAUGGCUAAAUUUACACUAUGAUUAUCUAAAUGAAGAGAGUCUAAUCAUUCAAAUUCCCGAAGUUGUGGAUCCUUAGCUUACUUAUUUCUCUUUUGUAAGGUGGAUAAUUUUAAAAAUGCACAUAUUACAUACAUUUUAUUACUUUUUAAAUUAUUUUUUAUGUAAACUAACUUUUAUUAUGUUUUUUUUGUGCCAGAUGGAGUGAUUUUGAGUUGAAGACUUAACGUUGUUUUCUAUACUUUAUUAUGCCACCGUGAUGGCUCUUAAUACCUAUAUGCAUUUGAGAUUAAUGUUAAACUAGUGUAGAGUCCGCGCUUCGCAGUAGAUAGUCAAUUAAAAUAUAUAAUUAUAAAAAUUUUAUAAUUAAAAAAUUAUUUAGUACAUUAUAAAAAAUAAUUUUUUUAUUAAUAUUUUCUUAAUUUUUGAAUAGUCAUAUUAUUUUAAUAAUUUUAUUUAAAAAUUAAUUAAAUUUAAUAGUUUAAAAAUUGUUCUAUAAAUAAUAUUUUUAACUAAAAAGUUAAAAAUCUGAAUACACCACUUAUCUCUAAGUUAGUAUAUUUUAUGUGAUUCUCACAACUAAAUUUCGUAAAAAAUAAAAUUAAUUUAAAUUCCAUCAAUCUUUCUUUUAUUUUUUAAUAUGUAAUUUAUAUUUAAAUGCUCAAUAUUAUAAAAUAAAAAUUUAUAUUUAACACAAACGGUCUAAAAUAUUAAAAAAUUAUUUAUAUAUUUUAAAUUUUAUAAUAAAAAAUAAAAAAUUAGAUUGGAUUUUUAAAAAAUAUAAAUUAUUUUGUAUAUAUGAAGAGAGCAAAAAAAAUUAAGAGCGGAAAAAAAAAAAAAAUCUCCUCCCCUCCCCGAUGGGCUCCAUCUCCACCGGGCCCACCCUGUGCGCUCGCGCCCACGCGAGCGUCCGCGCCAGUUGGCCCGAGCGCGAGCAUCUACGCCAGUUGGCCCGAGCGCGAGCGCCCGCGCCGUCUCGUGCCCGACUGGCCCGCGUCGUCUCACGCCCGCCAGCCCGCCCCGCCGCCAUCUCGCAAUUCCCCCAUCUCUGCCACGUGGCUUAAGAAAAAUAAGGAUUCAUUGUAUUUACUAAGCCAUAACAGUCGCAGCCAGUCGCCAUCACCUUAGCGCCACCGGCUGUUGCGUCAUCACCUAAGCUGCAGCUGCCGUCGCCCAUCGCCGUCGCCGCGAAGGCCGGCCAAAUCCCUGCACGAAAAGGUUUUCAAUGAGAAGAGAGGGGGGAAAUAGGAGGGGCAUAAGAGAAGAGAGAGAGUAGGGAAGGGAGAGAAAAGAGUGGAGGACAGCUGAAGUGGGGAAUUAGAAUAGAGAGAAUUGGGACAGCUAGAGGAGGAAGGAGAAAGAGAGGGGGGCCUUCUUAGGGAAGAGAGAGAAAGAGAGGAGAUGAGAGGGGAAGAGAGAGAGUGCUAGAGAGACAGGGAGAGAGAGAGGAGAUGGGUUGACGAAAUGGGUUGGGGGAGAGAGAGUGGGAGAGAGGAAGAGAGAUGGUAGAGAGAGAGUUUCAUAAAGAAAUCUGGGAGUCCCAAGUAUUCAUAAAUCGCCAUGUGGAAUAGGAUAAUGUCCUCACGCACCACGUGUACCUGUGUUCUCUCAAAUUAAAUAGUACAAGUAACAUCACCAUCUCAUGGUUGCCCGCAAGCGGGCCGUCCAAACUCCGUGCAUGCAUCACAGAUGUGAGGGGGGGUAGUUCUAGGUAGUUGCCCAUAUAGGGACCCUCCCCUCCCAAAUAAUUGGCUGUGCAGGGCCCAAUCUCCUUGUUGCCAAGUAACAUCACCAUCUCGCCAAAAUUUUUUUAAAAUGUCAAGAACAUGCAGGCAAAAAGUGAAUAAAUAAUGUAAACAGUCAAAGUUAUCCAGUGUAGAUUAUGGAAAUAAAUACGUCGCAGUUAAAGCUAGCAUGUACGAUCAUCCAUGUGAAAAGGACAAAUGAAGCACCAAAGGAGGAGCCAAGAGCGGUUGCCCGCUUGGCGGGCCGUCCAAACCUGCUUAGCAAUGACAAAGCCAUUUUUUUUUCACUUGCACAUCAACAGGGCGUAAAAAAAUAUUUAAAAAAACCACCAGCAAUCUAAAAAAACUGCUCUGCAACGGCAAAGCUAUUUUUUUUCUCACUUGCAUAUCAACAGGGCCUUGAAAAAACUUAAAAAAACUACCAAGGAUUAAAAAAAAACAAACGAAAGAUCAGAAAAAAUUAUAAAAAUAAAAUAAAAUGGUAGGAAUCAAACUAAACAUGCAGGAAAGGGAUGUCUGUGAAUAGGACGCCCAAAAUCCCAAAAAAAAAGAAAAAGAAAAUGACAAAGCCUCUUAGUAUAUUCAAAAAACAAGAAAACGAAAAUCAAUCAAAAUAAGAAAAAUAUCCUUAGAAAGGCGGAAAUUUAUAGGCACCUUAGUAACAAAAGACUGUAGCAAAUUUAUGGUGUGCAGGAGAUUAAACAACAGACUGUAGAAAAGUUACGGUGUGUAAGAGAUUAACAGAUAUGUAACAAUAAAAUGUCAAUUUUUAUCUUUUAUGCUUCAAAAAGACUUUUAUCCCACCUUUAUAUUUGUGUACAGAAACAAUCUAUACUGUGCUGAAAAGGCUAGCCUAUUUAUAGAAAAGCUAUAGAAGGUCAGAAGAGAAGAGAAGAGGAAGACUCAAGCAACGUCCACCAUCUCUCUCAGUAGAUUCAAAAAAAUUAAGAAAAAAUAUAUCUAUCCCAUCGUUGCUGUCGAAUCAGUAGGCUGGCAAAGCUCUCAGAGGAAGACGGAGAAGAGAAAGAAGAUAGUAAAGAGUAGCACCGGCGACCAGGGGGGAGAGGAGGUAACAGCGACCGUUGGAUCGGCGAGCGUAGCAACCUGAAUCAUUGGAUCGGCCAAGUAGGGUAGGUGUAGGCGACCGAAUCAUGAUGCCUAACGAUGGAUAGCUCAGGCAUCGAAAGAGCGGAGGGAAGAGAGGAUGGAGGUGAGAGAGGAGAGAGGAGAGAGAGAGAGAGAGAGAGGCGGUGAGAAAGAGCGAGGCGUUGAGAGAGGGAGAAAGAGAGGCAAUGAGAGAGAGAGAGAGAGAGAGAGAGAGAGAGAGAGCGACACUUCGGGUAUUGGAGGGGCACGCGCAAGGAAUGCGCGGAGGGGAGGAGGAAGGAAACCACCAAAAUAGACAGCGCAGAUUGAGCGCCUGUUAGAAAAGAGAAAGGGCAUGUUUCGGGCACCUUUGGAUUAUUAGAGCGCUGUGGUAGACCGUUGGAUCUGGAGCAAAAGAAGAGGCAAUGAGAGCCUAGCCUGCCACGUGACUGAAUAGGAGUCUCAAAUAGUAAGAUUGUAUAGAUAAGAUUUUUAUUUUUUAUAUUGAUGUAGUUAACUAUUUGAUGUUAUUACUUUUAUGAUACUAUAUUUAACUAAAUAUGCUUAGUUAAAUUUCUUAUCUAAAUAUGCUUAGCUAACUUUUCAAUAUCGAAAAUUUUUAGUUUGAUAUGAUUUUAUUACGUUAUAGUAGAAUUGAAUAACAUAGGUUGUUUGUUUGAGAAAAUAUACAAAAUAUUUUUAAGGUAAAAAAAAAUAUUCUUUAUACAAAAUUUUUAUGGAUAGUUCCAUCUAAUAUUUGUUUAUAUAAUUUAUUCAUUUUUUGACUAUAUAGAUAAAAAGGAAGGGAUAUCGAAGGCGAAAGAGAAGAUAUUCAUGGCCGGAACAAAAAUACAAAUGCAAAUUGACAUUCAAGGUUAGAUAUCCAACUCAAAUUAUUUUUCUUCAAAUUAUAAUAUCAUAUUUCAUGCUGACUAUUUGGUAUUUUAAAUUAUUAAACAUAUUUUUGCAUCAAAUUGUUGAUAAUAUUUUAUAAAAAUUUAACUAUUGAUCAUAUCAUAUGAUGUCGAGAAUUUUAAACAGCUCGUUUAAGACUCGAGCUCGCUCGACUCGAAAUUAGGCUCGCUCAAAAUAUGCUAAUUAUUUGAUAUUUUAAAUUAUUAAACAUAUUUUUGCAUCAAAUUAUUGAUAAUAUUUUAUAAAAAUUUAACUAUUGAUCAUAUGAUGUCGAGAAUUUUAAACAGCUCGUUUAAGACUCAAGCUCGCUCGACUCGAAAUUAGGCUCGCUCAAAAUAUGCUAACUAUUUGGUAUUUUAAAUUAUUAAAAAUAUUUUUGUAUCAAAUUAUUAAUAAUAUUUUAUAAAAAUUUAACUAUUGAUCAUAUGAUGUCGAGAAUUUCAAACGGCUCGUUUAAGGCUCGAUGUCACGGCCUUAGCGUUUCUGUUCGCAAAGNGAUUAAGAACAUAAGUAGUGUUAAAGUAACCUACUUGCAUGAUUCCAGAUAUUGCAUAUUGCAUUUCGUGAGGCAGGACAUGUAUUUCAAUUGAAUAUAUAUCUGUUGUAUAUUGUUGAUCUAACAUGUUGCAGUGCCUCGUUAGACCUGUUGGCUGAGCUUGUUCUCUUGGGUGGCUAAACCCACUGAGGACUAUGGACAAUAGUCUCACCCCCGUGUUGCUGUUUUGGGGGUACAGGUACACACGUGUGCGGCGCGGCGGCGCAAGGCGAGGACGUAGUUCUGCAGAUAGCGUCCUACCCAGAGACUGAGAUAGCAGUACCCGAGUUGGUGGUCUAGCUUGGGAGGUUUAAAGACAAGAACAAACUUUUGUUUAAGUUGUAAAAGAAUCUGUAAUAAUUAUGAUUGUAUUUGGAGGUUGAUUGUAAAAGAAAAAUUAUGUUGUAAAAUGCAUCUAAGUUGAAUGCUGUAAUAACUUAGUAGUUUAUGUUUUUGAUAUUCCUUAUGCAAUCUAUGGUUGAAUAUCUGUUCCUAUUUGGAACCUCUCGUAUUGUUUUGAUUGCGACGCCUUGAACGUACAGGGGAGACUCUGUCCGUUCGGCGGUCUGUCGGCGGCGCCGCGACCCGGCCAAAUAGGCGAGUGGUCGCGGGUCGUGACAGUGUGUCCGCCUUCUCUCAACUAGCCUCGCCGAAUGGGAGAUUCUUCCACUUCACCAAGUACUUAGGAUUCGGCACGACCCCACGUCGCCGAAUGAGUCGAGUGUCCAGGAUGGACUCCGCUUCUUUGUCGAACGAAGUCGCUAUGGUUGGAGGCGCUCGCUGCGACACUCAUCGGCUCGGAUCCUCCGCGUCUUCGUUGUACAGCUUCAACCUGCUGACAUGAAAAACAGGGUGGAUCCUGAGGUUUGCGGGCAGCUGCAGCUUGUAGGCCCCCUUGCUCACACGCUUGACGACGGUAUAUGGGCCUUCGUACUUGCGCAGCAGUCCCUUGUGCACCUUCCGCAAGGCUUUGAACUGCUGCGGAUGAAGCUUGACCAUCACGCGGUCGCCCUCGGCAAACUCCCGAGGCUGUCGCUUUUCGUCAGCCCACUUCUUCAUCCGUCGUGCUGCUUUCUCCAAGUUCGCCCUUGCGAUUUCACCCUUUUCCUGCAAGUUAGUAGUAAACUGAAGAGCAACUGGGCUGCGGAACUGCUCUCCCGCAGCAGCCGUGUGAGGGGCAAGUGGUUGUCGCCCGAUCGCCAACUCGAAAGGGCUGCAGCCUGUAGACUCGCUGCGCCGCAAGUUGUAAGCAAACUGGGCUACAUCGAGAUGAUGCACCCAAUCCUUCUGAUUGGCACUCACAUAGUGCCGCGAAUACUCCUCCAACAGAGCGUUCACCCGCUCAGUUUGCCCGUCGGUCUGUGGAUGCCAACUGGUGGAGAAGAGCAACUCCGACCCCAAGAUUUUGAACACCUCGGUCCAAAACUUGCCAGUGAACCUGGGGUCGCGGUCGCUCACGAUGCUCGUGGGGAUCCCCCAAAGCUUGACGAUGUGGCUGACGAAGAGGCGUGCCGCUUCUUCAGCCGUGCAAUCGGCCGGCGCAGCAAUGAAGGUCCCGUACUUGGAAAAACGAUCAACCACCACCAGAAUGGACCCAAGCACCCCCACCUUUGGCAAGGCGGAGAUGAAGUCCAUAGAAAUGCUCUCCCACGGACCGCUAGGCACAGGUAAAGGCUCGAGGAGUCCGCCAGGUCGCUGGUACUCAACUUUGUCUUGUUGACACACCAAGCAGGUUCGCACGUAGGCCUCUCCACGUCUUCGUGCAUCCGCGGCCAAAAGUAGACGGCCUCGAGCAACGCCAGGGUUCGCUUCUGACCUGGGUGGCCCGCCCUCUUGGAGUCAUGGCACUCCUUGAUGAGCUCGCGGCGAAGGUUGCCCCACUUGGGCACGUACACCCGUCGUUCAGCCAAAACCUUCGCGUUUUGCCCUCCUUGACAAGCUGUACUAGAUUUUGAGCGAUAGGGUCCUCGUUGGUUCCUGAACGAAGUCGAUAGCGGAGCGUUCCUUGAAGUUGCCACACGGCUGCAAGCUUAGCCUUGCGGCUGAGAGCAUCAGCCACGCGGUUUUCCUUCCCGGGCUUGUAUUGCAUCUCCAUGUCGAACUCCGCCAAGAAGUCCUGCCACCUUGCCUACUUAGGCGACAGCUUCUUUUGCGAUUGGAAGUAGCUCGUGGCGACGUUGUCGGUGCGCACCACAAACUUGCUCCCGAGCAAAUAGUGCCGCUAGGUUCGCAAGCAAUGCACCACAGCGGUCUUUUCCUUCUCCUGGACGGUGUAACGCCGCUCGGUGUCGUUGAGCUUGCGGCUCUCAUAGGCGAUGGGGUGCCCAUCCUGUACGAGGACACCGCCAAUGGCAAAGUCAGAGGCAUCAGUAUGUACCUCAAAGGUGCAACUGCAGUCGGGUAGUCGCAGCACUGGAUCCUCCGUCACCGCUCGCUUUAGGUCCUCGAAUGCCUCCGCGCAUUGAGAGGUCCAAACCCACGAGUGGUUUUUCCUCAGCAGAUCCGUCAACGAGGCUGCUCUCACAGAGUAGCCAGCAAUGAAUCGACGGUAGUAGUUGACGAGCCCAAGGAAAGACCGCAACUCGGACACCGUCGUUGGGGUCUCCCAUUCGCAGAUGGCUCGCACCUUCCGCUGGUCCAUGCGAAUCAAGCCCUGGCCUAUCCAGUGGCCAAGGAAGUGCACCUCUUCUUUCGCGAAUAUGCACUUCUCCUUUUUGACGAACAGCUGGUUAUCCCGCAGCACUUGGAAGACGGUUCGCAAGUGCUCGAUGUGCUCCUCCAAGGUGUUGCUGUAUACCACGAUGUCGUCGAGGUACACCAUCACAAAGCGAUCGAGAUAGGGAUGGAACAGCUUGUUCAUAAGUGUGCAGAAGGUCGCUGGCGCGUUCAUCAAGCCGAACGGCAUGACAAGGAACUCAUAGGCCCCGUACCUCGUCACGCACGUGGUCUUCUCCUCGUCUCCUUCCGCAAUCCGCACUUGAUAAUACCCAGAGCGAAGGUCGAGUUUGGUGAAGUACUUUGCUCCGCCCAAUUGGUCGAAGAGAUCUGCAACCAAAGGAAUAGGGUAUUUGUUUUUGACUGUUACCUUGUUGAGCGCUCUGUAAUCGAUACAAAGCCGCAGGCUUCCGUCGCUUUUGCACUGGAACAAAACUGGUGCUCCAUAAGGUGCCUUCGACGGUCGGAUGAAGCCCGCAUCGAGGAGCUCCUUCAACUGCUUUUGUAGCUCCUCGAGCUCUGGCGGGGCCAUUCUAUAUGGCGCUUUCGCUGGCGGUUUGGCUCCUGGCUCGAGCUCAAUAGCAUGAUCCACCUCCCGCCUAGGUGGAAGUUGCUUCGGCAACUCCUUUGGCAUGACAUCCUGGAAAUCUGCCAAGACCGCCCCAAUCUCCACAGAAAGGCCCUCCUCGUCGAGGCCCUCGUCGCUCACCUCGCGGAUGGCCGCAAGGUAAGUCAUCUCGCCACGGUUCACACCCCUUCGCAACUGCAACGCCGAGAGGGUUGGUGGGUGCUUACCGGUUUUCUCCUGACUCGCACUGUAGGAUCAUAGCAUGGGGCGCCAUCGUCAUGAUGCUUUAAGGCCCCAAGGAUGUGCAUCGGGACGCUUCGCACGGAAAGCCACAGAAGAGUCUCACUUGCCUAGUAUACUUGGAGUCGUACGAUGGAUGCGGCGGUGAGUUUGCGGUUGCCUCUCCAAGGUCCCACCGCAUGGCCACGCCCUGGCCACGCCACCAGGCAACAGGUUGCGCUUCAGAGUUGACGGCCUUGAUCCUGCUAGCAUCCUUCUCAAGAGAGAAGGUGUAAGAUACCAGACUUCUAAAAAACUAUAAAGUUUACGGCUAUACAUUUAAAUGGUUCCGGUGAAGUUGCGGUGUGGAAUGUACAUCUACCGGAUUUUAAAUGUAAAAGUGAAAAUAAAUAAAAUAGUAUGAGAUACUAUUUUUAUUGAUUUAGAAAAGUGAAUGUAGGUUGGGAAUGACUGUGCUGAAAUCGGAGCGAAAACAGAGAAUUUAAAAAUUUGUCUGUGUGAAACGGAGGCAUGAAAAAUUAGCAGAAAUGCAGUGUCAGAAAAUUCCGAAAACUGAGAGGAUAGCCAGAAUUAUUUUUAUGAGGCUAGAUUUAAAGUUUCACAUCAUUCUGACACCGGUCAAGGUGGAAAAUAAAAUCCGAUAGUGAUCUGAUAAAGAUUACAGUUCGGUACAGCUUUCAGUGACCAAAUGGGGUCGAAACUGAAAGAUUAAAAUUUCUUUCGUUAAGUUAAGCAAAACCGAACAUGACUAUCAAAUUUGAGCUCAAACGGAUAUUCAGAGGGCUCCGGCGAAAUAUAUCAGAUUUCGAAUUGCCUGAAGUGAAUAGUAUAUGCUACUAUUGGAGUGUUGACUAUAAGUAGAAGCUACUAGGCUUCUUCCUCUUCACAACCGACCACCACCCCACACAAGCACACGUUCAUGGUGUAGUGAGAGAAACCCUCCCUUUUCUCUCUCUAAAUAUCUCUCUCAUCUCUCUAUAUUUCUCGCCCAAAUUCGCGGCGUUGGCGGAGAACGAGCUUGCGAACGCGUUGCGAGCGACGGAUUGAGCUUUCGUGCACCCGUUGGAGCGGCGUGCUUCCGUCUCGGCGUUCACAUUUUGGUAAACUUUUGGGAUUUGGCUGAAUCCUUAACCUUAAGUAUUCUAGUAGUCUCUAAUGAGCAUUCUUAGCAUGUUGCUCUAUUUAAUUUGGAUUAUUUGGAAGUAAUUGCAUGUUAGGGCUCAAAAAUGAGAUUUUGCAAUAUGUGAGGGUUUGAUCUAAAUUGAUCAUGUAUAAACCUAAUUGCUAGGUUUUCUGGCGCGUUGGCGAAGUCGGUUCGGCGAUACGACGAGCGUACGCGAAGAUAUUAAAGAACGAAGCCGUUAAGGUACAGAUUGCCGCAGCUCGCGGCGAAAACUUCCAAAAAUCACGAAAUCGGAACCCUAGCCUCGUGAUAGCGAUAAAAGGUGGGGGGUGUCCAUCCCGAAGCAACCGGGCUUCCUUUUAUGUCUAAGUUAAAUGUAUUGAUCAUAUAUCAACAUUAUGCAUUAUAGGAUGUGUAGAUAGUCGCAUUUCCAUUCUUGCAUGCUUCUUAGUAGUGUAGCAUUGUGAGCUUGACACAUGGACUAGGGGUGCAUGAGGAUUGGGUCUUGUGACAUGGAAUCCUAUAGUGGCAUAAAGAUAAACUUGGAUAUGUAAAUGGCCUAGAAGAGUGACAUUUGGACUAGUGUUAGUACUAUGCAUGAUAGGAUAUUGGAUAGUCGCAUUUCCAUUCUUGCAUGAUCCUGAGUAGUAUAGCGACAUGAGUUUGGCACUUAAGUUAGGAUGCAUGAGAAUAGAGGAGUUGUGACAUAGAACCCUACAGUGGUAAAGUUAAAUGAUGAACUUAAUCUUGUAUUGACAAAGAUUAGAGAACGAGUGGCAUCUAGACAAUGUUGACAACUUGACGAGUGGCAUGACAAGUACUGUAUAGAUGAAAAUACUUGUUGCAUGUUGAACAUAUAGAUGAAAUAGUUCCUAAGUGGAUGUUGACCCUAGUAGCAGGGUAUCCUCUGUGACGAGGAUUUGAUCAUACUCACAUGUCUGUUCAAAGCUUGUAGGUGGUCGCUCCACACAAGCAGUGCACUCCGGAGUUGUCACACGAUAGGGAUAGCCUUAUGGGGUCUCGAGGGAUAGCCUUAUGGGGUCCCGCAGACGGUCUUGGGCGAGUGAGCGGAUCCUCCCCAAGUGAGUCGGGUGAGUGAGCUAAUCCUCACCUGUGAGAUUGAGGUUGGGUUGUGGUAGCUGUGUUGAGUCGGGCGAGUGAGCAGAUCCUCCCCGUUGUGAUUAGAUCGUGAGUCGGGCGAGUGAGCGGAUCCUCCCCCUUGAGACUAGAUUGUGAGUUGGGUGAGUGAGCGGAUCCUCACCCUUGUUAUUGAGUAGAUUGCAUACUAUGUAGUAGUUCUAUGCAUUCUUUACUGUUGAGGCAUAGUAGCAUGUGUAGAUUGCAUACUAUGUAGUUGUUCAUACAUUGGAUUAUUGAGGCAUAGAUCAUAUACUAUGUUGUAGCUCAUUCCAUUGGUUAUUGAAGGCAUAGUAGAAUGUUGCAUAUUACUUUACUAUGUUGCACUUCAAUUUCACAUCUAUCUAUCUAUCUAUCUAUCUAUCUGCAUGUGCCUACUUGGACCUAGUGGGAAGAUCGGCGGAGUCGGCGGCCGAACCCACUGGAAACUAUGUUUAUAUAGUUCUCACCCCACUUUGUUGCAGGGCCUAGCGAGAGAGCACCGGCAGAGGACCGUGAUAAGGGCAUCGCGCCCUAGGUAUAGUUAGCAGCUUCCACUUGCAUUAGUGUACCUUCGUGUACCCCGUGACAUAUGAUGUAUUGUGGGAGGUUGCUUGUGUAUUUUGGAGAUUAUCAUGCAUAUUCAUUUUGGAGAUGUAAAUGUAAUCAAGGAUCUAAAUGUUGAAUGCCUUGUGGAUGUAAUAGCUAGAUGUUACUCUCUUUAUAUCACUCGUUUUAUUACUUGUGUCUUGCUCUUAAGUGUAUAGCACAUGUGGUGCUUCGUAUUGUUCAUGUAUGUUGUAUGUCAUCCUGGGCGACAAAAAUGUACAUGAUCUUGUUGUUGACCCUAGGGCGGACAGGGGAGGUGCUGUCCGUUCGGCGUUUGUUCGACGCGCCCGAACCGGAACAAAUUGGUAGCGGUCUCGGGGCGUGACAUAUACCCUGGAGCGAUGUGGGUGAGCGUACAGAGUUCGGCCCCGAUGUUUUGCGAGAAGCGGAGGAGAAAGUCCGCCUUGCUCGCAAGAGAUUGCUCACGGCGUAGUCGAGACAGCAAAGCUAUGCGGAUAGGCGCCGACGAGAUAUAGAGUUCGCGGUGGGCGACCGCGUAUUCUUGAAAGUUUCACCGAUGCGGGGUGUGAAGCGGUUUGGAGUGCGGGGAAAGUUGAGCCCCCGAUAUAUUGGGCCAUAUGAAAUAUUAGAGCGAGUCGGCACGAUGGCCUACCGACUUGCUUUGCCGCCGAAGCUUGCAGAUGUACACAAUGUGUUCCAUAUCUCCAAUCUCUGCAAGUAUAUUCACGACCCCGAGCAUGCAAUGCUAUGUGAGCCACCGGAGCUUCAAGGAGACUUGAGCUAUGAAGAGUUUCCGGUAGAAAUUAUCGCCCGAGAGGUGCGAAAGUUAAGGAAUCGAGAAAUCCCCUGUAACAUGCCGAACUUCUAUAAUUAUGAAGUUUUUAUGGUGUAUGUUAGCUUGGAAAGCUGUUAGAAUGGUUACGGUGAAGUUCGGAAGCAUUCGGUUGCUUCAAUGCGCGUAGGGCGCAAAAACGGGGCCCGAAAGGCUAUGAUGGACCAUGGACUAAAUCUAACAAGGGCAUGGAUGAAAAGAUGGUUUAAACAUGUUCGAAAACAUGUUUGGAGAGUCUCGAAUCGAUUUGAAACGAAUCGGAGGUCAUACGAGCGAAAACGAGCGAAAACGGACCCAAAGGCUGAAAAUGCUGAAAAUGCUGAAAAUUUGGCUAAGUCUGGAAUGCUGAUUUUCUGGCCUUUCGGGGACCGGUCUCUCACUGCCUGGGACCGGUGCCAGCACCCGAAAAUGCCCAGUUUGGGCUGGGGCAAUGUGUUAAACAUAGAGGGAUGUGGGGGGUUAAGUGCAAAUGUGUAUAUAUGAGUUUAUAUGUUGGAGAGAUGAGGUUUAGCCCUCAUUUCUCACCCUCCAACCCAACAUUGUUAAGGAUUUUAUAAGUUGGCGAAUUUCGUGAAGUAUUGGACGGAGUCUCGAAGAAUUAGAAGAUGAAGAUUGAAGAAAGAAUUGAAGUUUUGUGAUAAAAAACCCUUGGGAUCUCAAGUAUGAUUAUAAAUAAUUUGUGGUGAAGUUUUUAAAAGAUGUUUAGAAGACUUGAUUUAUAUUUGGAUUGUUCAAACUUAUGUUUUCUAAAAAACUCAGGGGUCGGGGACCGGUCCUUGAUCAGAAGGACCGGACCCAUCAAGCUUCUCUGCGUAGAAGGUUUGGGAGACCAGUCUCUGAUCUUGAGGACCGGUUCCCGUACGUGGUUUUCCUUGUUGCGCAGUGUAAUAUAUCGAAAAUUCGGAAAAUAAAUAUCGAACUUUAGUCAAAUUGACCAAAGUACGAGGACGGUACACUUCGAAAAGUCCGAAGGUGCUAAAAUGAUCGAAAGUGAGUUGUGGAAGGUUUUCGAGAGCUAAAGAAUCAAAUUCUGCAAGACUGCAGAUUUUCAGCUCUCGGGGACCGGUCCCUAAAGGGAGAGACCGGUCCCCGAACACGUAUGAAAUGAGACAGCCGAAAAAUCGGCUAAGUCCUGGAAGGAUAGCUCUCGGGAACCGGUCUCUGCCUGAGAGACCGGUCCCCCAGAGACCGGUCCCAUAAGGAGAGACCGGUUGCACNCCUACGACUAAGUAUGCAAAGGGAAUGACAAAAAGAGAGAGGCAGAAGUUCACUCAAAAAACUAAGUACUACACUACUUAGAAAAGAGAUUACAACCCACACAUACACACACUCUCUCUUGUGUGUUAUGGCCUUAGCCAACCCCACUAUUUAUAGGCCCAAAGAUGCCUUUUCAACUCACCCACUACCACAUAAGUCACUCAUUAUUACAUACAUAAUGAGCCUACAUAAUGAGCCCUCAUAAAUGCCAAAAGCUCAAGAGUCACCCAUAACUCCCAUAAAUUUCAUGACCCUUGAGUUUCCCACAGCGGGUUGGAUUUGGAUCUACUUGCCAACCCGAUUCGACCUGUCUUCAACCCGAACUCGCUAAGCAGAUUUGGGCCAGGGACCGGGCUGCAUAGAAAUUUUUCUAAGUCCCUGACAUCGAGCUCGCUUGACUCGAAAUUAGGCUCGUCGAGCUCGGCUCGAAUUAAUUUCAAGCCUAGCUUGAGUCUAAAUUUAGACUCUGAAAUUAAUUUCCAGCCACAUAUGAGCUGAGGUAAGCUCGCUCGAGCUUGGCUCGUUUCCACCCCAACCUAAACGUGAGCUUGUAGCAUGAUCCUGCAUUAAGAUGCACAAAGUAUAAACAAAGACGCAACCUUACAAGGAAACCACCAUCUUUUACAUAUUCAUACCAGCUGAGUUUUACAAUUGGAGUACAAAAGGAGAACACAGAUGUAGACCUACGUGCCAUAAACAAUUAAAAAAAUGUGCUAACAUCAAUGAUAAAACAAGAAAUAAGCGGUGCAACUGGAAAUAACAGGCAAAACAUGAAAGUCUCAAUCAGAAUUCAUAUACAUCGGUAGGAUGAAUCAACCACGCAUGUAGUUCAAAUCGUACAAUUCAUCACAGACAAACAAGAACUUGGAUCACAUCAAUCAGAAAAACCAGUAUCUUACACACGAAAAAAGGCAAUUUCUACACGAAACAUCAGUGUCGAGGUCAGAUAGUGAAUGAUGAAGACGAGAUAUAAAAUUGAAUAAUGCUGAACGAUUGCUGCUGUACACAAUGAGAAAGCAUUAGAUUCUACUUUACAGAUGAUUUUUCCUCCGAUUUUCUUUUUUUUUUUCCUGGAACCGUAGAUGCACUUCAAUUUCCAGAUGGUUCAAAGGAUGUUGAAUUUGGCUACAAAAUCUACCAGACUAAGCAGACGAAUAAACAGAAAAGAACUAAAGCAAGCUCCGGUGGAUCCAAACCCUUUCAGAUCUCUCCCCUUGAGCUGAUGAUGCCAAUUUAAGUAAAUCGGAGAGGCUUCAAGCAUUUCCGGCUUUCGGCAACUGGUUAAUGAAAAAGCCAUGAUAAGAAAUUAGCAUCUAUAACUGAUGAGUGAACAAGAACGAACCUUUAGCAUUGCCGCCAAUGGAUUUCGACAAGAAAAAUAGGUAAAUUGCACCAGUAUCAUCAAUCCUAGAACAAUUAUUUUGUUCCCCAACCUUCAUAUUGUAACUAUUGGGAAAUUUGCAUUUCAUUGAAAUGUCACCACAUUCAACACUUGACUUGUCAUUUGUGUUUUCAGGCUGCUCUUUCGUGGAUGGUGCUUACUUAUAUGGUGCUUAUGCAGACAUUUCAGGCAAAUUAACAGAGGAAUUAAUGGCCAGGCCAUGAUUCCAAUGGAAUGCAAAGAAAGGUUAGGGCCAAUUUAUGAUAAACAAAAGAUUGGAAUCCAAAAUGAAACCUCAUGAAAAGAUUGGGUGCCGUGGAGCGACAGGAAAAGAAAUCAAACAAGGUGCUAGCAUAGAUGGAAGAAAUUCUAACCUUCUUAGGUACUGGUCUCAUGGUACUUGCCCCGCCUGCCUUAGAUUUAUUGUACUCGAGGGGUUUCAAUAUCUCGAAUGAGCACAAGAGAGAUUCAUCUAUGCUCAACAAAGCACCCGCAUUGUCGAAUUCGCCACAAUAGUUCGGGGCUGAGAAUAUUGUAACUAAUCUCCUUUGUGCAAAGAACUCAUAUCCGUCUUCCACUACCUGAAAGGCUAAAUGUGAGGAACACUUAGUGGUCUUUGAAAAAGUACAGAAAAAAAGGGUUAAAUCACUAAAGAAAACCAUGGACUGUUUCCUAAUAGUUGUUGAUCCCCUAACUUAGGUGCAAAAAGGCCACUACAGUUGUUCUGUGCAAUCUGACCCACUUAGUUUGAUUUGGUGUAAGAGCCUAUCUAAUCUUAGAAAGUUUAAUUUGAUGAACAAAGAAACUCAAAAUUAGUCCACAAAGCUCGAAACAUUGAACAGUUGGUCAGCUUUACGAUACCAAAUUAAACCGUGUGAGCCAACUUGCAAAGAGAAAGGUUGGUGGGUCAUUUUUGCACCAAAUUAAAGUUACGAUCAAACAGCAAUUAGGAAAAAGUUGCUCCAUUUUAUGAUUUCAAAUAUAUAAAAGAAAGGAGAAAAGGGUAAGUUAUCACUAACUUGAUGAGCUCGGCAUAUAAGAUCAAGUUCAUUCUUCUCCAAGAACUCUACAAGCUUAUCGGCACCAAAAGUACAGGAAACUCCUCUAUCACUCGUACCCCAACCUUGAACGUCAGAAUCAGGAUCAGACCAAAGCAAAUCGCAAAGAAGGCCAUAAUCGGGAAUCUCAGUAGGCCUGGUUAUUUCCCUUAAUUGAUCUAAACUAUUCAAUUCUGGCGAAAGGCCACCAUGCAUACACAGUAUCUUUUGAUCAAUUAUUGCUGCAAUAGGCAAGCAAUUGAAGCAAUCACAGAAUAUCUUCCAUAGCCUAACAUUGAACCUUCGUUUGCAUUCAUCGUAAAAACCAUAGACUCUGUUGAUUUUUGCAUCUUCAUGGUUUCCUCUGAGGAGAAAGAUUUUGUCAGGGUACUUGAUUUUGUAUGCCAGAAGUAAACAUAUUGUCUCCAAGCUUUGUUUGCCUCUAUCCACAUAGUCUCCAAGAAAUAUAUAAGUUGAAGUAGGAGGGAAGCCGCCACACUCAAACAACCUCAGAAGGUCUGCGAACUGACCGUGUAUAUCACCUGCAGUUCAUACAACAUGUUAGACUAACAGAUGUUUCUCGCUGAUAAUCAAACAGUAAUAUGCAAGAUUAGCUUCCUUAAAUUAAUAGUAUGCUUCUUACUGCUCUUAAAUGAUUAAGCUGAAAUUGCUGUAAUUAUUUGAACCAAAUUUUUUUAACCGCCAUCGUUAAUUCAAUACGACAGAGAUGAUAAACCAAAAAAUUUUGACCAAAAAACAUGCAUAUGGUGCAAAGAAUCCUAAUUAAUAUAACUCAUGAGAAGGGCAAAGAAUCUGGCACAUCAAAUGAUUAUUCGAUGCUUUACAAUAUUAAAAUGUGUAGUGCAAGACUUUCUGUAACCAGAAUUAAGACGAAUAUGAUAGCUAGAUAAGAAAAACUCUAACAAGAAGAAUGUGCAUAAUUAACCCCACCAACAAGAAUUGCAUUGCCAAGUGUAACAUCUUAAUUGCAAAGCAUUCAUACUUAAAAAAAAAAAAAAAAAAAAAAAAAAAAAAAAAAAAAAANGAAGCUGUAGGAAAUCAACCCAUGAAAAGCUCACUGAAAUCUUUCUUCCAAUCAUAUGGAAGCACCAACCACAAUGAGAUAUAAAGUGCAUAAAACGAAAACAGAAUUGAACACAACAAUUAAAAAUAUCUGCCUUAACAGAAUUCUCAAGACUGCUGCUUGUCAGUAUAAUCUAGAAUUUACGGAAUCUUGCUUCCCAAAAUGUCUGCUUCGACUUUGUGCUCGUUAAUGCGAAAGCACUGUGCUCAAGCUACAUCUCAAAUAAGGGCACUGCAUCUUGGCUAAAAUAUUAUUAUAAAAUCUAAAUUCUCAAGACGGUAUAGUGAACCAACCGAUCACCAUAGCAGAUUUUCCAAAAUUAGAAGAUUGCCAGCCUGGUGUAUAUUAUGCUUCUAAGACUUGAUAUGCUGUAUAUGUCCAUCAAUAUAUCUCAUCAACAAAAAUUCCAUAUAUGCACCGUGUUCAAUGCUCAGCCGUAGAAGUUUUCAUGGGAUAUAACACUAAUGUUUCCAAUAAACUACAAUCCGUGCCAAAAAGAACAAGAAAGAAAAAGAUAUCCAGUUCUCUCAUGUUUUGCCAUAAUACCAAUGCUUUCUAAUCUGGCAUAGUGUCUUAAUACCUCACUAGCAUUUGGCUUGGCUUGGCAUAUAAGAUUUUCUCAUCAUAACCUUCCUUCAAAAAUGUAGACAAAAUAGAACUAAUCAUCACACUAUCAGCAUAGAUUUGACGUGUCAGAUAUGCUGACUCAGAGAAUUGUUGAAGACACUAUAUUUCACCACUCUAAAAUUCUCAGGAAAGACUAAAACCUACAUGAUUAAAUUAUCACAACUCUAUAAUUCUCAAGAAAGGAAAACAACUGAGGAAACAAAAAGUACGAAGAUGGCAUAUCAAAAUGAUGUCAGUUAAAGGGGAUGAGAGGAUCAUGCUUUCUGCAGGAAAGUUUAAGACGCUAAAAUCACUAGGUAGAUGUAAAUUCCGAGCAAGAGGUUGUAUUCAAAAGAGAAAGUAAAGUCUGCUAAAAUUUAGCUGCUUUGAUGGCCUUGUAGCAUAUAAGCCAGCUCAACUACAUAUAGGGCCAGCCGCCACUAGGACCAAGCCAGAAAGACCCGACCCAUCCAACCCACCUGUUUUUGGAUGGCUCAGGUUGAGCCUGACCUGAUUCACAAGGCUGGGCCAGGUCUCAAAAGAAAAGGCCCAAGAAAAUUCUGGGCAGGCUUGGGUUUGCACAGAUGACUCUUAUUUGAACAUACUUGAACCAUUCCUAGUCUAAAAGCAACCUAUUUGCUAACAACCUCUUUCUUAAGCAGUCUGCCAUUUUGGACCAGGCUCAAUCUUAAAACAUAUCUAGAUAAAUGCCGGGCAAGGGUAAGGCUCGGUCAAGGCAUUGCGACUUCCUAUUUACCCGAAAUCUGGAAGUGGGCAAGGAUUUGCACAAGUUCAGUUCUCGAAGCUAAAAAGGGCAACAUUAAGCCAAAUUCUUCAGGAACCUAGAUAUGAAAAUCCUGCCUAUACAAUAUCAUGUCAUUAGAGGCAAAUUUUAUGGCAUCAUGAAAACAUCCACAAUAACAAACAACAGUAAACCUCACAUGUUUAUAUGCUUGUUGAUCCAUCAGAAAUAUAAAUCCUUCAUAUUACUAGCUCAACAGAAACAAAUAAGCUAACCACAAUUGCUCCAUUCCUUCAUAUUUCUCCACUCUUAUAUAUAUAUAUAUAUAUAUAUAUAUAGAGAGAGAGAGAGAGAGAGAGAGAGAGCUGGUAUGCUUCUGGAAGCUUCCGUGCUUCCAAGUCGUUUUCGAUGUUGGGACUUUCGAAUCGACGAUCGGCUCCGUUAAACUUGAACUAGAGUAUUUGAAGUACCUAGAAAAUAAAUUUUGUGAUUUUUCCAUAUCAUUUGUCUAGUGAUCGACGGGGCUCAAAAUCAAUAAUUUUAACGGCCGUGGUGAGCCGUUUGUUGUAAGUUUAACGGUGUAGAAAUAUCCAAAUCACGAGAAAUUUUAAUAGAAAAUUUUUUAUACUAUAUAAAACAAGAUCAAUAUUUUUUAUCUAAAAUUUUAAUGUCAUAUCAUCAUAUUUUGUAAGAUUUUUAUUUUCAGCCGUUGAUUUUGAGCCACUUCGAUCACUAGGCAAAUGAUAUCAAAAAAUCGCAAAAUAUUUUCUAGAUACUUAAAAUACUCUAGAUCAAGUCUAACGGAGCUUAUUGUUGAUUCGAAAAUCCCAACAUCGAAAACGACUUGAAGCACGGAGCGCUCCGUGCUUCCAGAAGCAUACCAGAUUCACUAUAUAUAUAUAUAUAUAUAUAUAUAUAUAAAAGUCAGGAACUUAAAUAGGAAAUAAGGUCCUAUUUCAGUAUAAAAGGCAAUUUAUAUACAUAUAAACUAUACACAAAACUUAAGAACCCUCAUUAGGCUGCAAUCGAGGAUAUAACCCUCAGAUCGAAAGUAAGACUAGGAACUUCAACAGAUAACAGACUACUUAGUUAAAGAUCAUCCAUAGAGAAACUGUUAUUGUCAUCAAGCUUAAUAAUAUUAGAAAUGGUAAUUUCUUCACAAACAGUGUCCACAUUUACGUCCUACAAUUACGCACUAUAACUUCAAAACCCAUUCACAAUUAAUUACCUCCCCCAUAUUAUACACAUAUUUAUGCAGCACACCAAAUUUUCAAUCGAAAGUGAAUAUCAACAAGGCUACCAUGCUACCUCCACCGUGAACCAUCCCCAUUCGACGCAUAAGAUUCGUGAAAAGAGUACCAUAAAAACAGCAGAUAGGCACAUUUAUGAACGAGUCAAGAAAUAUAUAUAAAUCCUGAAUCAUUUAAUACCGAUCCUAGGCCAUUUCUCCCCAAUCUAACCAUCCUCCGCACCAAAUUAUACCCAUUCUAAAAUCAACAACACUAAUAUCCACACAAUUAUACACUACAAAUCGAUUCCCCGCCGUAAAUCUCCCCAGCAAUGAAGCGGAUCGCGUCCAAACGCGCAAAAAAAAAUAAAAAAUAGCGAUUAAACAGGGGAAAAAAGAUUAGACCGCAGAUCUUAACGGGGGCGGCGAUUUCGACGAGAGAGGGCUCGUCAAGUAAGACGCGCUUCGCCUCGACGCAGAGUUGGCGGAUCUCCGCCUCCGACAGCUGCACCUGCCGCCCCCCGCCGCCGCGCCCGCCGUCGAGGAGCCGCCGCAGCACGUCGUCGAGCACCGCCCCGUCCAUCGCCCCCAUCGAGCUCUUCGUCAUCAUCAUCUUCGCUCGCUCGAUCCCUAACCCUAACCCUAACCCUAACCCUUCGAUUCCCCCCUCCCUCUCCCUCUCUCUCUCUAUCUCUAUCGCUUUUUCUCUCUCUAUGUUUCGAGGAGGAGAGGAGAGAGAAAAGGGGUGAGGAGAUGACGUAAUAUACAAGCUACAACCAAAAAAAAAAAAAAAAAAUUAUUAGCGAAACGCAGGAAAUAUUCAAAAGCGCGUGGACGCGACGGAGCCGUUGAUGGGAGAUGCCGGGGAAUAUAGGCCGUUGGGUUAAGCGCGUCGGUGGAAGAGCGAGGACGCUCCAACGCCCCACUCGUAACGGAAUUAUUACACGGACCCGGUCCACAGUGCACCGUACACCACACCUAUUAUUAUUUUAGAGAUUAGGGGAAAAAAAGGGUGAAUUGCACUAAUAAAGGGAGCAUUUAAAAUGAUGAAGUCACCAGUCAACCGUAAAUUAAGUUGGCCAAUUUGCAUAAAAAAUUCACAAGUUUUAAACUUUAUUAAAAUUAAGCUAUUUUUUUCGAUUUUUUAAAUUCAGUCCGAAUUUUUAGUAAACUGAUCAAAAUAUCCUUAUGCUAUUUUCUCUCUCCUUUUUUAAAUUAAGCCAUUUAUUUCUAGCGUUUUUUUUUUUUUCUCUCGCAAACGAAGGCGACGAAGGCGAAGGCGAAAACGACCCCCAUCGUCUCUGCACCUCACGCACUCACCGUCGCCCACGCACCCCUCCCCCUACUCAUCUCCGACCACGCCGAGGCCGCGCUGCGACUCUUUUUUCUUUUUUUUUUUCUCUCUUUGACCCUCCUCCACUGCCUUCGCGGCCCUUCGCGACGAUAACGAGAAUGGUAACACGUCCUCUUCCUCCAUUUUCGCCCUCCACCUCCAUUGCAGCGGAUUUUGCACCCACCAAACCCACUUCUGAGAAUUCGUGUUCCCACCGCCGCCACCAACGAUAAAGAGAAAGCAUUCCUCAGCGUCGAGAAGCUCGCCAGCGAGGGAGGGGGUACGCGGCCCACCCGCCUACCCCAAAGAGCGGCAACGAGCGCGGCCUCGACGGUGUCGGAGGCGAGAAAGGCGAGAAAUGCACGAGAGCAUCUCUACAUUAGCAGUUUUGUUUGUUUAAAACAAAAAAAAAAAAACCCAAAAAUCCAAAACUAGAGAAUAAUAAAGAAAACCAGAGAAUAAGGAAGAAGAAGAUGAAUUUGCACGGUUAAGAUUAAAUUGCAUUGUUUUAAAAGAAUGUUACACUAUUAUGAACGUAAGUUGCACUUUUUUAAAUAUAAAUUGCACCCUUUAAGAUGAAAAUUAUACUCUUUAAAUAAAAGUUGCACUCUUUAAGAAAUAUGUAUACUAUUUCUGCUCUUGUUGCACUAUUUGAUGUGUAAAUUAUACUCUUUAAAAUAAAAGCUACACUCUUUAAACAAAAGUUGCACUCUUUAAGAGAUAUUUAUACUAUUUCUUCUGUUAAAUGAUACAGUUUACGCAUCAACAUAUCAAAUAAGAAAUAGUGCAACAAGAGGAGAAAUAGUGCAAAUAUCUCCUCUUAAAGAGUGCAACAAAGGGAGAAAUGGUAUAAAUAUCUCUCAAAGAGUGUAACUUUCAUUUUAAAUAUGCAGUUUGCAUCUCAAAGAGUGCAACAAGAGGAAAAACAGUAUAAAUAUCUAUCAAAGAGUGCAACUUUCGUUUAAAGAGUAUAACUUUCAUCUUAAAGGGUGCACUUUACAUUUAAAAUAAUGCAACUUACGUCCAUAAUAGUGCAACGUUCUUUUAAAACAGUACAAUUUAAUUUUAACGGUGCAAAUUCAUGUUUUUCUUCCUUCUUCUUUGAUUUUUUUUAUUAUUCUCUAAUUUUUGACUUUUUAGUUUUUUUUUAAUUUUAAACAAACAAAAGUGCUAAUCUAGAGAUGCUCCCGUGCAUUCCUUACCCUCCUCGCCUCCGACACCGUCGAGACCGCGCUCGCCGCUGCCCUCUGGGGUAGGCAGGUGGGACGCGUGCCCCCUCCCUCGCCGACGAGCUUCUUGGUGUUGAGAAGUGCUUUCUCUUUAUCGUCGACGGCGGUGGUGGGGAUGCGGAUUCCGAAAAGUGGGUUUGGUGGGUGCAAAAUCUGCUCUCACCGGAGUGUAACUUAUUUUCUCCCUCUCCCUCGCCGGCGUGCUUCUCGGCCCCGAGAAGCACUUCCUCUUCGUCGCCGGCAGCGGCAGUGAGAACGGUGGAUUUGUUUGGCGGGUAGAAAAUCCGCUGCAGAGUGGAUGUGGAGGGCAAAGGCGGAGAAAGAGGAAGCGUUACCAUCCUCGUUAUUGUCGCGGAGGGCCGCGGAGACUGUGAAGGAGGGUUGGAGAGGAAAAAAAAAAAAAAAGAACGCGAAAAAAAAGGAGAGAAAAAAAAAUAUAAGGGUAUUUUGAUCAAUUUACUAAAAAUUCAAACCAAAUUUGCAAAAUCGAAAAAGGCGGCCUAGUUUUGCAAAAGCUUAAAACUUGUAGAUUUUUUAUGCAAAUUGGCCAAUUAAGUUUAUUAAAAAUAAAAAUAUUAGUAGAUACAGAAGAGAUACUAUAGUUUUCAAAAUAAAUUUUAGUUGAAAUGAUCAAGUUAUUUUUUACUAUAGAAAUAUCUAAACUUUAGAUUACGCGUAGACAGAGAGUACUGAAGUUAAUAUUUUUUUUACUUUCAUUAAAUUUGGACUCAGAUCAUGUUCGGCUCAAAUUUUGAGUUUAAAAUUAGAAUCAAAAUUCAGAUUUUUUAAAACAAGUUACCAAAUACACUAUUGAAGAAAAAAAUUAUUUUCGGCCUUAAAAUCACUUUUCGACUCGUUAAGACUUCGAGCUGAAAGUUUCAGCUCGUGUUCGGUUCAUUUAUUAAUCUCAAACUUAUUUUAAACCAAACACGAAUUGACUUGCGACCGACGAGCUGGAUUGCCGGCCCUACUAUACAAUGAGCCAAGAUCAGCACACAUCCCAUGAGUAUGCUCAUCAAAUCACAUCUCAUAGAAAAUGGAAUUAGACCUACCUAAUACUUAGCUUUUUCCAAACCAUUGGAUGGAAAAUGGACCACUCCUCUGAUAGAAGAGGAUUUCAUACCUAAGUUGUUACAACUUGUGUGCCCACUAAAAUUACUAUUUGUCGUAAGCAUAACGCACUGCAUAUGACUGGAAAAUAUAAAAAAUAAAAAAAUAAAAAAAGCAUGUUGAUGGAGUGUACAUUGCAUUAGAAUAAGUCUAGGUCUCAUAUGAAAGAUGAUCCAACAACUAACAAGAAUAAUUGUUGUUUAGUGGGGAAAAGGAAGCCACUGAAAUUAAACUCAAAUUUUGAUUUCAAAGAUUAAAAAGAUAUUAAGUUCGGUGUAAAGUUGGAUUAGGUCUUAGUAAACUAAUGUGGAUUUCUUUUUGUUCACAAAAAGGUUAGGGUCAAGAUCUUGUUGGUUAAUUACUUCCAAGAAUGCUAGUUCUACAUUCAAGUUGCACUUCGGUCUCUUAAAUGAACAAUAAAAAACAAGUAAAUAUGUGUCAAACAUGUAGACUUUUGUUAAUUUCAACGUGUGUGUCAGUUCUAAUAAAAUUCUAUUUUCUCAUAUAAGAUUACAGUUAUAAUUUAGUAGCAUACGAAUGCGGUCACUCUGGGCACUGAUUUUUUCUAAGUUUCUGAAAGAACUUGAUAAUAUAUCUGACUCACCGUCGAGACAUCCAACACACCAAAAGAAGCGAUCAGCAUCACGAAUGGAUGCCUCAGUCUGGAACUGGAAGUGAUGUGUUCUUUUGUACUGAUAACAAGACCUCAAAACAAUUUGACGGAAAUCCUUCACACGUCAAUUUAAUGAAACCCAUAAUCAAAAAUAAACACAAGUUCGGAAUGAAUGCGAAUCAAAAUUAGUAUAAAUUAGGUAUUAAAAGUCUACGACUCCCUCAAAAUAACCUCUAAAUAGAAGAAUUCUCCAAUCUACAACAAGCAAGAAACAACCCUUCUAUUCCUAAAUAAGGCCACCAAACUCUGUAAAGAUAUAUUUCCUAUUUGUCCUGAGGUCACAAACAUUCAUUUGUAUCGAUUCUUUACUGGAUCUAUUUCCAAUGAAUGUAAUAAUAAAGUUGACCUCCCAUAGAAUUCUGUUGGAAACAAGCUGAAUUCCGAAGUAGAUCUCUUCUUGGUUAAGAGACUUAAAUCAGCAGAUCUCCAGUCCAAACAUUCAUAAAAUGGGGCAAAGAAAGACGAGAAGAGAUUAACACGGAGAGAAAAGUUAAGCAGAGGAAAAAAUGAGACAGAAGAAGAUGAAAAGAUGGGAAUAAACUCGCAGCCAAUAUAUUUUCUUUCCAAAAUUAUAAUGUGCAAAAUGUUAAUGCUAAUAGAAGAGUAUUAUCAGUUAAGGCCAAGUUCAGUUUGUUCUGACUUCUGAGGGUUGUCGAUGAAAGUGGAAAAGGUGACGUAACUAUUGUUUGUGAGACACCUCCCUUCCCCAACAAACUUCUUCUCCCAACAUGGUUGUGAUGGCAUCUUUCUCCGCACUUUAUCCACCUGCAGCAGACAACUCUCCUCAAAGGUUAAAAAUGCCCAAAGUAGCACAAUCCAACAACUUGCUCCCUCUACACCCUAUACAGGGAUGCACUAAGUACCAAAAAUAUCGGCUCGAAUUUCAGUCAAGUUGGAUUCUUCAAGAGUUAGAAGAAGUAAGAACCAAAUAGUCGUUGUCUACCAACUACUUACCCAGCAUCCAUUCUACAUGAGGGGCUUGACCUCACUUAGGGCUAUUGCAACGAAAAAAAAAAAUUUGGAUAAAAGUUAGGGCAGAAAAUUUUCAAAAUAGUAAAUAACAACAAAAUAUAAACUUCCUGACUAACUCACUAGACGCAUUUAAGAGUUAAAGACUUCAACCAAGACUCGGCUAUAAACCCAUAAUACGUAUUCUAGACCCUAUUUGCAAACAAUAUAUUAACUCAAACUAACACUUAUUGGGUUAGCGCAAGACCAAAGACAUUGUACUUUGAGCUAUGUGCAAAUAAGACAUGUAACGUGUUUGGCAAGUAAUUGGAUAACACUUGUUAGACAAAUAGCUGCAACAAGAGCAAUCAAAUGGCCAGCUCUACAGGAAGGUCAACUAAUCAAAACCCGCUAGUAAUUUCAGGGUUAAUGGACUGCUGGCAAGAAUCAGUGGUUAAUGCAACAGGGCAGGUAAAGGUGAUGGAGGAGCAGGUGAAUAUAGAACUGUCAGCGAAAAUUGGACAGUAGUUUGAUGUAGGACGGAGGAGGGAGAGACCGAACUACUUCAAGCUAACCACACUGCCAAUACUGCUAUAGGUCCAAUUACUAGAGUUUCUUAGGAAUUCACAUUGAGAAUAGUCCUGCAUAGAAUAAUAACUAAAGGAGUAGAGGGAUCAAAUAGACUACAGAGCCCAAACCAACAGGGAUAGCCUUUUGAGUUGGAUGGGUUCCACUAGUCACAUCCUUGGACUAUGCAGGCUUGGACCAGACAUUAACACCCUUAAUAAUUGGGAAAAAAAAAAAAGACGAUAGUUGAUGAUCCUAACCUACUCUUCUAAGAAGAUGCAGCUGAUCUACAGGCCGUUUUGAAAAAAGCAAGCUAAUGAGGAAUCACAUGAUAUGACGGUAUGGAGCACUCAAAAGAGCGGGGCCCUAAGGUUUAGGGUAUGGAGAUGUGGGUUAGGCGCAUAUGCUCAAAUGAGAGGGUUCCUAGUGACGCAUAAAAAACUUGAAAGGCAUAUAUUGGGGAUGAGCAAACAUGAUUUGGUGAGGAUUAAUGAGUAGAGGAUUAGGUUCGAGGAUGUUUGUUCACACGUGAAAGGGCAGAUUGUUAGGAAUAAUAACUAGAGCAGUAGAGGGUUCAUAAGACUACAUGGCAAAAACUUACAGGCUUAAUUUUUUGGCUAAAUGUGUUCCAGUAGACAUGCCAAAUCUUCGGACUACAGAGGCUUGGACCGGCCCUUAACUCCCAUAACACUGUUGGGUCCUUAUAUUAGCUACAGCUAAAGCAGCAACCACAACAAUUUAACCAACUGCGUCUCACCGUACAGUAGGGUGAGAACCAGGUUGUAAUUUGAACUUUAGUGCAGCUGCAAGUGCAUUCAACCAAAUGGGCCCUAAGUUGAUUCAUUUGGAGGUAAACAUACUCAACUUCCUUAAGUAGCCUAAAUUAAUACGAAGCAAUUGCAUAGGAUAAUAGCAUAGCUGAAUUACAAACUAAAUUAUCCUUUUCCUCUUUGAUGUAUAAUUAGCAUUUUUACCGUUAUUAAGUUACUCUCUUCUUAAUCAGAAAAAAAAAAGUUGUAAACCCUUAUACAGAGUUUGCAAAAAAGCUGAAAACUGUAAAAUCAAAGAAAAACAUCCCUAAGGAUUGCCAAAUGAGCACUUUGGUAUAGUAUUAUCUAACUAUAAAGAACCAAACAAUUUUCAACUCGCCGUAGUUACUUGACAAAAAAUCAUAUAGUAGCUAGUUUCUAGAUUCUUGAUUCUCGUUGAUCGAUUAACAAAAUAUAGAGGCAACUGCAUACGAAAGGAGUAGAAACUAAGGCCUUGGUUGGAUGCUGGAAUUAGUUAUCUGAUGAUAGGUUAUUCCGUGCAAAGGUUUUCUUGUGUAAUUGGAACGUAGAAGUUUGAUUUUUGCUCCUUGAAAGGCUUGACAUCCAUGAUUUGGCGGGAUAACAUAUUUCACCUAAUACAAGGUGAUUUAUCUAGUUUUGAAAAAAAACAACUCGAAGGCCGAAUAUGUUAUUCUAUUCUAGACACUUGAUCACACUCCUAGCUUCCAAUCAUAAUAGAAAAUCCUCACAGAGAAUAGGAAAUCACUAGAAAACUUAUUCCAAUAUCCAAAGAUGAAGUUUUCAGGCAUAAGGCCACAUAGCAAAUAGUACAUCAUAUUUCACAAAAAUUGGAGUAACGCGCUAUGACAUGGCAAAUAUAAUCCUAUAGCUAUUCAACUGUGCAAAAAGGAUUUGAAAGAAGGUACUACUGAAAAUGAUGCUAGCAAACCUAAAUAGAUAAGGAAUCAAACAAAAACAAAGUUUCCAACAAAAAAAAUACAUCCAAAGAAAAAAAAUCAUAUGGGAAAUGAUAAAAAUAAAAAUGGAGAAGUAUUACUAAUCAGAAAUUGUGCUAGAUAACAAAUAAACAAAUACCAAUCACACCCUAGAUUACAUCAACCACACCCAGAAGAAAAGAGAGGGAUAGAAGUUCCCGUACCGUAUUAAAAGCAUUACCUUCAGCUCACAUCCCUGAGCCUUUUUAUCAAUGCAUCCAAAGAUUUCUUUUUCGUGUUGUUCGUCUUCGCGCCUCUCGUACCAAACGUCGAGAACAACCUAUCCGAGGAAUCCCUAAACUUCUCCGAUAUCGCCACCACCUUCUUAUAAUCCAGCUUGUUGUAACUCCUCUCACGGAUCACAGGGUUCAAGAAACUCUCAGGGUUGUUGCUCAUGAGCAAGUUAACCAACUGCCUCGCCUCGACCAUUGCCAUUUUCAGCUCGGUCGCGCUCGAUUCCUCGGAAUCGGCAAAUAAGCCGGAUAAGUUCUCAGCGAAGGACUCGAACAGCCGGAGAUCGGCGUCGACUCCCGUCACGGCACUAGCAUUAAACCUCUUGACCGAAUCACUCAGGAAGAGCCCGACGAUCUUGUCGGACACAUGGGCGAGGACUCCUUGGAGGACUCGCCGCAGGACGGGGAGGGGAAGAAUUCGCUGCGCGGUGGAAACAAAAGUCUCGAGGUAUAUGAUCACUUCGUUGGAAUAGUCGUUCCCGCCGGGCGGCGGGUCGUCGGCCAUCCAGCUGACGGUCUCCGAGAGGAGGAAGAACUCGUCGAUUUUGGAGCGGAGCAGCCGCAGGAGGAGCUCCUCCGCGGCGUCGCGGGACUUCUUGAGGGGGAAGUCCCGCCGGCCGCGCUCGGCCACGCGGAGGGGGAUGCCGGAGAGCUGGGCGGCGUGGCGGAAGAAGAAGUCGCAGGCGCGCUCCAUGACCGCCAUGUUGGCGGCGACCUGCAUGGCCUGCGAGACGCCGAGGCCCCCGCCCUCGACGAGGCGGAGGAUGGAGGCGUCGACGGCCUCGGAGAGGAGGCGGUCGAGGUACCUGUUGACGACGGGGAAGAAGUCGAGCUGGCCGCCGUGGGACAUGAAGCUGACGGAGUCCUCGACGAAGGAGCGGACGAUGCGGCAGAGGCUGGGGACGGCGGAGGAGAAGGGCGCGACGUAGGGGAAGGCCGGCAUGAUGUCGGAGGUCUGGAGCUGGAAGGCGAGCACGUUCAUGGAGUACUCGUACUCCUUCUUCAUGAGCAUCUGCUCGAAGGCGUCGGCGGCGAGGGCCUCGGAGACCUGGCGGCGGCAGUCGGCGAGGAGGAGGUCGUGGUACUUGUCGCGGUGCUUGGCGAGCACGUCGAGGAGGGGGUCCACGGCGUAGCCGUAGCGGCGGAGGGUGACGCCGAGGAGGCUGACGUAGUCCUUGAUGAGGAGGAGGUGGUUGGCGGUCUGCAUUCGGGAGAACUGGUCCUCGAGGACGGAGACCAUCUUGGCGACGGCGGCCUCCCAGAGGGCGUCGACGCCGGGGCGGGAGAUGAGGCCGCCGCCGGUGCGGAGGAUUCGGUCCUCGACGAUGAAGAAGCCGGCGACCUGCGCGAAGAACUGCUGGUGGGACUCGAGGAAGGGGGCGACGGAGGUGACCUGGAAGUCGGAGGUGAGCUGCAGCUUCCGGUUCUCCAGGUAGUACUUCUUGAAGCGCUCCUCGAGGCCGAGGGUCUGGUGGAUGUGGAAGGCGCGGUAGAGCGGGGUGAGGUCGAACCACUGGGCGGCGGCGCCGUCGUCGUCGGAGGAUUGGGCGGCGGCGGCGGCGAUGUCGUCGGCGUCGGCGUCGGCGUCGAGGGAGUAGUAGACGGGGGCGGCGAGGGCGAGGGGGCCGAGGCCGACGCGGGACUGCUCCUCGGCCUGGCGCUGCUUGGCGCGGAGGUCCUCCUCGCGCUGGCGGGCGGCGGAGGCGCGGGCGAUGGCGACCUGGCCGAGGUGGCGGCUGGCGACGCGGAUGCGGACCAUCCAGUCGGAGAAGUCCUUGGAGAUGCGGCGCUGGGCGUAGGCGCGGACGGCGGGGACGGCGCGGGCGAGCAUGCGGCGGAGGGCGGGGAGGGGGAGGGGCUCGCGGGAGUCGCGGGAGUCGAGGGAGAGGUCGCGGUCGACGGCGUCGACGGCGCGGAGGGCGAGGUAGAGGUCGUCGGCGGCGAGGUGGGCGUUGGCGCGGGCGCAGAGGGAGAGGAGGCGGGCGCAGCGGCGGGCGGCGGAGAGGGCGGAGGAGAGGUUGGCCGCGAGGGCGCGGGCGGCGAGGAAGGCGUCGAGGGAGGAGAGGAGGGGGGCGGCGGCGGAGAGGAGGAGGGCGUUCGAGUCGGAGAGGGAGGACUUGAGGGAGUCGACGUCGGAGAGCAGGGACCGGAGGUCGUCCACCGCGCGGAUGAAGUCGUGGUAGUGNGCUGGAGCCCGGGAAGCAGGCCGCGCGGAAGCGGAGCCCGGCGGGCCUGCGGGACGACAGCCGGGAGGCCGUCAGCCGGGCCAGGUUCCUCAGCCUCUAGCUCCGGCAGACGGCGCGGGUGAUGGUGCUGAAGUAGGCGCGCCACCUGCUGGAGGCCAGGGACGAGAGGCUGCAGCUGAGGGAGUUCAGGAGGGAGAGGCUGAGCUUGCGGGAGGAUCGCCGUUCGAGAUCGCGGACGACAGCUGCACGAGGUCCUGCCGGUCGGAGUCGCCGCCGCCGGCGCCGCCGUUCGGGAGGCCGGCGGCCGACGACGCGGAAGAGGAGUCGGCGGCAGCGAUCUUGCGGCGCAUGGCUGCUCGGAUCGGCUGCGCGACGCAGAUCGAGGGAAAAAGAAUGGAAAAGCGGGCGAGGGAGGGAGGAGAUCUAGGAGGAAGGAGGGCGGAGCAGUCUCCGCGGUCGGGUGGGUGUGCAGGGAAAUGACGGAAUUGCCCUCAGGCCCCAGGACUGGGACUGUGGGAGGAGGACUGGAAACUGUCUCAACCAUUGGGAUUUGUUUCGCCAUUUUGGACUUUGGAGGGGAUAAAUUAUUUUUUGGGAUAAUUUCACACAAUUUUACACAUUCCCUAAUAACAGUGUAUUCUUGAGUGUUCAUAUUUAUCCCUCAAAAAAUUUUGGCCUUUUUGCAUAAAAAAUUCACUUAUUUUAGACUUUUGCAAAACCGGGUCAUCUUUUUCAUUUUUGCAAAUUCGGUCCGCUUUUCAGCAAACUGACCAAAAUACCCCUAUUACUUUUUCUCUUUUCUCUUUCUCUCUCCUCUUCGUUCUCUCGUUCUUUCUUUUUUUGCCGAAAAAAAAUAGCGAAGGCCAGGCGGGCGCGCCGCCGGAGCACCGCCAGGCGGGCUCUUCUUCUUCUUCUUCCUGCAGGAGCAAUUUUUUUUUCUCUUUUUCUUUUUCUUCUUCUUCUUCCUCCUGCUGGAGCAUUUUUUUUUUUUUCCCUCUUCUUCUUCUUCUUCUUCUUCUUUUUCUUUCUGUAAGAGCACGGGNNNNNNNNNNNNNNNNNNNNNNNNNNNNNNNNNNNNNNNNNNNNNNNNNNNNNNNNNNNNNNNNNNNNNNNNNNNNNNNNNNNNNNNNNNNNNNNNNNNNNNNNNNNNNNNNNNNNNNNNNNNNNNNNNNNNNNNNNNNNNNNNNNNNNNNNNNNNNNNNNNNNNNNNNNNNNNNNNNNNNNNNNNNNNNNNNNNNNNNNNNNNNNNNNNNNNNNNNNNNNNNNNNNNNNNNNNNNNNNNNNNNNNNNNNNNNNNNNNNNNNNNNNNNNNNNNNNNNNNNNNNNNNNNNNNNNNNNNNNNNNNNNNNNNNNNNNNNNNNNNNNNNNNNNNNNNNNNNNNNNNNNNNNNNNNNNNNNNNNNNNNNNNNNNNNNNNNNNNNNNNNNNNNNNNNNNNNNNNNNNNNNNNNNNNNNNNNNNNNNNNNNNNNNNNNNNNNNNNNNNNNNNNNNNNNNNNNNNNNNNNNNNNNNNNNNNNNNNNNNNNNNNNNNNNNNNNNNNNNNNNNNNNNNNNNNNNNNNNNNNNNNNNNNNNNNNNNNNNNNNNNNNNNNNNNNNNNNNNNNNNNNNNNNNNNNNNNNNNNNNNNNNNNNNNNNNNNNNNNNNNNNNNNNNNNNNNNNNNNNNNNNNNNNNNNNNNNNNNNNNNNNNNNNNNNNNNNNNNNNNNNNNNNNNNNNNNNNNNNNNNNNNNNNNNNNNNNNNNNNNNNNNNNNNNNNNNNNNNNNNNNNNNNNNNNNNNNNNNNNNNNNNNNNNNNNNNNNNNNNNNNNNNNNNNNNNNNNNNNNNNNNNNNNNNNNNNNNNNNNNNNNNNNNNNNNNNNNNNNNNNNNNNNNNNNNNNNNNNNNNNNNNNNNNNNNNNNNNNNNNNNNNNNNNNNNNNNNNNNNNNNNNNNNNNNNNNNNNNNNNNNNNNNNNNNNNNNNNNNNNNNNNNNNNNNNNNNNNNNNNNNNNNNNNNNNNNNNNNNNNNNNNNNNNNNNNNNNNNNNNNNNNNNNNNNNNNNNNNNNNNNNNNNNNNNNNNNNNNNNNNNNNNNNNNNNNNNNNNNNNNNNNNNNNNNNNNNNNNNNNNNNNNNNNNNNNNNNNNNNNNNNNNNNNNNNNNNNNNNNNNNNNNNNNGGCCGGCCGGACCUCGUCCAGCUGCUGCUGGAGUUCGGCGCCGACGUCGAGCCCCCGGGCCGCGGGCCGACGACGCCGCUCGAGGAGUCGGCGCCGGCGAGGGAGGCGCUGAUCGCGGAGCUGCUCCUGGCACGGGGCACGCAGCUGCGGCGCGAGGCCGGGUCGGCGGCGGGGCCGAUGCACGCGGCGGCGGCGGGCGGGCACGCGAGCGCGCUGCGGCUGCUUCUUCUUCUUCUUCAUGGUGUAAUGGUGCACCAUUACACCAUUAAUGGUGUAAUUUUAUGGUGUAAUGGUGCACCAUUGCACCAUUACACCAUUAAUGGUGCACCAUUACACCAUGAAAUUACACCAUUAGUGGUGUAAUGGUGCACCAUUGCCUCCUUCCCUCCCUUCACAUGCGGCACGCACGGGGCCCACUCCAUCCUCGUCACCCUCUCCCACUACCUCCCGACGGUGCGCGGGGCGAGCUCAGGGGCUCAGUGGGGGAAGAGCGGCACGCGGGGGCGAGCUCGACGACGCGGCGCGCGGGGGCGAGCUCGGGGGCGCAGCUGUAGUGGCGGAGGAGCGGCACGGGGAGGAGCAAGAACUUGGCGAGGAGGAUGGAGUAGCGGUCGCGGCGCGUGCCGUAGACCCACUUGCGGCGCGCAGGGUCGAGGUCGUGGGCGCGGCCGAAGAAGCCGACGAGGGGCGGCGCGGGGCCGGAGCGGGAGGAAGAAGAAGAAGAAAAAGAGGGAAAAAAAAAAAGUGCUCCGGCAGGAGGAAGAAGAAGAAGAAAAAGAGGGAAAAAAAAAAAGUGCUCCGGCAGGAGGAAGAAGAAGAAGAAAAAGAGGGAAAAAAAAAAAGUGCUCCGGCAGGAGGAAGAAGAAGAAGAAAAAGAGGGAAAAAAAAAAAGUGCUCCGGCAGGAGGAAGAAGAAGAAGAAAAAGAGGGAAAAAAAAAAAGUGCUCCGGCAGGAGGAAGAAGAAGAAGAAAAAGAGGGAAAAAAAAAAAGUGCUCCGGCAGGAGGAAGAAGAAGAAGAAAAAGAGGGAAAAAAAAAAAGUGCUCCGGCAGGAGGAAGAAGAAGAAGAAAAAGAGGGAAAAAAAAAAAGUGCUCCGGCAGGAGGAAGAAGAAGAAGAAAAAGAGGGAAAAAAAAAAAGUGCUCCGGCAGGAGGAAGAAGAAGAAGAAAAAGAGGGAAAAAAAAAAAGUGCUCCGGCAGGAGGAAGAAGAAGAAGAAAAAGAGGGAAAAAAAAAAAGUGCUCCGGCAGGAGGAAGAAGAAGAAGAAAAAGAGGGAAAAAAAAAAAGUGCUCCGGCAGGAGGAAGAAGAAGAAGAAAAAGAGGGAAAAAAAAAAAGUGCUCCGGCAGGAGGAAGAAGAAGAAGAAAAAGAGGGAAAAAAAAAAAGUGCUCCGGCAGGAGGAAGAAGAAGAAGAAAAAGAGGGAAAAAAAAAAAGUGCUCCGGCAGGAGGAAGAAGAAGAAGAAAAAGAGGGAAAAAAAAAAAGUGCUCCGGCAGGAGGAAGAAGAAGAAGAAAAAGAAAAAGAGAAAAAAAAAUUACUCCUGCAGGAAGAAGAAGAAGAAGAGUCCGCCUGGCAGUGCUCCGGCGACGCGCCCGCCUGGCCUUCGCUUUUUUUUUUUCGGCAAAAAAAAAAGAACGAAAGAACGAAGAGGAGAGAGAAAGAGGAAAGAGAAAAGGUAAUAAGGGUAUUUUGGUCAGUUUGCUAAAAAAACGGACCGAAUUUGCAAAAACGAAAAAGGUGACUCGAUUUUGCAAAAGCCCAAAAUAAGUGGAUUUUUUAUGCAAAAAGGCCAAAAACUUUUUAAUAAUUUUAAAUAUUUUACUGCUAUUAGUGUCUAUUUGGAAAAUAUAGUUAACCAUAAAUAAAAUUUUUAACCUUGUUUAGUGAGUGAAUUAACUUUUUUUACUCCUAUAGUAUUAUACCGUUCUUCUCUCAAUUCAAACUCGUAAACUCUAGUAAUGAAAACUCUUCUUCCGCUUUCUCUUCCUCCUCUUCCUCUUCCUCUUCCUCUUCCUUGUGCUAGUUUUGAACUCAUCUUCCUCUUCCUUGUGCUAGUUUCGAACUCGUAACUAAGGUUUCUCCGUUCUCAUUCAUCCACAGUGCGUGUUACUUCGCUCAUGUGGAGCGCCCGAGAAUCAAUAGUAGAUAGGUGAAAGAGAAAAAGAAUGAGAGAAGAGGCAAAGAAGAGAUUGUAAUAAUGGUUGAUUGAGUUAGUUUUUAUAGAAAAUGAUGAUGACCAUUUAGGAAUUUCUUGGGAGUACAUCUCUGCACGAUUCUAAUAGUUAGGGUUUUUGGAGGGACGUAUUUGUGACAGUAAAUAUGAUAUUUUACUUGUGUUAAAAAAUAAAUACUGAACUAAUGGUAAUAAACCAAAUGGAUAAAUAUGAAUUUCAUUAGACUUUUGAAGGGAUAAAUCUGAAAAGUAGAAAUUUGUAAGGAUAUAUCUGCUAUUUGAUAUGUUUACAGAAAACUCUAUAAAAUUAUCCCUAUUAUUUUUUAUUGAAACUCUAUAAGAUAAAGUUUGGAUCGAAAAUAAGGUGUUUUUUAUUAUUUUUGUGGCAGACAAAAUUCAUGAGAUAAGUUAGAACAAAACCGAUUUUGUAUUUUUGAAUAAAAAUUGUGUUGUUUUUUUGUAAUAAAAAUGUAGCAUUUAGAUAGUUAGGUUGAAACAGUGAGAAUAAAAAUAAUUAUUUUUUAAAAAAUAGUAACAUUUUAUCUAAUUAACUAACAUCAAAUUAUUAAUUAAUUAAUCAUAAUUGCGGCUAGAUAGUCAUAUAAUUCUAAUCAAUUAAUAAUGAUAAAAAAUAAUUACCCCUAAGUAAUUUAAUAAAUUAAUUACUUAAUUAUUUAAUGGUUGGCCGAUUUGCAUAAAAAAUUCAUCGGUUUUGAGAUUUUGCAAAGUAAGUCGUCUUUUUAAUUUUAUAGAUUCAAUCUAAAUUUUUAAUAAACUAGCCAAAAUAUCCAUAUUCCUCUUUUUCUCUUUUUUUUUUCACACCAGUCUUUUUCUGUACAACUUAUAUUCUCCUCCCACUCUCUCAUUUCUCCUCCUCCACCACAUCAACGCCGCGCGCUCCUCUCUCUUACUUCGCCCACACCAGUUCGGAUAUGGCAUAGAUCACGAUGCAACGAAAUAUAUAGUCGUGGAUGAUGACAUCGAUAGCGACGAAGGUGCCACAGAUUUUGAGGAUGACGGAGAGAGAGAGCGUGUCAAGGCGGAGGCGGAGGCGGAGGCGGAGGCGAAGGCGGCUGCAGCAAAGGCAGAAAGCGAGGAAGAAGGUGUGGUAACAAAAAGAGAUGUAAAAGGUGAAAGAAAAAAAAUAAAAAUAAAUAAUUUUUUUACUUUUAUAGAAAUUUUUUUUCACUAUUUAGAAUAAGAUCAAUAACUCUGAUCUUAAAUUCAUAUAUUUUAUCAUCAUUUUUUAUGAAAUUUUUAUUUUUAUCCGUUCAUUUUUAGACUACUCAUUUGAUAGAAAAAUAAUGUCGAAAAUUAUAAAAUUUAGUUUCCAAAUAUUUUUAAUAGUGCAGAUCAAGUCUAACGGAGCCGAUCGUUAAUUUGGACACCACAUCAUUGAAAACAACUUGGUAGUAUGCAGGCCUCCGUGCUACCGAUAGUAUAGCAGCCUAGCUCUCUCUCUAUAUAUUAAAAAUAUUUAUAAAUAUAUAUAAUUAUAUAUAAUAUAUAUUUUAGUUAUAUAUAAUAAGUAUAGAGUUAUUAUGUUAUCUAAAGUAUAGAGGAGUUGGUGCUUUCGAUUUUUUGGCCCUUGAAUCAAGGAUAAUAGGGUCGGAAUGAUAGUGGUUUCCUUUAGGGUUGAGUGGUCCCCCUAGGAUAAUAAUAUUAAUCCAAAAGUCAAAAAUGAUCAAAGAGCUUAAUCCAAAGGCUAAAAAGUUGGAAGCACCAAUUUCCUUAUACUUUCAAAAGUAUAGUAACUCUACUCUAUAUAACAAUAUAUAUUAUGUAUUUUAAUUAUAUAUAGAGAGAAUUUAGGUUAUUGGGCAUAUUUAUUAACCUACAAAACCAAACUAGUAAAAUCUUACUCUAAUUACUCGCUUUCUUUCACUUGCUCGCAGAGUCGCUUCCCCUAAUUUUUUUAACAUUAUAAUAUCGUAUUUCAUGCAUUCAUUUUGUAUGUUGAACUAUUAGACAUUUUUUUUAACAAAUUUUAUAUAAUAUUUUAUAAAAAUUAAACUAUAGAUUGCAUGAUGUUGAGAAUUUCAAACAGCUUGUUUACGGCUUGAGCUUGCUCUACUCGAAGUUAGGCUCACUCAAGCUCAACUCAAAUUAAUUUCAAGCCGAGCUUAAGCCUAAAUUUAGGCUCGAAAUUAGGCUCGUUUCCACCCCUACUAAAUAUAGAUGAUUUUCCCAUAAUAAAGUGAUCACCCAUCUUAUAACUUCUCUAAGGGGCCGUUUGGUUAGAUGUAAUUAUAAAUGCAGUGUAAUUAGAGACGCAUGCAGUUGAAAAUACAACAAUUACAACUAUAUGAAUCAUGUUUGGUUGGAUGUAGUAGAAAGCGCUGCAAGUAUAAACAAUUUGUUUGGUUGCAUGCAGUUGAGAAAUAAUUAUUAAAAUUUUAUUAUUUUAUAUAUAUGAUGGUGAGAUUACCUCCAAUGUAAAAAAGGAAAAUAAUUUUUGUUUAAAAAAUAUUGAGGAGGUAAGCAUACAUUUUAUUUAAAGUUACUCUCUCCAACUGCUGUAGUUGGAACUGCGGCCAAUUUGGGCGUAGUUCGAACUACUGCAGUUGGACCUCCUCCUGCAGUUCCUACUGCAGCAGUUGGAGUUAAAUACAUUAAACCAAACACAAAUUUGUAUUUCCAUGCAGUUGCAACUGCAGUGCAGUUGCAACUACAUGCAACCAAAUGGCCCCUAAGCGUAGCAUGCUUAACCCUCUUAACCUGGGUCUAGCCAUCAUCCAAAAUACUAUAACAAGGUUAAGACGGUUAGCCCUAUUAUAUCUUAUAUAUAGGACUAUUCUAAAUCAUGACGUCCUCGUUAGAUGAUGUGAUCACAAGUAUCAAACGAUGUGAUACUUUUCUCGCUAACUUGAAUUGACCUUGUAGGGAGCCGUGCUCCAUCUACAGUGGUUAUCAGUCAGGGAGUCGCGGUCCACCCACUGUAUGACUCUAGCUCAAGUGAGACUCAUCUCGCACUUUCAGCUGGUGAUUGACUCUGAUACCAACUGUGAUGCCCCGCUUUCUAGGAGGUCACCUAUUUUAGAACUAUUAUAGGCUAGCAUGCUUAACCAUCUUAACCUAUUGGGUCUAAUCACCACCCAAAAUGCUAUAGUUAGGUUAAGAGAUUUAACUUUAUUAUAUCUUUUAUAUAAAUAUUUCAAAUUUUAGAAGUGUUACAAAAACAAUCCAGGGAAUUUGGAAGAUAUGAAAAGAGAAGAACAUUGUACACUCAAAAUAACACAAAAUACUGUAAUAAAACUUUAUAUAAUUAGGUGGAUGGAUGAUAUUGUAGGUGGAUGACCGAGUGUUUGCUGUCUAUAUUUGAGGAGUACGUCGAUAAUAAAAGAUAAAAAGAUUUAGUAACUUACUUUUUAGUCUAUAUUUUGUUAAAAAGAUAUUGUAUAUGGUCCAAUUUCCUUGCAAAAGAGUUUAAUGACGAGGUAUAAGAUUUCUUCAAAAGAGAAAAAAGCUAUCAUGUGUGUCAAUGAUUCUUUAGAGGAUUAGUAUAAUUAUGUUCUAGAUCUGACUUCUUUGGUCGGAUAUCUUAACAUAAUUGAUUUAUUAAAAUCUCAUACAAAAUCACAAAGAAUUAUUAGUUUCUAAAAUAAGGACAAUAAAUAAAUAUUAAUUAACUUAUAUUAAACACUUUAAACUUUUGUCCAUAUGACAGGCUUUGUUAAAUCCUGGGCUUAUGAGACCUACAUGUCAGUGUAAGCUUUAGUUAAAUUGAAAGUGCGUGGGACCUACCUGUUAUUAUUUCCUACUCAUUUCCUUCCGUUGAACCGGUUGAUCUUCCCAUCCUUCAACCAGUUUUCUUUGAAUUGGUUGAUCUUCUCAUCCUUCAACCGGUUUUCAUUGAACCGAUUGAUCUUUGCCUCCUUUGUCAUCGCUCUGGCUCUUGACAUGCCCCGUUCUAGACGGAAAAUUGGGUCCGGUGCAUUGUUGCUUCGUCUCCCCUCCCCGUCGUUUGCAUUGAUUCCUCUUCAAAUGGAAAAAUGAUUCUCAUUCAUUAUCCUUUCUGCUCCCUUCGCCGCAUCAAUUUUCUAUGUCUGUUGAAUCCAAAGGGUUGUUCUACUAUGUUUUCAGUACAUGUCGCUGCCUAUAUAAUAGGGCAUCCAUCAAGUUUUUGCUGUGUAGGAAAGGUCAUCUACUCCUCUAAAAAGACCUUCGACGUCACUUAAUCUGCUAUCAGUGCUGUCUUCUUCUGUACACUAGUUUUUACCUUUCAUUUUUUGGGUAUUCAAGUUUAUCUACUACCAAUUCUUAUCAUUCUUCAUCUUCUUACAUGCUUUUUUUUACCUAUCUAUUAUGCUGCUUCUUUUUCUUAUGAAUUUCAAUGAAUUUUUUAGUGCAAUAGUCUUCUCCUAAAAUUUUAUUUUAAAAAUAGACCUGUUAAAUUUUUAUUUAUAAAUAUGAUCUUAUAAAAGCGGUGAAUGGUUCACCGCUUUUAAAAGCGGUGAACCAUUCACCGCUUUCUUUCAUUUUCUCACUUCUUUUUAUUUUUCUACGAUGGUAAAAGCGAUGAAUGAUUCAUCAUUUUUAUUCUUUUUCUACUCCCAAUGAGUUAUGAAUACGGUGAAUCAUUCACCACAUUUAGAGGUCUAUUUUUAUAAUUAUUUUUUAAAAAAAAUUAUUUUUAUAAUUAUAAAAAUCGAUAGGAUUAUUUAUAAAGCAAAUUCAAUUUCAAUAGUUUUUUCAGCCAACUUAAAUUUAAUAAUUAUGUAAAAUUUUAAAAAAACCUAAUACAGUUCUAUCUUAUUAGCUUUGCUUUGCCUUUUCUUAUUAUGAAUUCUAACUAUUUUCUUCCAAAGUAAGUUUACCUCUCGAAUUAGGAAUUUUUUUUUUCUAUUCUUAAGCUCUUUUUAAUUUUUAAAAAUUUUUAUUCUGCUGAUGCUACGGCUUCCGUCUUCUUCUUAGGUACCUUUUUCUCCCUCAACUGCUGCUCUUGCUACUAUUAGGAGUUGUUUGGUUGCCACGCAUUUGCAACUGCACCGCAGUUGCAAAUGCAUGCAACCUCAAUUUCUAGUUUGGUUUAGUGCAGUUGAGCUCAAAUGCUAUAGUUCCAACUGCAUAAGAAGGUCCAAAUACUGCAGUUGGAACUACAUCCAAAUUGGCUGCAGUUCCAACUGCAGCAGUUGGUGAGGAAUAGAAUCACCCACAAAUUAACAAUAAUAAAUAAAUAAAUAAUAUAUAUAUAUAUAGAUAAAAAUACUUGUAAAUAAACUCAUACUAAUAAAAUUUUUUAGGCAAUACAAGCUUUGUGCAAAAAAUUAAUUUCACGCCCCGGAUUACUCGUUUCCCCGGGUUCGCUAAUAGACACGCCGUAUACAUAGGUAUUUUCUCUGUAUACGAAGCGAAAAGUAAAAGUACCUGUAAUCAUGCAAUACUACAGACAGUAGUAUAGAACAGCUAGGAGAUAAGAAUAAAACAUGCAUAUAUAAACUGUGGUUCUAUACAUACAUGAGAUCCAAGAUACAAAAGCACUCGCACUGGCGAGAGUACAACAUCUGUAUGUAUAAACCAAAACUACACUACCUGCAGUGGUCCUCCACUAGCUCAGCAACUUGACUGGAAGGGCUCUAACUCGCGACGCCCUUGCUACAAUCAAUAUCAACAACAGCAGCAGCCGAAGACGAUGGCUCUGCAAAACAGUGGUAACAAUUAGGCAUGAGAACUACUGUAAAAACAAGUAGUCCUCAGUGGGAACCGCCCUCAAACUUAUCGGUCCACCCUCUAAGUCUACAUGAAUAAGCAGGAAUAGUAAGGAAAGCUGGAAUAAAUCUACAGCUAAAUGCCACUACACUAUCAUGCUCCAACUCUACCCUCUGUAGAAUAAUGUCAUCUCUGACCCAAUCUCAAAUAAGGACUGUAAUCAUACACAUCCCUGGGACUGUGAACACACCCGUCCCGCCCGGUCACGACUAUACAGCUACCUCCACAUUAACCAGUCCGUAGAAAGCAAAUUCAACCUGCACAAACGACACCAACGCAAACGCACAAAGCCCGACUCCGGAGUGGCACUCGUGGGCGCUAUCCAACCGAGUAUGCAAGCGUAUCUCUGUCGAGCUCAAUCAGACUCUAACAAGCCAAAGACAAGUAACUAGGGUCAAAACAGGUCUAGAAACCGAACCCACGUGCCCUCGGCACAAUCUGAUACCAAAAAUAGGAAUCUGGGUCCACCGUCCACCACGACGGCACCCGACAACCCGAAACAGCCUAGACUCUGCUGUAAAAAUAAGCUCGGCGUCCCAGCAUGAGCGUAAAUGCAUUCUAAACUACCCCGAGUACCCACCGCACUGAAACAGCAGUGAUACAAUCAGACCACGACUCCUAGAGCUAAAUCAGGUAGUUUAAACAUAUGACGGGUUAAAAUCGCAGGUUUUCUCUUAAGUCAAAUUUCACGUCCAACAUGUAUAUUCAACUAAUUACUAAGCAUGCCCCAAAUUCAGAUUUAUAUAUCAUACUCAUCGAUGAAUUCGAGCUACAACACGAUAUUCCGAAGUCGAAACUAUAUAUAUACUUAGGAGCCAAAACUGAUGAUAAACCCACCUUAAUUACGAAUCCUGGCAGCAAAGAAGGGUCUCAAACCAAAGCUAAUCCCUGCUGGAUCAACCGAAAUCCUCCAAGACCAGAAAUCAAGCUAUCUCCAAGUUCUACACAUUGAAUUCCAUCAAUUAUCACUAUUUCAGCACUAAAGCUUAAUUUAAUCUCAAUUGUAAUGUCAAAACUCACAUAAUUACCUCCAAAUCAGGUGAGGAAGGUCUCAAAUCCAGUGAAUAAUAAUGGAGAAUGUGUCUCAGGUCCAAAAUCCCACAGCCUAUGAAGAUAGUAUCAAGAAAAGCUCAAAAAUCUCAUUUCCAGCUCAAGUCAACAGCAGUCCAGAAAAACCUCAGUUCGACCAAGCUAAUCUCAACCAAAAUCUACAAUUCAGGGCUUGGAUUCCUCUGGCAGUCUAGAAUCCAGCAAACCAAGUUUUACCGCGAUCCGACCUUCCUACGUAGCACACGAGCCAAAACACUGGAGGUCGUCGCUGAAGAACUGCAGAAUCAGCACCUACCAAGCUGAAUCAAUGGAAGUUUGAUGCAAUUUGAGGCAAUUCGAGGGUUUAAGAUGCUAAAAUGAACUUCUCUAUGAAGAAGGGAGGAAAAGAGCAGCAAGGGGGCACAUUCUACCUAUUUAUAGGGUGAUGGUGCGGUCCAAAAAGCCUUAGGAACAAAGGCUGCAAAACUGGUACCCUGGUAGAAAACCCCACUUUCGGGCGCCCAAAACCCAAUUCUGGGCGUCCGAAUCCUCCUGGCUGUAUAACAGCUGCGCUUCGGUUCCAUCGCCACGGUGCGCUAUGCCCAUAACCGGCUCCGGCAGACUUCUCCUACCACCAGCCACGUGUCAGCGCAAACGAUACUCACGAUGUGAACUUUCGGGCCCACAUCCGGGCGCUCGAAACAUGGACCCGAAUUGGCUUCCAGUUCUGAUCAAAUCUGCACUCAACUUCUGGACGACCCAAGACCGGUUCUGGGCGCCCGAAUCUGGCAAAACUCCAGUUUUGUUUAUUUGAGUGCACCGAGUUCAUUUCUGCAUCCAUUUCGUGCAGAAACGACUCCGACUCAGUCCGACACUCUCCAGAUGUGUCGACCGGUCACUAAAACUGAAGCCAAUACUGUCCAAAGCUCAGAAACACUACAAUUAAAUUUUUUUAAAUUUAUUUUAUUUAAAAUAUAAAAAUAAUUUUUUUUUCUAAUUUUUAUAGAAUGUAAUUGUGUAUGUUAACUUAAUAAGUUUUAAUCAAUUAUAAUUAUUAAAUUUGAAAAAAAAAAUGAGAGAAUCGUUUAAAUUUUUAAAGUUUGAUUUACAUAUUAAAAUUAAAUAAAUUGAAAAUUUUAAAUGUGUCCAUUAAUAAAUUGAAGAAUUGUUGAAAAAUAUAAAAAUAUUAUAUAUAUAUCUAUUUAUUUAUUUAUAANAUUGAAGAAUUGUUGAAAAAUAUAAAAAUAUUAUAUAUAUCUACUUAUUUAUUUAUAAAUAGUAAGUUUAAAUGAUUAAUAAAAUUAUACAAUUAUUUUAUGCAUAGUGAAGAUAAUCUCACCACUCUAUCUGAAGAGGUGACAAAGUUCAAAAAUACAAUUACCAUCUUCAUAUUACCAAACAGAAAAAAUGUAACUGCAGCAGUUGCAAUUAUAUAAAACCAAACAGACUAGGUAUAAUUAUAACUACAGCAUUUGUAACUGCAUGUAUUUCCAACUACACUGUUUCUGCAACUAUAUCCAACCAAACGGCCCCUUAGUAUUACUCCAAAUUAUGCUGCAUCUUCAGCUAUUUUUUAUUUUCUAGUUAUUUCCGGGCACUCUUUUGCUUUUUUCUUUUUCUUUUUUUUUUUUCUGGAAAGAGAUAGGUAGCACGCUACCCGCUUCAUUUAUUUUAUUUAGAAAUAAACUUAGCUGAAAAUGUGAAUCAACUAGGAUUCAAACUUAGGUCUCGGGUACCAACCACCAAGUCCUUUGCCACUUGUUUUAGGGACGGUCGGUCUCUUUUGCUAUUAGCACUGCUUCUUUGUGUUCCUGUUGUUGUUGCUGCUUCUUUUCCUACAUGUAUGUCUACUGUAGUUUCUGCUGAUGUUAUUGCUUUCUUUUUUGGUGGAUCUUAAGUUUUUUUUUCACUACUUAUGUAUUAUAAUUAUUCUUCUAUUCAAAUUGAAUAAUUUUUAACUUUUUUAUUUACUAUUCCAGUGCUACCACUUAAAUUUAAAUUCCUGUUGCCGUUGCCUCUUCCGCUUACAAAACCAAGGUUGCAUACCUAUAUAUUAUAAGGAAAAGAAUAAUCAAAUAUAAUAAAAAAAUUAACUAUAAUAAUAUUUAUCCGCCACAUCAUGUGGUUCACUACACUAGUUUAUAUUUAUGAACUUUUUUAAAAAGUAAUAUUGUGGGUGUCAUAGAAUGUACAGCAAAAUGUACUUGAUGAUGAACUUUGUACAUAUGCAGCCUAUUAGUGAUUUAAUUUUUCAGAGAUAACGGUGUUACGUCCAAAAUUUAAAAACCUAAAACUCUUAGAAUGAUGAUAUCUGCAAGAGUUAAAAUUAGAAUAGUUAUUAGAAGCAAACAGAACCACUGACUUCUGCAUUGUCUAGGCUGUUUGAGCUUCAUAGGAUCUCAAUUUCACAAUUUUACAACAUCAUUUGCCAAGUGAUCAAGUGGUAUCAAAUUCAUCUUAUAUUAGCCAUAAAAAAAUAUAUAUAUUUUGCAACACUGAAUACUAGACAAAUGAUAUAGAAAAGUUAUACAUUUGGUGAAUGUUCAAAUAAGUUAAACCAUGUUUAACGAUAUUGAUAGUCGAUUCAGUAUCUCAUUCUCAGAAAUGAUAGGGAACCAAACACGAAUUUUUUUUAUAAAUAAUCCCAUCGAUUUUUAUAAUUAUAAAAAUAAUUUUAAAAAAAAAAUUAUAAAAAUAGACCUCUAAAUACGAUGAAUGAUUCACCGCAUUCAUAACACUUCUUUAGGAAUAGAAAAAAAAUAAAAGCGGAGAACCAUUCACCCUUUUUACCAUCGUAAAAAUAUAAAAAAAAGUAAGAAAAAGAAAGAAAGCGGUGAAUGAUUCAUUCACCGUUUUUAUAAAACCAUAUUUACAAAUAAAAAUUUAACGGAUCUAUUUUUAGAAUAAAAUUUUAGGAGAGUGCUACUGCACUAAAAAACCCAGCAAACACCCAUACUUCUAAAAAUAUUAUAGCCUAGAUGUAUAUACAAUGUCAACUUCAUUUGUAGGCUUGUAGCAUUACACCAUAGAGGCCGCAGGGAAUUACAUAUUGACCUCCCAGUGAGUAACUGAGGCUUGCACAGAGUUUUAAAGUCUUAUAAAGUAGGAAAACUCUCACAUAUAUAUAGUAUUUGCUAAGAACAACCAAUUUUAGGCAUUGCAAGCAAAAAAACUAUCAAAAGAUAAUCAAUGAGUUCGUGAUAGUUACAACAAUAAAUAAUGGUGGGGAAGAAAAAGCGAUCGACAAAUCAUUCACAUAUACAACACAAAGAUACAAAACAAAACAGACCUAAUGGGCAAUUAGUUUCUGAUGAACCACUCAAAAGACAUUGAAAGAGUUGCUUCCUUCAACACAAGUGCACAGUUAUAUGUAUAUACUCACCACGACAAAUAACUUGAGCACAAGAAUAGAAAAGGCUCUGGCACGUACCAAUUAUGCGGAGAUUUUACGCUGGUCAUGGAUUUGCCGCAUGAAGGAUAGCCCGUGGUGGACAUUCAUCACUUGAAGUUGAAAUUUACAUGAAUGACGUAUCGCAUCUUUAUCUGAUUUACAUUGUACACAAUGUACUCAUUAUAUAGCAAUGUACCCUGCAAAAGAUAAACAAUCCAAAUUUGUUCACUAUUUGCAAAUAUUAGAAUAAUGGGACAUAAUAAUUAUACAGAAAAAAACAUUGGGGAUUACAUAAUAAUAAAGUUAUGAUCAGGGACUAAAUUUGUAGUUAAGCCAGUUUAUUAGCAUUAAUGGAAUACAUUGACAAGCCGCUUUACCUUAGCAAACCUGUCCUCCUUUGGCAUUCCCUGGGGAACAACCACACCAUCUUCAAGGGUCACAGACUCCGACGUAUCUGGUGCUGUUUUACCUACUCCUUUUGUACUGCGACAGAAGAAUAAUGUAUAUUCAGCUUAGAAGAUAUGAAGAGAGCUCAACACCAAUGUGUUGUGGAAACACGACCAAGCAAUGUAGAUUUCCUAUAGUUAGACAGCAUAAUAAUCAUUUUUCCCUUCUCAAGAAGAGGAGAAAUGUAGAAAAGGUCCAUGAAUUUUUGACUUAUUGUGGUUUGAUCCCUAAAACUUUUUAAGGAUUGCCCAAAAAUCUCCCCUAACUUUCUUCUUUGAAAUGGCACCCUGGGUUUCGUUUUCAGACCGAAAUAGUGCUAGCCUAAGGGAUGAUAGCACAUCCUACAUGGCAGUGAUCAUGUUAAAUAACCAUUGUAUUCUCCUUUGCUCUAAACAGACUCACCAAGAAAAGGCAACAAAAAUGUUAGGUAGAUUAGUUAUUGUGAAGUUUGGACUUUUGGAUGGAGGAACAAGGCAAUGCCGACAAACAUAUUUAAGUGAAAAAGAAACAGAUCGACUUGCAAUAGGUCCAAAUUUCUAGCACUGAUCAUAAAAAUUGUCCCUCUUAGAAAUGAAUAGUGAUGAAGUGUAAGAACUACUGAUUUGUUUGGAGUACUUUGGAGUGCUUUCUUAUUUUUGGAGUACUUUCUUAUUUCAAACAUCAAUAGUUUCGUAGAAAUAAGAAAGUACUCCAAAAAUAUCCAUCGGAACUCUCAUUUCAUGAUAAUUUAGCAUGUAUGCAAGCCAUCGAUGUCCAUAAAUUUAGAAAAUCCACGAGAAGAAAAGAAGUGAUUGUUGAAACAAAAUCAGGUAAAGAACGGACCUCAGUUUUCCUUUUGGCAGUUUAUCAGCAUUGUAAUCAGAAAAUAAUAGCUCAUUCAUAUCACCUAAUGCAACCUGCAAAAAGAAAUUUGAAUAAAAAUAAAAAUCAGGGCAGGCAUGUCCAGUAUAUAGUAAAACAUGUAAUCAAUGCUAGGAACAACCUCACAAAGAAGCAGCACUCCAGCCGUAGAUGCGUGUGAUGCAUAGCAAUAAUUUGCACUCUUGGAGAACAUAUCGGCAAAGUAAACUCCUUUCCCAAACAUGUAACCAGUAACUGGUGCUUCCGGAGGAGCGAUCCGUAAUCCUGUUUAUAGAACAAACCUUUUUAAAUGACCUUCUUACUUGAUUUGUUUCUAGUCAUAGUUUCACAAGUAUUGACUAAAUGAGACAUUUUGACCUGAAAACACAUGCUCAUCACAGGUUGGCAGUGAACAAAAUAAACUUAAAAAAGAAUGUUCAUAUAUUAGAGAAAUUUACAUAAAUAUACCUUGGAAUAAAGCCUGUUCCCGUAUAGAGACUAGCAUAAUCUGAACUUUCACAUAUGACCUUUGAAAACUUAAUUUGUUACACGAUGUUCUUGAAGACACAUGUAACAAAACCAACUUUUCUCCACAUGAAUUCAAUUAGAUAAGGGCAUCUUUGUAAGAAACUGCACAAUGAGGAGUAUAUACAAAUAUGUGGACUUUUACUGGGGUAUAUAUGUAACACAGAUGAGUCAAAGAGAUAUAUAUGUAAAAGCUCUGAUAAAGUUUAUCAGUCAAGUUUAAAGGAAAUGACAAUUAGCAAGAAAACAAGGAUAACCUUGAGAAAGAAUCCCAGUCCAGUUAGAAAGGCGAGAACCAUGCCAUAGAAGCAUCCGAUUUUUUGUAUCAGAAAACUGCACAGAAGCAAGAGAUACAAUCAAAAAGGAAAUUAAAACUAAAUCUAAAAAACAUUUUAAGUUGAAUAAGAAACCGAAAAGGAAAAAAAAAAAAAAAAAAAAAAAAAAAGAUCUUCACCUUUUUGAAGUGCUCCAAUUCACCAUCCCUGGAAGCUUUAAAUAUCUGUACUAUAUCAACUGUGUAAUUUGAGUGUGUCUUGCCAUGUGUAUUUGCAAUAUACUUCUUUAUCUGGUCAAUAGAUAAAGAUUCAGUCAACUGAGGUUGAAAGGCCAGUAACAUAUAUGAUAUAUUCUGAAUUAGUACAUAAAACUUUCCAAGAAAGUACUACCAGGUUACUAAGAAGAAUCCCACAAAAUUUACAGAAAAGAGUAGAAAACUGUAUGCCUCUCAUUUUCGUUCCAAGAGUAUCUAAAAUAAUUAUACUUUACAAGUGAUAGGACAUAUAUGGCUAACAAAAUGUCUAUAAUAUGGUUUUGCAGUUGUUAGAACUAUAAUUCCAAUUGCUUUAUUCUUUCAUACAUCAAAUCUGUCAUAGAAUUUAUGAUAGGUAGUAACUUAGUUAUUAUCUAUCACUCAAGUAGUCUCAAGAAACUAUGAUAAACAUCAUAAAACAAAAAUGCAACAGAUACUCAAACAUAUAGACAUAUUACCAUAGAAUAUUCAUCUGAAUCGGCUUCCACUGGUACCAAUUCACAAUGAAGCUGCUUAUAGCGGGAAUACAAAGGGUCAUCCUACAUUAUGGCAACAUAACAAAGUUAUUUUUUGUACUGGGGAGGCCCUCAGUUUUAGUGAGAUAAGUGCAAUACAUCCAGAUCAAUAGAAGAUCCGGUCAAGCAAUAUAUGUCAGCAAUAAUAUUAGAAGACAACAUACCUGCAUUUCUUCAUCCUCCUCCAAAAGUUUGGUUGCAAUCUCUAUCUCUCCUAGAGCUUGAACCUUCAUUGAAAAGCCAUCAAAUAAGCCAUUAGAUGGCUCACGGAUCAAAUUCAAUGACAUGUAAGAUUGAAUGUGAUGGUGAAGAAAGCAAACUUCUAAUAUAGCAAAUGUAACAUAGAUUGUCUACCAUCACUAGAGAUUGGCCAAAAUUACCAAGUUGCCUGAUAAUUCAAUAGAAAUGCUAUGCGCACCUAGGAUGUGCCCAGAAUGUUCUCUACAAAUCAGCUUUAAACAGAUGGCAACAAAUGAAAAGUUAAGCAUUUGUUCUAGUUUCAUAUGUGGUAGCUAACAUGGACAUCAAUUUUGACCAGGUACGUCAAUCAUUAGAUGGCAUGCGUAUAAAGCUGGUUCAUCAACAACACUAUAUACAUCUUUAUGUACCACUGGAACUUCUUUAAAAAAUAGCAAAACAAUACACGUUCAUUAGAUCUGAACUUCUCGAUUAAGAAGCAUAAAGAUGAUCUGAACUUUUCUAUUAAGAAGCAUAAAGAUGAUUCCAACCAUGGAACGGUAAUAUAGACAGCAAAAUCAGCAGAAUAACUAAGAGAUAGUAUUAAUUACUUUCAAGGUCUGAUCUACCAGUAUUCAUAAAGCACAAACACUUUCAAUUCACAUAAGGCUUCGCAGUUAAGAAAUUGACAACUUGUCGACCAUUCAAAUUUAGAUAAAAUUACCCAUAUGUAGUGUUACCAAGAGACAAACUAUUACCAUUUCGAGCUUGCUUUUCAACUUUUGAGGAGUGUCAAUGACAAAGUCACCUGCCAAGAUAUCAAUAGUUACAACUCAAAUCCCAGUACAGAAAGUCAACAUACCUAUAAGUCCAUUUGAUUGAAUGUUACAUAAGUUAGAAAUUUGAACUUACGCAUCUUUCUAAAACCAAAGUCAUGAGGAAUCACUGUGUAGAACUCCCUGAAAUUAUAUGCAAAAAAAGAGGUGGUAAAACAUUACAUGAUAUUCAUAAGAAAGCGCUAAUAAAAGUUCACAUUAAGAAAAGAAAACAAUAAACAAAUAUGAGUAAUGUAUAUGGGAAUGAUUAAGGUUAGAAUGUCGAAAUGAAAAAUGGUCAGAAAGAUAAAUAUGCUCCCUGUAGCACAAAUGAGUAUAUAACAUGAUAAAUCAUCUCUAAAAGAUCAAAUCUAUGAAAGGAAAAUAGAAAAACUUAUAUGCUACUAAAUUACUGCAAGUGCAACAAAUUACUGCAAGUGCAACAGAGAGAGGAAUAUCAGAACAGAUCUAGAUACAACAGUUAGAAAAUACUUCUUUAUGUCCACAGAGGACAAUAUCCUAGAAAGAGAGAGAGAGAGAGAGAGAGAGAGAGAGAGAGAGAGAGAGAUUAAGCAUAACAAAUCACCCUAUUUUCUGAAUGGUUCUCAUUAUAUAUAGUGCAGUAGGAAGAGAGAGAAGUCGAUUUGGCUGACUUGGGCAAUUUGAGAAUAUAACAAAAAAGUGGCAACUUUACAGCUUAGAAACCAACCAAGAAUUUAAUUAUUCUGUUACAACAAAUUCUCGCGAGACAUAACAAGGCCAAUAACAACAAAUUUUCAGGAAGGCCAAUAACAACAAGUUUUUCAGGAAGCCUGUCUGUUCCGAAAGGAACAAAAAAAAAAGAAUCUUCAUAUCUUCAUACACAAAAUAUAGAAAAAUAAGCGAACGAAACUUCAUUGUUUAUAUGAAAUAUUAAGUCGAAAAACAUUACUCAACUUGUAUCCCGCCAUUUUCCUCUUAAAUACAUCUUCACAGAAUGGCACUAUUAUGAAUGUAACUAAAUGCAUUCAUCAAGGCUAUUCAAGGACUCACCCACUUAAUUGUUCAAGUUUCUUCCUGUCAUUUGUUGAAAUCACAUCAGAUAUCCUCCUUAAGGCAUCGUAGCCCUGCAAAAUGAUUGAUCACAUUAUCCUCACAAAAUCACAUAAUAUCUAAGAUAACCAAAAUAGAUUUAUCUAUAUACAUAGCCCAUGCAAAUUAUCAUCCAUACAUCCCCUUGAAAAAUCUGAAUUUUCAUAUAUGCCCUUCAGAAUCUGCCUCCCUCGAGUGUUAUAUAUGAAAAUUUGGAUUUUACAGGGAUCAAACAUGCACAAAUAGAUGACCUUUUUUUCUUGACAUUUUGUAGAUUUAUGUUACAUUGCAUGUCCAGCAAGAAAUCAAAACUAAACAUACGGUCAAUUAUAAGAACAAUCUCACACAUGAAAUAAAAAUAAAAAAAAAAAAAGAAUGCUGCAUAGAUGUGAAAAAGGGGAUGAGCAUCUAAGUCUUCAAAAGCAUAAAAAUGCAAACAAGUUACAAUUGAAAUCAUAAUGUUUGUGAAAAUAUAGUUAAAACUUGUAUGAGAUGAAGUUUAAACAGCAUAUUGAAUCGUUACUUUGUUAUCCAGUUGGUUAUCUGCCAUCUUCAUAACCAACAUGUGAUGAACUAAACAUCAAGUUUUAAUGUCUCAAGUAAAUCUUAAUCCUCACCUUCAAUAUUGUAGAUUUGCUAAGUUUACCAAGUGGUAGCUUUUCAGCAUUAUAUCCUGGAAGGAGAAAAAGAAAAGUAAAUCACUAAUUCCUGCCAAAAAAAGGGGGAAAGGAAAACUACUUCACAAAGUAAAAGAAUUUAAACAAUUUUGUAAUAUAUGUUGAAUUAUGAAAAAUUGAGAUCAAAUUGCAUAUUCAAAUGUAGCUGAAGUUGGUGAAUCGACUCCGAAGUUCACACAUUGAAAUCAUGAAAAAGGCUUAUCAUAAAGUCCGCAAAUUUUAAGUUUGUGAACUUUCCCACAUAGACAACCUACAAAAACAAAUGCACUUUGCAACAUAGAGGUAGGGUGGCAAAUUGUGAUCCCACCUGGUUAACGGACCUAAAGUAACCAACUGCAGAGAUGAAUCUCAUCAGGAAAACUGGUUCUAGAUAUUUCCCCCGACAAAAUCCCAGUCCAUGUCUGACCCAGGUCCUAAAAUUUGGAAAAACCGGGUCAUCAAACCCAGAUUUCUUGUAAUAGUUUUAAAUAGAUACAUAUUUCAAUAGUUUAUUUGAAAAAUGAUAUCUCUAUAUAAGAAUACGGUUUUGUUUCCAAAUGUAUAAAUUUUGUGUUCAUAUUUCGAUCUUGUACAAACAUUCCCUUUUUGAAUAUGUUAAACAUCCGGUUAAACUAGGUCAUGCCCUGGUAUGCAAUUUAAUCAAGGUCCAGGUUUUGGACACUUAUGUAUGUUUGAAAUCUAUCUCCUGGUAGAGCGUCUCCUGGUAGAGCGUGGACACAAUGCAUAAUUAGUAAUUUCCUGACCCGGCUUUGACCCAGACCCUGCUUCUUGACACCCCAACACAGAGCUGUAUGUUGUUUAUCUAGUAAAAUGGUCUUCAAAUUGUACCAGUUUAUUGUAAGAUGAAAAACCAAGAACAAUUCUUCCCAAAUUUUACCGGAACUUCAUAUAAGCAACAUGCUGGGAAUGAUAACUCACUGUUGUGUAAACAUACAUGUAUGUCAAGGGGGAAAAAAGAAUAAAUCAAUUACCUAUCUCCAUCAUUUGCUGCUUCAUCAUCCCGACAUUGCAUAUGAGGGAUAUAAAGCUUGCAAUUCUGGAAUCAAGUUUUGUUUCUUGUGGUUGAGCACUGAUGGACGCCUGAGCCUUAUUGUCUUUGGCCUAGUACCAACUAAGACAGUUUAAUCACUAAGAAAUAAAAGACAUGAUUAUUUCAAAAGAAUCGUAAAAAGAGGAAAUCACUCAAGGAAUUUGAGAGCGAAAUAUAACUGUUUCCUUCUCGGCCUCACUGUAAUCCAUUUCCAGCCAAGUAUAGAGCUUUGGGUAAUAUAUGAAAUUUUUGCGGUUAGACCAAUGAUUUUUUGUCUUGUCGAAGAACUUGCCCUCAAAUUCAUAGAUUGCUCGUUCUCGCGUUCCGAAGGGGCCGUGUAGCUUAUCUUGACCACGCACUCCAACUCUGCCCCAUCUAUUGUAAACCAUGUAUGUCCGACCAUCAUCAGAUUCUGCAAAAUUAUUACCAUGUAAAUUUUCAACUACUGUGAAAUAUAAAAGUAGUGCAAAAGAAAACUUCUUCAAGUAACAUAGAAAAAUUUGAUAAUUUCUCAAUUUGCGCUGGAGAUUUCGAACAUUUCAGGUUAAAUUAUCAAAGGACUAGGCAUUAUCACAUCGUAAAAAACAUUUUGCAGGAAAAAAAAAAAAGGCAAGGAAUAAAGAAAUGAAAGGAGAUCUAGAGCUUAAUCUUUAUAAUAUCUGGUUCUCGUCAAAUAAUUGAUUGAAUAGAAAGAAGCAACAACUGUGAAAAAAGAGAUAACAAAUUGGUUCAUUGCAAAACUAACUGAAGUUCUUUUAAAUGCUAAGAAGAAUUAGCAACAGGAGUGAACCUGUGCGGCAGAAAGAACACUGAUGAUAAGAGGAAAGACAUGGCAAGAAAUUUGAAGUGAUCAGAUGUGAAAUCUACUAUAAUUUGUAACACUGAUAUGUUAACUUGCAUUUUCUCUGAAGAGUGAAGAGAAUGCAAAAAGUGAGCUCAAAGGAACACACCUAAAGCUUGGAUAACAUAAAACUUGUUAUUAUUGUCCCCAACGUUCGUCUGGUUCAAAGUGGCAUCAUAAAUUUCCUCUCCCUGCAACAAAUUUAGAACGUUCAUGCAUCAACCGGCUUAUGCUACACAAGCAAUCAAAUAUAUUGUAGCUUUCCAAAAUUGUCUCUGUCAAGAAUAAUGGCGAAGGACAAAUUCAGAAAAGCUCCAUCAGUUAACAGUGGGAAAUAAAUGUUGAAAAUUUUUUAAUCAGUAUAAUUUCUUAUUUAUCACAAUAAAAGGAUGUACUUUUAAAAUGACAUCAUGAAUUAUAGUUGCAUCAACACUCAUCUGUAAGUAAACAAGAAAAUUGGAAUUAAAGCACAAUGCUCCUAACUGUAAAUAAUAAAACAAACAGUUAACAGAGAAAAGCUGUUUGUUACCCAAUGUAAACAAAGUCUAAACAUAGUUAACAAGGAAAUGAGCCUUGAAAUCAAUUUUGUGUUAAAAUUCCAAGAUCAAAGUCAUGUAUUUUGCCAUUUUGCAACAUAUAAACUGAAAAAAAAACACACUUCAACGCAAUUAAAGAAGGUGCUUAAAUAGCUAAGAUAUGAAACAAGCUGAAAUUUAUAUACCAACUGCAAAACAUGAAAGGAGGACUUCAUAUGAUCCGGGAGGUGCUGAUCCAACACUGCGGCGCCCUUCUUGGUUGCCGUCACCAACUUCUCCUUCUUGGGCUCCUCUGCUUCCCCACCAUUUAAUAAUCAAAAAAAUCAAAUAAAAUAUGCAAAACCGUUUUUUUAAAAAAAAAAAAACAGAGCCCAAUAAACAACAAUGAUCAACAUAACAGAAAAUUACAGAAUCAACCUCUGCACUUCAAUCUGUGUUUCACUUAUGCUCCCACAUUUCUAGCUGCUUUAAUUUCAAAUCUGUGUUUUAGUUGCCGCAAUUAGGUGCAAAGAAACUAUAGUAAUUGUUUGAUUCAAAUGCAAAACAUUACAAAAAUGAGUUAGUGCAUGAUUUUAGUAAUACUUGUCCCUUCGGAAAAGAAUCGCAUACGCAUAGAUUAAAUAAUUUGUUCAACGAAAUGCCAAUUUAGGCGGCCCUAGUACAAAGGAAGAUCUCUUUUUUCGGCUCGAUCUAUUACUUAGACUGCAAGCUAAAAGAUGUUUGAAUACAGAACGUGCAGUGCAUGCAACUCAUUUUUCUAAAGUUUUGCAUCCGAUUUAAUGGUUAUCGCAAAUGCGGGAUCUAAAUGAAACAAGAUGCACCAAUAUAAAAGGUUAAAAAUGAGUGGAGACCCUCUGAACUGUAGGCCAUUCUUAAUGGCCUCCUUCAUUUUAAUCGAUUGAUAUCCUUUACUUUUGAUUGUUUUUAUUUGAAUGAUUUUAUUCAUAUAGAUUGCAAAUUUCACUAAAUUCUACAAUGAUUCUGUUACUUUUAACAUCCGUAAUCACCUAUUAGCAAAUAAAGUAGCAAGAAUUAGCAACUAGUAGCUAAAAAAACUGUCAAAGUUAACAAAAUUCUCAACCAAACUAACUAAAUGACUCGAAAAUAAUUAGAAGUUGAAGAGGUGCGGAGUAAGAAAUUGGGGAACACCAUGAUACGAACCUGCAUCUCCUUUUCUCUCAUCCUUGUCCUCAGCAGAAGAAGAAGAAGAAGAACAUAGCCUCUCUGCAAGCUCCCUCUUCGACCCGUUCGCGGGUACUCCCCGCGCCUUCGCCAUUUCCCUCAACUCCCUAAUACCCAUCUCUAGAAGCUUCUCCACAUCGCCGAUCACCCCAUUCCUAUCUCCAUCCCCUUCCCCGUCCACGUCCCCGUCCCCCGCUAACUCGUCCCGCUUCCUCUUCUUCCCAGCAUUUGCAGCGGCACCGUCACUCACCGCUGCCGCCGCCGCCUCCGCUUUCUUCUCCUUGCGGAGCGCCGACUCGAGGCGCCGCACCUGAGAAAGAAGCAGGAAAGAGGGGAACGGGGUUAGGGUUUUCGAUCAUAGAGAGAGAGAGAGAGAGAGAGAGAGAAAGUGGGGAUUUACGAGGGUGGGUUUGGUUCCGGAAGUGUCGAGGCCGCGGCGAGAGAGCUCGGCGCGGAGCUCGUCGACCUUGAGCUUGGAAGACGACAUUAAUGGCAAUUGGGUAGUAUGAGAGAGAAAGAGAGAGAGAGAGAGAGAGAGAGAGACGACGACGAGGAAAAUGGCGGGGGAAAGGGAAGAGGUUUUAUAAUGUACGGAGAGAGAGGGAGGGAGCGGAGUUUUGGUUCCUUCUCUGAGAAAAAAAGGUGCUUCCAAUGGAAGGAGCAAGUGGUUUAGAGAGAGAAAGAGAGAAUGCGUUCCAUAGACCUGGUAUAUGCUAUGAAGCAGAGUACAAUUUUUCUCCUGUUUUCAUCUUUGUAAUCACCCAAACUACCUCGGAGAUGAUUGUUACCAGAGGUUUUGUCAGAAUCUACUAAAAGCACGCGGAAGUCGAGGAGUCAAGUCAGAAGUAAUAAAUGUAGGCUCUUAAGAGCUCGUUGUCUUUCAUUUUGACUAAUAAUUUUGCGUCACUUUGAAUCUUUCUAUUUGCUCUCUUGGUCUGCGAAUUACCACUAUAUACUUGUGGUUUACACCCUCUCGGAAUAAAUCAGUUGUAGCUCUCUAUUCUUAAGUAAAAUAAUAUUAUUUUUCUGAAAACAAUCUCUUGCACUUAGUCGUAGGAUGAAUAGGUUCAGGCUAGCAUAGAAAGAGCAAGUUUGCUCACUUCGCAAAGAAAGGUGAUCGCCGCACGAAAUUAACAAACGAUUUUGCUGAGUCCAUGACAUAUAAACCUGAUCUCUAUCGUAAACUGGGUACUUGAUAUAAAUUUAAUACAAAACAAUGCGCUCAAGAAUUGAUCCUGCAUCUCAUUAGCUACACGGUUAACAUGCACUACACAUAGAAACAAUUCGUGGAGUUAAUUCCACCAUAAUAUGUGAACGGCGUAUCGACCGUCCCUAAAGCAAGUGGCAAAGGGCUUAGUGAUUGAUACCCGAGACCCAAGUUCGAAUCCUAAUUGAUUCACAUUUCUUGCUAAGUUUAUUUCUAAAUGAAAUAAACGAAGUGGGUAACCGUGCUACCUAUCUCUCAAAAAAAAAAAUUUAUGUGAACGGCGUAAAUUUAUUCUACUACUAAUGAGCGGUAAAAUAAAUUUUUAAUAUUAACAUUUUACGAACCAAAUAAUGGUAUAGUUGUCUCUCCUUAUGUUUAUAGGACUAUCAUAAAUAAGCUAUUUAUGUUUAUAGAUUAUACUUUUUUUGGAAUUGAUUUUAAUUUUAGAGCAUUAGUAUUAAAUAUUGGAGUGCAUGUAUACACCCAGAGUAGGCAAUAAUAGCCGUUCAUAUUUUGCUGGGGCAGAUGUUAUUGUGUAAGUAGGGCUGGCAAAUGAGCGAGCCGGCUCGCGUUCGACUCGAUAUUUGUCUCGCUCGAGCUCGACUCGAAAUUAAAUGAGUCGAGCUUGAUAAAAAAAAAAAAGCUCGAAAUUCAUUUCAAACCGAGCUUGAGUAUUACUCGGCUCGUUCGAAUUAGGCUCGAAAAACUCAAAAAGCUCGAAUAUAUAUAUAUAUAUAUAUUAGAGCUACUACGCUAUUAAAAGUAUAGAAGAUCCGGUGCUUUCGAUUUUUUUAUUCUUAGAUCAACCCUUUUAAUUAUUUUUUAUCUUUGGAUUAAUACUAUUAUUAUCUUGUAGGGACCACUCAAUUAUAGAAAUAUUAUUUAAUCCUAGGGGGAACUGCAAUCAUCUCAACCAUACAAUUCUUCAUCAAAGGGUCAAAAAUUCGAAAACAUCAAAUCCUCUAUAUUUUCGAUAUCAUAGUAGUUCUACACUAUAUAUAUAUAUAUAUAUAGAGUUGGACUGGGCUACUAUUAGUAGCAAAAUUCUAUUGUUGCUACCAGUUUUUUAGCCUUUGGAUCAACUCUUUUCAUCAUUUUUAACCAUUGGAUUAAAUACUAUAACCCAGUGGGGACCACUCAACCCUAGGGGGACCACUCAACUCUAACUGACUAAUAUCAUCCUAACCCUACAACUUUUCAUCCAAGGGUUAAAAACUUGAUAGCAAAAAGAGGGUUUUACUAUUAAUAGUAUUCCAGUCUAAUUCUAUAUAUAUAUAAUACAUAUAAAUAUAUACUAAUAUAAUAUAUAUAUAUAUAUAUAUAGUUAUUAAAAAAUAUAUAAAUAUAUUAUAUUUAAUUCAUAUAGUUCUAUUAAACUAAUCUGAUUUAGAUUAGAAAAGGACAAAUAUUGUUGGCCAAUAAAACAACCAAUAACAAAUAAAAAUGCAAAAUUUACUAAGUUUAAACCAUUUUUCCUUUCUUCUUUUUCACAGAGGCCUAAUUUCAAUAGUUUAUCUUUUUCUUUUUCUUCUCCUACCCUAAGUGCCGCAAGCGCGACAGCCCUCCAAUUACCCAGUACACAAUAUACCUCAGCCGUUCCCUACCUUACUAUUACAUUAUAUGUUUAGAAAAUAUACAUAAUAUUUUUAAAGUAAAAAAUUAUUAUUUAUAUAAAAUUUUAAUUUUAGUUAUAUAUGAUUAGAUAGUUUAAUCCAAUAUUUAUCUAUAUAAUUUAUUUAUUUUUGAUUGCAUAAAUAAAAAUGAAUAAUAUGAAGAUUGAAGGCGAAAGAAAAGACAUGUGAGGCGGAAAAGAUUAGAUAUUCAACUCAUAAAUUUUUUUUUUUCAUAUUAUAAUACUAUAUUUCAUAUAAUUAUUUUGUAUUUUGAACUAUUUGACAUAUUUUUGUAUCAAAUUAUAAAUAAUAUUUUAUACAAAUUAAACUAUUGAUUGUAUGAUACUGAGAAUUUCAAGCGGCUCGUUUAGGGCUCGAGCUCGCUCGACUCGAAAUUAGGCUCGCUCGAGCUCGGCUUGAAUUAGUUUCAAUCCAAGCUUGAGCUUAAAUUUAGACUCGAAAUUAAUUUCAAGCCGAAUUUGAGCCGAGAUAAGCUCGCUCGAGCUCGGCUCGUUUCCACUCCUAUGUGUAAGUAGUUCCUCAAUUUUUGUUAAAAUUUUACUUUAAAUUUUAAACUUUUAAGUUUGCGGAUGCUGUUGACUUACAAUAAUUUAGUAGUGUAUUUUGGAAAAAUGAAUUAGAUUUAUUUACACUUGAUUUAUUCAUUUAUUAUUGUAUAAUAAGUUUUAAUAUUACAUUUUUUUUCAAUCACCCACACAGCAUNNNNNNNNNNNNNNNNNNNNNNNNNUAUUAUUUAUUAAUAAUUAAUUAUUAAUUCUUAUUCUUAAUAAUUAGAUAAUGGAUAUUAUUAUUAAUUUAUUAUUUAUAAUUAAAUAAUAAUUAUUAUUAUUAUUUAUUAAUAAAUAUUAAUAUUAAUUAUUAUUAAUAAUCAGAUAAUCAAUAUUAUUAUUAAUUUAUUAUUUAUAAUUAAUUAAUAAGAAUAAUUAAUAAUUAUUAUUAUUUAUUAAUAAUUAAUGAUAAUUAUUAUUAUUAUUAAUUAGUUCAUCCAUAUUGUUAAUUUGUUAUUUAUAAUUAAUUAUUAAUAAUAAUUAUUAUUUAUAAUUAAUUAUUAAUAAUUAAUUUCUUAUUUAUUUUUAAGUAAUAUUUUUAUUUAUAUUAAUUACAUAAUAUAAUUUUAAUUUCAAAUUAUAACUCUUAUUCCUCUUGUUCCAAUCUAACCAUCCAAACACUAUUUGCCUUAUUCCUAGGAACAACCCAAUUUUCAUCCAAACGCAAAAUUGGUCUAGUUCCUGCUUAUACCUGAACUUGUACCUAUCCCUAGAACUAGCAGUUCUUACUUAUACCCGAACCAAACGCAGCCGUAGUACUUUACUGAGCACCAUUAUUAUUUUGUCAUUAUUUUAUACAUAAUUUGCAUGAGAUAAUUGAAUAACUUACUAAGAUAUCUAUUAUAAUCUUAAAAAUGGUAAAAACAUAUAAAAAUAUUUUUUCCCUCAAAUUAGCUAAAGAUGUGAAAUAGAUUCCCUACUAUUUAUUAAUCAACUACUUUUUUCCUAUCAUUUCUAAGUAUAAUGUGUACUAUCCCUGGUUUUUGGGUUGCCCAUGGAUCUAAGCAUCUGAGACUUGCCGACAUAUCUGGAGAGUGUCAGGACAGGUCGGAGUCGUUUUAGCGCGAAAUGGACGCAAAACGGACUCAGUGCGACGCGAGAGCAGAGUUUUGGCAUUGGAAUCUGUAAAGUGUAGGUUUUUAGUAUUGAGUACCGGUACCAUGCAGGAGAGUACCGGUACCCCAGUGUAAAUCCUGGACAUCAUGCUCUCAGGUUGCGCCAAUUGAUGCUGAAUACCGGUACAGCAUCGAGCUGGUACCGGUACCGAGCUUGCGGGCUGAGGGGCCGAGUACCGGUAACCAAAUCGAGUACUGGUACUCCAGCUGUAAUUUUGAAUUGGUGAGGGGCCUUUUGGUCAUUUGAAAUGACAUUAAUCCCCUAUAUUUUCCCCACCUCUUUAUCUACGUAUAGAGAGACAGAGAAGGAGGUUUUUGGACUGCUGCUCUUUCUCUCUAGUUCUUGAUCGUGUUCGAGGUGGAGGUCGCGACUCGAGCUCGUGAGUUUAUCACUGUUGCGCCGGAGGGUCGUUCGAGCGUGUGUGCAUCGCGGUUGUGCCGUUGGAGGCCAGACGAGUGCGUGAUUUUCCUCUCCUUUCGACUUCUCACCGUAGUUGGAUUAGCGUUUCAAGGUGGGUUGAAGUUUACCGAAAUCGCUAGAAUACUUCCUGAGUUCUUAUAUCGCCGACAUGAUUCAUUUGGUUAUUUUCUUGCUAGUACUCGAAUUCAUGGAUUAAAGAUAAAAUCUGAACUUUGAGUUAAACUAGUAGUAUAAUUUUACAUCUUAGACGUGGAAUUGACUUAGGAGAAAACAUAUAGAUCCUACACCGUCAUUUCUGAAAAUUACCAGAUUUAGCUUUAGAAACUGUGGUUCUUUUGUAUCGUCACUGUUAGUAUGCGAUGGAUACCCAGAUUAGUGUAGGAUGAGUUUACACUCGUAAUGGGAUGUCGAGCUUAUUUUACAGUAGUGUGUAGACUAUUUCGAACUGUCAGAUGCCGUAGCGGUUGACGGUGGACCCAAAUUUUUGUAUUUGCACCAGAUUGUGCCAAGGGUACGUGAGCUUUGGUUGUUAGACCAGUUAGACCCAUUUACUUUGAUUAUAGCCUGUGAGAGCCUGAUUGAGUUCGGCAGAGACACGCUUGCAUACUCGGUUGGGUAGCGCCCACGAGUGCCACUCCGGAGUCGGGUUUAGUGUGCUUGCGUUGAUGUCGUAGUGUCAUGGUUGGACUUGCUCUCCACCGACAAUCCAGCGUGGUAGUGGUUUGUGUAGCUUCGACAGGCGGGAUGGGUAUGUUCACAGUCCCUAGUGAGUUUGGGUCAGAGAUUGCAUCUUGCUUAUAUUUACAGAUAGCUAGUGUUGGUUAGCGAUAGUAUAGUGGCAUAUAGCUGUAGAGUUUUACCAGCUUCCUUUACUAUUCUUGAGCAUAUUUUCUGUGGACUUAACGGGUGAGCCGUUAAGGUCGGUAGCGGUACCCACUGAGGACUACUCCUUUUUGCAGUAGUUCUCACACCCAGUUGUUGAUCUCCUUUUGCAGAGCCUUUUUCUGUAGCUGCUGCUGUCGCCGAUUCUGAUCGUGGAAAGGGAGUCGCGUGCUAGAUCCCUUCACUGAUUGUAGUACUAGAGGAGUACCAUCUACAGGUAGUUUUCGGAUAUUUUGGUUCAUGUACAUACUUAUGCUGGUUUACUCGCUGGAGCGAGGGAUGUUUGUAUUUUGGAGCCUUUAUAUGUAUAGUAAACCUGAUGUUUAUUUAUAUGCUAUUUUCAGUUUAGCAGCUCGUUAUCUUUUGGUUGUAGCUUGAUUUGUUUAUAGGUACAGCUAUCGCUUCGUAUAUCGAAAAAACUUUCAUAUAUACGGCUAGUCUGUUGGCGUGUCCGGAAAAACGUGUAAUCCGGGAGGUGAUAAUAAUGUGUAUAUAUCGACAGUUAUUUAGUAAUUCAACACAAUAUAGAACUUGGACGAAACAGUUACAAUGUAAAAUUAAUUACUGUAAUUUUAAAUUCGAAAGUAUAAAAUAAAUAUUUUUAAAUAAUAGGUGGAUAAACUACAAAAAAUAAUAUUUUUUUGAUGAAACAGUUACGUUGCAUUUUUCUGCACUUUUGCCUACAAUUUUAGUAGAACUAUCUAACUUUUUAGACAAAAUAAAGACUGCAUAUCGCAAAAUUGUAGGAUCAAAAUAUGGAUUGGAUUGACUAUUGAUUUAAGUUAUUAACCCUCGGACUUGAAAAGUAUUGAGUUAGGAUGUCAAUGGGUCGGAUUCGGAGUAGAUUUUUAAAAAUCCGAAUCCAAACCUGACUCCAAACCAGAAAUCCGAAUUCAAAUCCAAACCCGGCGGAUUUUAAAAAUCCAUAUCCAAACUUAAAACAUAAAUUUAAAUAUAACGUUAAUUUUUUAUAUACAUAUUAUAAAUAAUGUAAAAUAAAUUCGGGUUUGGGUCGGAUUCGAGUUCGGAUCAGGUACAGUCCAAAUUUAUAUUCGAAUUCAUAUUCGUCUGGUUUUUAUUUUUAAUAUUCAUAUCCGAAACCAUAUCCGUUUAGUAUUGAAUAAAUCUAUUCGGUUCAGAUUUGAAUUUGGUAAAAUUUUGGGUACCCGUAUCCAUUAAUUGAGGGCUAAAGUGUCGCUAACGCUUGCGAGCAAUAUUACACUUUAACUGGUGUGGUUCAUGAUGACGUGGUAGACUUGGUUCAUCUAAAAUAAAAGUUUUUCUUACACCGUCGUGACUAGCACGUUCCGCAAUGUUAGGCGGGACUCGGCACCGCGGUUCAAAAUUUCUUCGUUAGACUAAAUUGCAUUUUGGCCCUCAACUUUAAGCCUUGUGAGAUUCUUGUCCUCAAAAUUUAAUUUUUUGUGAUUUGUAAGCUUAUUUAUUUUAAAUUAUUAUAGUCGAGUCCAUCAUCAUCAUUGAGGUCUUGGUAAUAGCGUUAUAACUAAUAACACGAAUAUUUCUAAGAUGUCACUACCCCAUCAGUAUCUAAUCAACAAAAUCGGACAUAAUUGCAAUAAUUUAAAGGGAAAACUUUAAAAACCUCCUUGUGGUUUCGUAGUUUCUUACUUUAGUAUCCUGUGGUUUAUAGUGUAUCAAUUUCCCCCCCUGUGGUUUUAUUUUUAUCUUUUCGAUAGCUUUUUUGUUAAUAUUUCAUUAAAUUAUAUACAAAAAACUUUAGAUACCUAUCUAAAUUUAUCAAAUAUUCACUUUAGUACUCUUUAAUUUUAACUUUGUCAUUGAUUUAAGAAAAAAAAUGAUGAAAUUGAUAAGAAAAAGAGAAAAAAGAAACCACAGGGGAGCAAAUUGAUAUAUUUUAAACCACAGGGAGGCAAAGUGAGAAACUACGAAACCACUGGUGGGUUUUUUGAAGUUUUCCCUAAUUUAAAAUGUAAAAUAAAAAUUAUUAAAAAAAUUAAAUCUUUAGGGCCAGAGUGUCAUCCUCAUUAAAAUUUGAGGACAAAAGUGCAAUUUGACCUAUGAUGGAGUAAUCACUGAUUCGUUUGACUUUUUUAUGAGAAAGUCUUGUGCACGAUUGUUUCAAGGAGACAUUGCAAUUUUUUUUUUUCAAUGUAUAGUGACCCACUAAGCUAUAUAUAUUUUUUUCAGUUAAAAUCCUCUCAACUUUUAAUUUUUAAAUAGUGGAAGGGGUUAUUUCACAAUAACCAAUAAUUGAGGAGGUUCUCCAUACAUUGACCUUUUCAUUCCUAGAGAAAAGCUUUAUAUAUAUAUAUAAGCAAAAUUUUUAAACCUUGAUGUAUUACUAGUUUAGGGGCCUCGCGUGAUGCGACGGGAAGACAAUACAACAGUAAAUUAUUAUAACUAUUAAUAUUAUUUUUUUUUCUAUUAUGCAUUAAUAUUUUUAAAUAUUAUUUAUCACAGUAUUGAAUAAUUAAAAAUUAAAAAUAAAUAAAAGAAUGAAAUUAAAGUAUAUUUCUUUCUAAAAAUAUUUAAACCUAAUAAGUAAAAUAAAUAAAUCACUUUAAAAUAAAAUAAAAGCUUAUUACAGUAUUGAGAAAGAUACCCGGAGAGACUUCUAAAAGGUUGUCAAUUAGUAUAUAUAUAAAUAAAAAAAAGUCAUCGCCAGAAUUAUGCACGCCAUGUAAAAUGACAAAGAGAUCUUCACGAAAAAUAUAGUUGCACGAUUCAAUUAACCCAAUCUAGUUUAAUAGGGUAAAUUACUCUUUUGGUCCUCAAACUAUGAGUUGCGUUUACAUCUUAGUCUUUGAAAUUUAAUUUGUUGCAAAUUCUCGCUCGAACUAUGAGGCGCGUGACACUUUAAUUCUCAAACUUUAAGUAAUUGCAAAAUCUGGCUUGAACUAUAAAAGAUGCGACACUUUAGUUCUCAAACUUUCUGAAUUGUAGCAAUAUUCUAUUUGAUAAUGCAACAAUAAUUAAAAUGCUAUAUUACUUGGACAUAAGUAAUUCAUCAAUAGUUAUCUAAAAAAAUUGAGUUGUGGUAUUUGAUUGCUAUAAUUUAGAAAGUUCGAAGGUUAAAGUAUUAUAUACAUCAUAUUUCAAGCCGAAAAUUGAAACUAAUUAAAGUUUGAGAAUUAAAGUAUCACGCAUCUCAGAAUUUGAGUCAGUAAAUAUAACAAAUUAAAGUUCAAGAACUAAAUUGCCAUGUGGCUUAUAGUUUGAGUACCAAAAGUGUAAUUUAUCCUAUUUUAAUAUUUUAAAUUCAAAGUUCUUCACUUCAACAAAAAUACAAAAAAAAAAGUCUUCCAAUUUUCAGGUUCCAUGUGGAAUGAGUUAUAGAUAAAGUUACGUGUGGUGAGAUAUUAUGCUUGUUUUCAUAUGUAUGUAAAUUUUUUUACUCCUAUCGCAAUAAAUCAAUUUAGAUAUAGUUUGCAUGGUUCAAAAAAAAGAAAAUCAAGAAAUAUAUUUUCAUUUGGGGCAAUUUCAUCACUACCCCUCUCAAAUAUGUAAAUAUAGUAGAUACCCCUGCAAAGUUGAUAAUAUCAUAUAUACCCCUUCAAAUGCAAAAAAAUUUCACAAUUACCCUUUCUUCUAACGGCUGUUACUAUAACCAUGGUUAAAGUUUGGUUAAAUAAAGGUUGAAUUACACAAUGACUAAUUUAGCCCUAAAAAGAUUAGGUGUUAUUUUGAUAGCAAAUAAUUAAGGGGCAAUUUCAUCAGUACCCUUCUAAAUUUUAAAAAUAACAUCUCUAGCACUAAUUAUUAGUGCGUAAAAAAUAAAAAAAUCCCUCACCUAUAGAUCAUUUUGAACUAAACCCCUUUAAGUUUUAUUCUUUAACAUUAAGAGACCUUGAACUAUUAGUUUUUCUUUAUUUUGACUUUACUUAGUUAAAAGUUUUUUAAUUGAGAUUCCUCACAUGAAUUUGAUAAAAUUUUUAAUUUUGUUGGGAAAAACACUCAAUUGCUAAAAUUAAAAAAAAAAAAACACUUAGGUUGAGAGGAUAUAUAUAGAGAGAGUUUUGUUAUAAUACUAUCGGUAGUACAGCUUGAUUUACUACGAUUUGUUUUCAAUGAUAGAACUUUCAAAUUGACAAUCGGCACCAUUAAAAAUGAUAUAAACCAUUUAAACUAUCUGAAAAUUAAAUUUCACGCUUUUCCGAGUUAGGAUCAUGUCGAAGUGGACUAUAGAUGAGAGGGUUUUCAUAAAAUUUUACUUUAUUGUUAACAAUAAAUUUUCAAUUAAAAAAUUUUUGUUUGAGCAGAUCAUAUAAGUAAUACUCUAAUAUCGAGAAUUUUGAUAUCAAAAUAUUUUUAGCAUGAGAUAUGUGAGUUAUUUAAAUGAAAUUUUUAAAAAUAAAUCUUUAAAUAGUUAAUGUUGAAUUCUACUAUGGACAAAUUGCAUUAUAACUAUGUAUAAUUUAAAAGCGAAAAAUCAUAAUGAGAUUUAAGAUUUAACUAUUACACUUAAUAGACUAUAGAUCUUUAAUUGAAAUAUUUUAAAAAUAAUGUUAAAUUAUUAUGUGAUUCAAAUGUUAAAAAUUGAUCAGAUAAUUAAUCUUAAAUAUUACAUAUUUAAAAUGUUGCUAGGGGUAAAAUUGGUAUUUAUAAAAUAUUGGAUGACCACUCGACGGAAAGUUAACCUAAAGGGUAUUUGUGAACAUUUUUGGUUUUAAGUGGGGUAUUGAUGAUAUUUUUUAGUUCAGAGGGUUAUUCAUGAAAUUAGGAUUUUUCAGAGGGGUAUUGAUGAAAUUAUCCCUUUUCAUUUAGCUUUGCCCCAAAUUUAAUUUGUCCAGUAGCAUUAAAUGAGCCCUCAAUCCCAAAUAUGUCUUUAGUAAGCUCAAAAGUUGCAAUUGGAACUGACUUUAAUGGAUUGUUUAAAAUAUACAAUAUUCUUGAAUUUUUAUAUUGUAGUGUAUUGGAUCUUGACAAAUUAGCAAGAUUGCAGUGUAAGAAAUUAGUCGGCACCUCUAGGGAGUGCUGGACUGAGUUGAAGCCGUGUUGGCACGAAAUUGACAUAAAAACGAACUUCAGAGGAGUGAAACUACCUCACUGUGUGUUUCACCAAUUGUGGAUUUGGGCACCUAAUUAUGGUGAUUCGGGCUAGGUAUUUUGGACCUUAGUUGUGGACGCCCUGUGUUGAGGGUGCAUUCAGUAAUUUGGCUCAUCUUCUGGGCACCCGAAUGUUAUUGUAGCAGUUCGAAAAUGAGUUGGUGAGUGAUAUGACAAGCAUUGUGAAGCAGGUUAGUCAGCAGGUGACUCAGCAUGAUUCGGAUGCCCGAAAGUGGUUCCGGGCGCUCGAAACCUAGCGUUUUGGCUGAGGGCUUUAUAUUUGAUGCUUGAGGUUGUUUUUCUCCUUUUUUUCACUUUUCUUCACUUCCACAGCCAGAGAGAGGGAAGGGAGAAAGAGAGAAUUAACUCCAGUGAUGAUUAAGGACCUCCACGUGUGAUUACUUCUCCACGUGAUUUUCGAGGAGUUCGUCCUUGGCUAGUUUUGUAAGAGUUGGCACAGUGAUUCCUUUUCCUUCUUCUUUCUUGGGACAACACUUACAAGUAGGUUUCUGAUUGCCGAAAUCGGCAGACUAACUCUUAUUUUCUAUUUUGCAUUGGUAGUAUACGGGAUGCUUUAUUGAUAUAGUUCAGAUGUUAGUAUUGUGCUAAAUUCAUAUCUUAUGAAUUGAGAUAUUGGCAACCUGAUUGUACUGCCCAUAAUUAUUCUAUAUUUCUAUUAAGAUUGGUAGAGGCAUAUGUGUAGUAGAGCUAUCACAGAUUAUUCUGUAUAUUGAGAGUUGAUUAGACAGUGAGACUUUAUCUAGUAGCACCGUGAGAAAUUACUUGUUGAAUUGGUCAUUGAUAAAUUCUUGUAUUCCUACUAUUUAAGAUUAUAGUAUAUUUAAAAUAUGCAUUGUUAUGUAUAAGCCAUGGGGCUAUUGACUACUGUAGACAGUAACAUUGAGAUUAUGCCAUGGUGCUAUUUGACAGUAGUAGUUAGAUAUGUGGUGAGAGUGUCAGGACAACAGAACAAUACUAUUGUGAUCUUUUUAAUUAUUGCAUAUGACUAUACAGAUCUAUAUUGAGCUUAACAGAGAAAGUGACAUUGAUAUAUGUUAUGAUACUUAGUUGGGAUAGCACCUGCAAGUGCCACUCCGGGGGUUGGACAAAGCGGUUGGCAUGAGCUAGACAAAUAGUUGGAUAGUUGAUUAUGUUUAGGGGUGUAAUGUGGGGUCGUGCUCAUUCGGGCUAGGGGCCGGCCCGACCCGGCCAGAUUUCAAAUUCGGGCCAGGCCAUGCCGGGCCGGAGCUACCAACUCUUUGGCCCAGCACGGCCCUUCCGCUCAGAAUGCUCGGACCGUGCUUCGGGCCGACCCCUAAAGGAUUUUAUUUUUUUAUUUUUUUAAAAAAAUAUAUAUAAUUUAAAAAUAAACAAAUAUUUUUUUAUUUAAAAAUUUUAAAUUUAUAAAAAUAAUUAUAGUAUAACAAAUAUUUAAAUUUUUAAAAAAUAGAUAUAUAAUUUUUUAUUUAUUUUUUGAAAAAAAAAUUUGGAGAGUGUUUUUGGUCCAAUGGACCAAAAACCUCCUCCCAAGGUCUGCCACAACAGACCUUAGGAGGAGAUCUCCUUGGAAUAAGGGCCAAGGCCUUUCUCACCAGGAGAUCCAACCCCAAGGCCCAAGGCAAUAGGUUCGGGCCGUGCUGGCCCGGUUGGCAUGACCUAAGCGGGUCGUGCCGUGCCAGGCCACGGGCCCCUCUUCGGCCCGGCAUGGACCAGGCCCGUAUCGUGCCGUGCCGGGCCGGGCCGGGCCGUCGGGCCUAAGAAGAUUGGCCUAGCAUGGCCCAUAGAGCUGGGCCGCCCCGGCCCGACAUAAUGCUACAGUAGCCGUGCUGGGCCAUGGCCCGGCCCGCAGUCGUGCCAGCCUGUUUUACACCCUCACUUAUGUUUAGUAAGGCUUAUAACAUACGAGACGGUGCAGGCUACACAAGACGGUCAGUAGUUCUCACGCCCUCUUUUUAUUAUUUUUUCUAUUUAGAGUUUUCAGUGCUUACUUCUGACCGAGGUAAGAGGAUAGCAAGUUAGAUAGCGUCUCCUACACGUGUACCUGAGUUAGAGGACCCGAGCUAGAGUUGUACAUAGCACACUAUACAUUUUGAGAUUGGUUGUGCUAGAGAAGUUCUAUGUAUUAUGUAAUUUUUGGAUGUUUGGUUGUUGGAUGUAUAUGUAGAGUGUAGUUAUAUUUCUAUAAUUAUUUUACAGACUGUGAUACUUGUGAUUGUCACGGAAACCGAUUCCACAGUGGAAGCCCAUAGGGACAUCAAUAGACCAGCUGAACUGAUGGAGUUUUCCCUGUUCGAACGAAGGGUCAACAAAACAGAACAGUAACAAAACAAUUCUAAACCCAAAAUCAACAACGAAACAAUUUCUAGAGUUUGCAACUAACAUCCAACAUGUAUCGAAGCACUAUAAAUAACAAUAAAAUUGCUAUACAUUACUGUACAUGAAACCACAACUCCAAGAUAUAAAUAUACAAAUAAAAAGCCCUAGUCUCGCCAGUCCUGAUGUACAGUACAUAAUCCAAAAAUUAUCUAGCUGGGGACUUCUCUAUAGCUCAUAGACACGGGUAGAAGUUGCUAUUUGUGGCGCGAUCUCCUCACUUCGAACAACCACCGGCUCAGAAGACUCUAAAAAGUAAACCACAAGAGGGCGUGAGAAUUACAAAACUAUAGUUCCCAAUGGGUACAGUCGGCGACAACCAUGGCCUGCCCACUAUAUCUACUAGAGACAAGAUAGAGAAUAACCGAAUAAAAUAAAUAGUACCUAAACUAUCCACCAACAAUAACUAUCACGCCUCUAUACAGACACCAUACAAAGUAAUAACCAUGUCAUGCAUCAGCUAAAGUACUAAUAAGAAAUACAAGAUAUCACCCACUCAUACACAUGCAACCUAAUCAACACACUAUAAACCAAUCAUAAACUAAUCGACUUGACAGUCUGAUCAAAUCUGUGCAUGCCUAUUGCAAGGACUACACCCCUACAGGUGCAUCCAUCAACACAUAGGUUAUGCCUCCAGCCUGGAUGCCACUCCCGAAGGUGGUCUGUUUUUCCAAAAGCAAAUAUCUCUGCCAAAUCACAAGCCAGCGCUUUAGAGUAGUAGUCGAAGGAGAGCAACCCCUAUUGAGUAUUAUAGCAUAUUUCUAUUCAGCUCAUUAUAGCUCUGCAGGUUAUAAUCUAUGCAAUGAUCAAAAAGAUCACAAGUAAUCAUUCUAGUGCCCUUGGCACAAUCAUUGUAGUGUCCCGGGGGUUUUGUAUCGGAUUGGCUAUAGUGUAGCGACUGGUCGACACAUCUGGAGAGUGUCGGACUGAGUCGGAGUCGUUUUUGCACAAAAUGGAUGCAGAAACGAACUUGGCGGACUCAAAUAAGCAAAAUUGAAGUUUUGCCAGUUUCUGGCGCCCAGAACAUGGUUUGGGUCGCCCAAAUCUUGAGUGCUGAACUGAACUGGAACUGAAAGCCAAUUCGGACCCUAUUUUCGGGCGCCCGGAAGUGGGCCCGAAUGUUUACCUUGUGAUUAACGUUUGCUUUGACAUGUGUAAGGUGGUAGGUGGGGUACACCGGACCACGUUAAGGGCACAUCACACCAUGGGUGGAGGAACCAAAGAAGGAGUUUUGUAUUGCCUGGGCGUUUCGGACACCCAGUUGUGAAUUUCGGGCGCCCGAAAGUGCAGAUUUCUGUAGGGAUAACAAGUUUGUAUUUCUUGUUCUUAGGGCUUAUUGUACUCUUCCACCUCUCUAUAAAAGCAUGUGGUCGACCCCCUGAGAUGGUUUUUCACCCUCCUUCAUAGUGAAGCCUGGAUUUUGCAUCAAAGUCCCUCUAAACUCUCUAAAUUGCAUAAUUCCACCUUUAGGACCGCACUUUCAGCAAAAUUCUAGCAGCGACCUUCGGCGUUUUGGCUCGUGUGCGACGUAGGAGGAUCCGAUUGCUGCGAAACUUGAUUUGGUGGUUAGUAGACUUCUUGGAGAUUUCGUGAAGCUAAUUUGACAACAAUUGAUUGAGGUUAGUAUGGUCAAAUUGAUGUUUUUCUGAGCUGCUGGUGUACUUAGGCUGAAAUUAGAAUUUUAUGAUUUUCUUGGAUCAAAUCUUUGGAGGAAGCUGGGAUUCAGACCAGAGGAUGUUGCUCCAUCAUUCUCUACUAGUUUUGGGACUUUACUUUUCUUCACCUGAAUUGUGGAUUGGAAGGUGAGUUUGACAUUAAGGUUUUGGAGGAAUUAGGCUUAAGUGUUGAAUUUGAGAGUAUUGAUGGAAACUUUGAUGUUCUUGUGUUAGAUCCUUAGGGAAGGUUGUUGCUGGUUCAAGGUUGAUCUUGGCAGAGCUUCUCCUAGCGACUUCCUGCCUUGUCGGACUCGCGCUAGAGGUGGGUUGAAGUUUACCGAAUUUUUCGGAUUUCCUCCUAAGCCUAGAUGUUGUCAGCAUGCGUUUUUAGCUUCAUAUAUCAUGUUAGUAGCUCGAUUCGUAGAUUUGCAUUAUUUUUAAAUAAAAUCUGAAUUGGAGCUUUAUAUGCUAGUUUUAUUAUACAUGUUGGACUUGGAAUUGACUUAGGAGAAAACUAUAGAUUCUACACUGUCAUUUUCUGAAAACUAUCAGAUUUAGUUUUAGGAGUUGUAGUUUGGGUUGUAUCGCCACAGUUUGUAGGCGAUGGAUAUUCAGAAUAGUGUAGAAUAAAAUUACGCUUGUACUGGGAUGCCGAGUUUAUUUUUACAGUAAUGUAUAGACUGUUUCGGACUGUCGGGUGCCGUUGUCGUUGACGAUGGACUCAGGUUGCUGUUUUUGCAUCAUAUUGUGCCGAGGGCAUGUAGCUUAUGGUUGUUAGACCAGUUAGACCCUUCUGUUUUUACUAUAGCCUGUGAGAGCCUGAUUGAGCUCGGCAGAGAUACUCUUGCAUACUCGGUUCGGUAGCGCCCAUGAGUGCCACUCCGAAGUCGGGCUUUGUGCUUUUGCAUUGUUGUCGUUGUGUCCUAUUUGGACUCGCUCUCCACUGACGAUGCAACGUGGUAGUAGUUAGUGUAGCUUAGACAGGCGGAACGGGUGUGUUCACAGUCCCUAGUGAGAAUAGGUCAGAGAUAGCAUUUUUCUACGGAUAGUAGUAUUGGAUCGUUAUAGCAUAGUGGCAUAUAGCUGUAGAAUUGUUCCAGCUUUCUUUACUAUCCUUGAGCGUACUUCUGUAGACUUAGUGGGUGAGCCGUUGAGGUUGGUAGUGGUACCCACUGAGGACUACUUCUUUUUGCAGUAGUUCUCACACCCAGUUGUUUGCCUCUUUUUGUAAAGCCUUUUUCUACGGCUGCUGCUACUGUUGAUCUUGAUCGUGGAAAGGGAGUCGCGAGUUAGAUCGCUUUCAGUGUUGCUGCUGAUCUAGAGGAGUACCAACUUCAGGUAGUGUUGGUUUUUGGUUUUUGUACAUAUUGAUAUUAGAUCCUCGCAGGAGCGAGUGCUUUUGUAUCUGGAGACUAUGUAUGCAUAGUGACCAAUGUUAUUUAUAUAAUUUUAGUUUUAUUAGCAGCUCUAUACUACUGGUUGUAGUUUCGUAUGUUUACAGGUACAGGUACAGCUAUCGCUUCGUAUAGAAAAUUUUUUUUUGUAUACGGCAGAUUUGUCGGCGUGCCCGAAAAAACGAGUAAUCUAGGGCGUGACAGAUUAAGUUGGUAUUAGAGCUUAGCAUUAGGUCUUUGGGACCUAAGAACCUUAAGCUUGGCAAUCCUUAGGAAGGCAAGACGUGAGAGGCGUGAUUUAUCGCGAAAGUCAGCGAUUGAUUUGUUCUAACUCCUCCUAAAGUGAAGUGAGUGACUGAAGGAGUGUCUAUUUCGACCAGAAAAAUUAUGUUGGUUGCAGACGACAUAAUUUUGAGGAGAAACAGGGGGCGGCCUUCUAGACUUUCGCUUGAUUGGGUCAAGAGUGUUUGUGUUUUGUAUCUAACCCUUGUUUUGUUUUCAGGUAGCUAUGGACCGACAUCGAGGUAGACUGCCGACCCGAGAUCGUGCCGCACCACCUUAGAUGCUGGAGCAGGCAGGGCCAAGUGCACUCCCGGAUCUGAGAGAGUAGUUAGCUGCCCUGACUGAGGUGACGAGGCAGUAGGGGCGUUGUUACAGAGUAUGUGCAAGGCAUUAGCUCUCCACAGAGCGCAGCACCGAGAGUACCCGAGCAAUCAACUUCACCCCCGACUAUUUUUGAGGCCGCACCAGGCGCACCUGUACCCCCACCAGUGACAAUUCCCACGGCGCUAGUUACAUCUUCUGGAGAUGCGUCACAGAUGUCUGAGGCUGAGCAGGAGCGGAUGACUGAGAGGCUUGCUCGUUUCCGCCGUUUUGAUCCGCCGACCUUCGACGGCAACUGCACGGAGCUCUCGGUUGUAGAGGACUAGGUGAGCGCGAUGGAGAAACUAUUUGAGGACCUGUUUAUACUAGAGAGAGAGCAGGUACACUUGGGAGUACACUGCUUGGCUCGCGAUGCGCAUUCUUGGUGGAGGAGGAUGAGGCGAGACCGAGGGCUGGUAGCAUUGCAGAUAAAGUGGGAUGAGUUCUGUGGAAUACUAUAUAAGGCGUAUUUCCCAAACAGGGUGAAGCAGAAGCUCGAAGAGGACUUGAAGAAGCUUCAGCAGGGAGAGCGAUCAGUUCAGGAGUACAUUCGUGAGUUUACUCGGCUUCUGAACUGUGUUUCAUUUGUAGCUAGAGAUGAGGCACACCGGGUGUAUCUGUACGAGGGAGGCUUGAGGCCAGAGAUUUUUCGGUUGGUAUAGGCGCAGAGGUUGAGGACCUUGGAUGCGUCGAUUGAGCAGUCUUUAUGGGUGGAGAGAGGUGAUGUAUCGAAUCAUGAGCGGACUCAGGUACAGGGGCAGAGUCAGGAUAGGAAGCGCCAGGUUCCAGAUGACGGAGGAUAGUCGAGCAGCAGGCGUCCGCCGAGACCUCCACGAUCACACUCGUAGGGUUGUGGGUCUUCGGGGCGUCAGCAUUCCAGAGGAUCUCGUCAGCAGGGACAGUUUAGGGGGACUCCGCAGUGUGUGAUUUAUGGGGGACCACACUGGCCCCGACAGUGGGAGCAAAGGGAGGGCCGCUGUUUUACUUGUGGUCAGCCUGGACAUAUGAGGGCAGCUUGUCCUCGAGCAGCAUCUCCAGCACCAUCGAUGGCGUCAGCACAGCCGGCACCUCAGCAGUCUUAUGGAGCAUCACCGAGUUACCACCAGGAUGAUAGAGCGUCUGUGCCGCGGCAGGGUGAGUGGCGACAGCAGGCUUCGAGUGGUAGAAUUUAUGCAGCCCAGGUGGAGGACUCUACAGCAGCCGACCGAGUGGUGGCAGGUAUCAUUUUGAUUUCUGGUAUUCGAGUUUGUACCUUAUUUGAUACCGGUGCAUAUUUGAUACCAGUGCAUCAUAUUUUUUUGUUAGCCGGGCAUUUGCAUCAUUGUAUGGUCUAGAGGUAGGGCCAUUGUUGCAUGCACGAGAGGUGCAGAUUUCCGAUCAUAUUUUACAGGUGGUAGAGUGUUGUUGGUUGUGUCUAGUGCAGUUGGACUCGUGGAUUAUGCCCGCAAACCUGUUGGUCUUAAGACAGUUGCAGGACUUUGACGGUGUGCUUGGCAUGGAUUGGUUGGCACGGUACUAUGCUACGAUCGACUGUGGAACGAGGACGAUGACGUUCCGCGAGUCAGGCCAUGAGGAGUUCAUUUAUAGAGGCUGCAGGAGUACGUUGUUUGCCACUUGGAUCUCGUCGGCGAGGCUCGACAGCUGAUGAGUAGAGGAUGCAUUGCUUUUCUGGCGUCGGUUGUGGAGGUGCCUACGGCGCCGCCAGGACUCAAGGAUAUCCCUAUCGUCUGCGAGUUUCCGGAUAUUUUUUUCCUGAAGUUGACGACGAUGCCGCCGGAUAGAGAGAUCGAGUUUGUGAUUGAUAUAGUUCCGGAAACUGCACCAAUCUCGAAGGCACCUUACUGGAUGGCACCGGCCGAGCUGAGAGAGCUAAAGGCGCAGCUUCAGGAUCUGAUGGAUAAGGGGUAUGUAAUACCCAGUGUAUCGCCUUGGGGAGCGUCGGUGUUAUUUGUGAAGAAGAAUGAUGGUUCACUUAGACUGUGCGUGGAUUAUCGGGAGCUGAAUAAAGUGACCAUCAAGAACAAGGACCUUUGCCGCGCAUUGAUGAUCUGUUUAAUCAGCUGUAAGGAUUUGUGUCUUUUCGAAGAUUGAUCUCCAGUCAGGUUACCACCAGUUGAGGGUGAGGGCCGAGGAUGUUCCCAAGACGGCUCUUCGGACUCGGUACGGGCAUUAUGAGUUUAUCGUGAUGCCUUUUCGAUUAACGAAUGCCCCUGCCGCAUUUAUGGAUUUGAUGAAUCGAGUGUUCAAACCCUUCUUGGAUAGAUUUGUAAUGGUUUUCAUUGAUGAUAUCUUGAUAUACUCCCAGAGUGAUGCCGAGCAUGAGGAGCACCUGAGGAUUGUGCUACAACUUCUCAGAGAGAAGAAGUUGUAUGCUAAGUUGAAGAAGUGCGAGUUCUGGCUUCGGGAGGUUUCAUUCUUGGGCCAUGUGAUAUCUGCAGUUGGAGUAGCGGUGGAUCCGAAGAAAAUUGAUGCUAUUCGGGAUUGGCCCAGACCGAUGACGGUUACCGAGGUGAGGAGUUUCCUUAGAUUGGCAGAUUACUACCGUCGGUUUGUGGAAGGUUUUGCGAAGCUUUCCACACCCCUCACUCGAUUGACUCAAAAGGGAAUUAAGUUUAUCUGGAGUGAGGAUUGUCAGAGGAGCUUCGAUGAGUUGAGAUAGAGAUUGAUGUCGGCUCCCAUCCUUGCCCUUCCAGUGAUGGGGGAAGGAUUUGUGAUUUACAGUGACGCAUCGCACAGUGGUUUGGGUUGUGUACUGAUGCAGCAUAGUAGGGUAAUUGCUUAUGCUUCCCGGCAAUUGAAGGAUUACGAGAAGAAUUAUCCUACGCAUGACUUGGAGUUUGCUGCGGUGAUUUUUGCUUUGAAGCUGUGGCGGUACUAUUUGUAUGGCGAGCACUGUGAGGUUUUCACUGAUUAUAAAAGUCUCAAGUAUCUGUUCACUCAAAAGGAGUUGAAACUAAGGCAACACCGAUUGUUGGAGUUGUUGAAGGACUAUGAUAUUAGUAUUCAGUAUCACCCCGGCAAGGCGAAUGUGGUGGCCAGAUGCGUUGAGCAGGAAGUCAGUGCAGAGCUUGAGCAUGCUGAUUACUCAGCAGAGGCCGUUACUUGAGGAGCUGCAACGGUUGAGACUCGAGGUAGUGUCCCCUGGGUCUACUGCAAGAUUGAUAUCUAUUGUUUUGCAGCCCACUCUGUUGGACAGGAUCAGGAAGAAAUAGAGUGGAGACUCUCAUUUGUUGAGAAUUCGAGAGCAGAUGGAGAGGGGACAUGUAGAGGGUUUUGUUGUGGACAGUUCGGAAGUACUGCGGUACAUGGACCGACGGUGCAUGCCUAUGGAUUCAGAGAUCCGAGAGGAGAUUUUGAGAAAGACUCACUACUCACCUUAUACGAUUCACCCUGGUGGAACCAAGAUGUAUAAGAAUUUGAAGACACACUUCUAGUGGAAUGGAAUGAAACGAGACAUUGGCAGAUUUGUGGCUCAGUGUUUGACUUGUCAACAGGUAAAGGCAGAGCAUCAAGUACCUGCUGGCAAGCUUCAGAGUCUGCCAGUGCCUAAAUGGAAAUGGGAGCAGAUCACGAUGGACUUUGUCGUGGGAUUACCGAGAGCACGGGGUGGUUUCGAUGCUAUUUGGGUGAUAGUGGACAGACUGACUAAGUCUGCUCACUUCCUACCAGUAUAGACCAUCUGGUCCAAGGAGAGGCUCGCUCAGUUAUUUCUGGAUGAGAUUGUUAGGUUGCAUGGUGUGUCUGCUUCGAUAGUAUCAGACAAAGACCCGAGGUUUGUUUUGCACUUUUGGAGGAGUCUCCAGACAGCCUAGGGGUACACAGUUGCAUUUCAGCACAUCAUUUCACCCACAAACGGAUGGUUAGUAAGAGAGGACCAUUCAGACUCUGGAGGACAUACUGAGGGCAUGUGUCCUAGACUUUGGAGAAGGUGGCAUCGACAUUUGAGACUUGCUGAGUUUGCGUACAACAAUAGCUAUCAAACGAGCAUUCAGAUGGCUUCGUUUGAAGCGUUGUAUGGACGCAGGUGUCGAUCCCCGUUGCAUUGGAGUGAUGUGGGUGAAAGGAAGACUUUGGGGCCUAAGAUUCUGAUUGAAGCUGAGGAAAAAGUUAAAGCUGUACGCUUAUUCACCCCCCUCUAGGUGUUAUUUACCUUUUAGAUCCUCGGGAUCCAUAUCUUACAAGGAAAAGGUUAAAGCUGUACGACGACAUCUUUUGACAGCCCAGAGUCGACAGAGGAGUUACGCCAAUACGAGGAGACGAGACUUAGAGUUUCAGGUUGGAGAUCAUGUGUUUCUGAAAGUCUCACCGUCCAGAGGGAAACGCAGAUUCGGAGUGUGUGGAAAGCUCAGUCCAACUUUGUUGGCUCUUUUGAUGUAUUGGAGCUAAUUGGACCGGUUGCUUACAGGAUUGCUCUACCCCCACGACUGGCCGGUAUUAAUGAUGUUUUUCAUGUCUCGGUAUUGAGGAGAUACGAGUUCGAUCCCUCCCACGUGAUUGACUUCACUCCACUAGAGCUUGGCGAGGACUUGAGAUAUGAGGAGCGACCGGUGCGAAUUCUAGCUCGUGAAACGAAAGAAUUGCGCAACCGGGUUAUUCCUUAUGUAAAAGUGCAGUAGAGUGAUCACGAGGAGCGUGAGGCGACUUGGGAGCCGGAGACGGUGAUGCGGGAGUCCUACUCUUACUUAUUCGAUGCCUAGGAUUGAGGUAUGUAUUAAGUUUCGCGGACAAAACUUUUUGUAGUGGGGGAGAAUGUAGUGUCCCGGGGGUUUUGUAUCGGAUUGGCUACAGUAUUAGCGACUAGUCGAGACAUCUGGAGAGUGUCGAAUUGAGUUAGAGUCGUUUUUGCACAAAAUAGAUGCAGAAACGGACUUGGUGCACUCAAAUAAGCAAAACUGGAGUUUUGCCAGUUCGGGCGCCUAGAACAUGGUUUGGGUCGCCCAGGUCUUGAGUGCUGAACUGAACUGGAACUGGAAGCCAAUUCAGACCCUAUUUUCGGGUGCCCGGAAAUGGGCCCGAAUGUUCACCUGAUGUAGCUCUAAAUCAAAAUGAGCUACCAAAGCCAUAAUAAUUUUUUAUGAAUCCUUCUUUGAUACCGAAGAGAAGUUUUCAUGAUAAUCAAUGCAUUCUUUUUGAGUGAAACCUUUGGCAACAAGUCUGGCCUUAUAUUGUUCUAUAUUACCUAAGGAGUCUCUUUUGGUCUUGAAGACCCAUUUAUAGUCAAUGGAUUUGACUCCUUGUGGUAACUCAAUGAGAUCCCAAACUUUGUUAUCCGUCAUAGAUUUCGUCUCUUCCUUCAUAGCAUCAUACCAUAGAGAGAAUUUUUCUCUCUGCAUGGCCUCUAAAAACAUCCAUGGGUCUUUAUGGUGUCCGACAUCAAAGUCAGACUCCUAAAGAUAGACUACAUAAUCAUCAGGAAUCGCCGGUCUUCUUUGUCUUGAGGAUCUUCUUAAGCCAACCUCUUCUUACAGAUUUUCAUUAUUCUGUGCAACUGACUCUAUAAUUAUCUGUUCCUCUUGGGAUAGCUCUUCAUGGGGAGGUCAACUGGUUCAGCAUUUUCAUACUCCAAGAUUAGUUGAUCUUCACUAUGGUCAAAUUGAUCACCUGGAAGAGCAACUAGAUUAUUAUUUGUUGAUGGAUAACCAGUUGAAUCCCUUAUUUCCUCAAAAUCCAUCUUUUGAGGAGCAACACUCCCACUAGCUUCAGAAUCCUCAAGAAAUUUGGCAUUUCUGGCCUCAACUAUCUUGGAUGAGUUAUUUGGACAAUAAAAUCUGAAUCCUUUGGAGUUUACCGCAUAGCCAAUAAAAUAUACACUGAUUGUUCGAGAGUCCAACUUCUUUAUGUGUGGAUUAUAAAUCCUUACCUCAGCUGGACAUCCCUAUACAUGUAGGUGAUUUAAAUUAGGUUUCCACCCUUUCCAUAACUCAAAAAGAGUUUUGAAAAUAGCCUUCUAUGGAAUCCUAUUUAAAACAUACACCGCUGUCUUUAGUGCUUCACUCCAAAGAGAAGAUGGAAGACAAGAGCUGCUAAUCAUACUCCUUACCAUAUCCAUGAGUAUUCUAUUCCUCCUUUCGGCAAUGUCAUUUUGUUGGGGCGUGUGUAACAUACCGAAUUUCUAUAAUUAUGAAGUUAUAGUGUAUGUUAGUUUGGAAAGCCAUUAGGUUCCGGUGAAGUUCGGGAGCAUUCGGUUGUUUCGGUGCGCGUUCGGCGCGAAAACGAAACCCGAAAAGCUACGAUUGGAUCUUGGCCGAAAUCCGACAAGGCGUGGAUGAAAAGAUGGUUUGAACGCGCUCGAAAACAUGUUUUGGGAAUCUCGGUGCGAUUUGAGACGAAUCGGAGACUCACGGAGCUAAAACGAGCGAAAACGGACCAAAAUUGGCGAAAAGGCUGAAAUUUUGGUUAAGUUUGAAAAUGCUGAUUUUUUGGACCUACAGGGUCCGGACCCUGAGUGCAAGGUCCGGACCCUGAGCUCGAAAAAUGCCCAGUUUGAGCAGGGGCAAUCUUGUAAAUUGGUGGGAUUGCUUCUAGAAGAAGGGCUUUAACCCUUCUUCUUCCUUUCUCAACCCAAUCGCGCGCACACACACACACACACACACAUGAGCUAGAGAGAGGAGCUCCUCCUUCUCUCUAGAUUUCUCUUAGCUCUCCCUAGAAGUAGAGCAAGGAGAAGAAGAUGGCGGAGAAGGAGUCAAGAAGGUGGAUUUUCUUCCUCUUCAUCUUCUUCCUUCGCCCAAGAGCAAGCUUCUAGAGGUAAGCUUGAUGCUCUUUAAUGGCAAGUAACUAGGGUUUGAUUUAUAAACUCUAGAAUUGAUUUUAGAUGACUCCUAAGAUGCUAAAUAGUUGGAUGAUGCAUGAAUCUCGAGACUAAAUAAUGGAUUUUGCAAUUGUGGCAUCUAGGGCUCCAAAAUGUGGUUUUGAUAUAUAGAUAGGUUUGAUCUAAAUUGGACCCAUGCAAAUCUAAUUGCUAGGUAUUCUGACGCGUUGGCGAAGUCGGUUCGGCGAUUCGUCGAGCCUACGCGAAGAUAUUGAAAAAACGGACGAUUUGGCUUCGUUUCCGCCUGGAGGGCCGAGGCGACGUCCAAAAAUCACGAGAAUGGAUCCGGAGCAUCAAGGCAUCAAGUUAUAGACCUUAAAUUUUCGGAUUGUGGAUUGGUGGCCGUUUGGUAGUCGAGUGCGUGAUCCAGCCGAACCGGGCGGCGGGUGCCGUAGGGAGGUCGAUUGCAAGUGACUAGGAGCAAUCGGAACGCGAUAAUAGGUGGGUUGUGUUUACCGAAGCGACUAGGUCGCCUCCAUGUCAAAGUGGGGCUUGGAUUCGUGUUGAUGCAUAUAUAUGAGAUCAUGUUGGGAAAUAUAUGCAUGUUAGCAUCAUGAGGCAUUAAAGAAUUAUGCUACUUGACAAUUGCAUAUUGACAUAUUAAUGUAUAUGCUAGAUGAUGAUCGCAUGAUAACAUAGACUAGAAAUGCUAAAUGAAAUGCAUGAUUGCAUGUUAGUAUGUAUGCAUAGUGAAAUAAAUGCUAGGUGCAUUUUAGAGCUAUGAGAUCAUGCUAGAAAGAACAUACAUGUUGGCAUUGUAAGUAUGUGCAUGAGAAAAUGUAGCUAUAAACCUCGAUGUGGACAAUUAGGAUGUCGACUAGAUCGAGUGGCAUUGAACCUAGUGUUAUGUAACAUAGGUUGCAUUAACCUAGUGUCGUGAACCUAGGAUGAAUACGAGUGGCAUUAACCUAGUGUCGUGAACAUAGGUUCGAUACGAGUGGCAUUGAACCUAGUGUUAAUAAACAUAGGUUAAACAAGUGAACCUAGAGUCGAGAUUUAGAUAGAGAUGACAUAGAACCUAGCGGUUGAACCUAGGUUGUUGACUAUAGUGGUAGUAGCCACUAGGAUGUGCAUGGGUUGAACCUAGAUAGGUCGACAGUUUAGGGUUGUAGAUGACCCUUGUGAUGUGAAAUGAAUUCCGGAAUCCCUAGUGAUGUGGCCGCAGAAGAGGCGGUGGAAGCUUGCAGCAGAAUACAAGAGAUGGCAUUUAGAAUCAUAACUAUAGGUAUGUGUGGUUCUCCUCGCCCGGCAGUGAUUCAACGGGUAUGUGUGGUUCUCCUCGCCCGGAAUGCCAUGAGAAUAGUGAUCCAACGGGUAUGUGCGGUUCUCCUCGCCCGGUAUAACCUCGAAAUGGGUAUGUGUGGUUCUCCUCGCCCAUUUAGCUUAUUGAAUGAUGCCGCCGGGAUUGACUUGAGCCAUUGUUGGGUGGGGUGCGAUGCGUUCACCGCUAGAUGGCUAAGUCAAGAAGUACGGUGGGCUGUGACGGCAGCCAGGCUGAGAUGCAGCCAGUGCGCAGUAGUCCGCGGAUGAUUGACUCGAGGCCGAGUCGGGUCGAUAGCUUGAUUAAAGUAGUGGAAACCUUAAAGGCUAGUGAUAUACGGCAAGAUCUAAGGCAGUAGGGACCUUAGAUGUUAGUUGGUCUUGAGUUGUGGAACUAAAGUAGUAGAAACCUUAGAACUAGAUGAUAUGAGCCGUGAGUGGCAGGUUUGAAAGUAGGAUCAAUUGAUCUACUAGUUAAUUGCAUAAUUGCAUGAUUUUCAUACAGUAUGACAUUGUUGCAUUCGUGAGGCAAAAUCAUGUAAAUGUUAGUUGCAUAAUUAUGAUAUUAUAUCUAUUUGUUGAACUAACAUGUUGUUUGUCUUCUUUGGACCUGUUGGUCGAGCUUUUCCCUUGAGUGGCCGUACCUACUAGGAACCAUGGAGUUAGUUCUCACCCCACAUUGUUUCGGGGUGUUACAGGUUCGCACGUGAGCGGCGCGGCGGCGCGAGGCAAGGGUGUAACUCCGUAGAUAACGCCCUACCCCAGAGACUGGAGAUAGCAGUACCUCGAAUCGGCAUAGCCUAGGGGUAUAGGACAUGAAAAGAACAAUAUGUUUCAAACUUGUAAUAGAAAUUGUAAUAACUUAAAUUGUAUUUGGACAAAGCAAAUUUGUAAAACGAAAACUGAGAUGAAUGCUUGUGAUAGCAGUAGUUGUAUUUAUGUUUUUGAUACUUCCUUACGCAAUCUUUGCUUGAAUACAGUUCCUAGUUGGAAUCUCAUACAUUGUAUCGAUUGCGACGCCUAGGACGUAUAGGGGAAACUCUGUCCGUUCGGCGGUCUGUCGGUGUGCCCGAACCCGACCAAAUAGGCAGGGCACGGGGCGUGACAGCAUGCCAGGCAUCGUAUAUUGUGCAAUGAUGCCUUCACCUUCGAGGAAUUGAGCAAAUGGACCGGCCAUUUGAUCUUUAUCCGUAUGUCUUACAUAACUCACCCCUUCUCUCGGACCUUACAAUCUUGAUUUUCCUAUCCAAUUGUUUCUCUACCUCAAUCUUAUAAACUUUAAAAGUAUCAAGAGCCUCAGCUUUUUCAAAUAAGAGAUAGAGAUACAUAUAUCUUGAAUGGUCAUCAAUAAAUGAGAUAAAAUAUCUCUGACUAUUGAAACAAGCUCAGCUUUUUCAAAUAAGAGAUAGAGAUAUAUAUAUCUUGAAUGGUCAUCAAUAAAAUAUCUCUGACCAUUGAAACAAGGAGUAGGAAAAGGUCCACAGAUAUCUGUAUAUAUGACUCAAGAAUUUCAGAACUCCUUCUGGCACCUUUAGUGAUAUUUGUGUUAGUAUGCUUUCCCUUUAUGCAUUCCACACAAGUAUCAAAAUCGGUAAAGUUGAGAUCUUGUAAGAUUCUUUCUUUUAACAACAUCUUUAUUCUCUCUAAAGAGAUAUGAGCUAAACGCUUGUGCCAUAAAUAGGAGGAAUUUUCUUUAAUAAUGUUUCUUUUAACACCAAUGUCAUGAUUAACAUUAAAAUUAUUUUCAAAAGAUUAACUCAAAUUACAUUUGUACAAAUCAUCUACUAAACAACCAUUGCCAAUAAUAAUAUUAUCGAAGAACAUAGUAAAAGAUUCAUUUUCAAAUAAAAUUUUGAAAACUUUAUUUCUCAAUUUAGAAACAGAAACUAAAUUUCUAGAAAAUUAGGAAUAUAAAAAGCAUCCUCAAGUUUAAGUACAAAACCAGUACUAAAUUCUAAAAUAAACUUUCCUACGACUUCAACUUGAGGUUUAUUUCCUUCUCCGCUAAUUAAAUGUAAGGACUGAGAUUUUUGCAGUGUAGCUAAACUCUCAGUUGACGAUGUUUUUGUGUGUAAUUUAAUUACAAAAGCACUCGUCAAGUUUCGGGCGAAAACGAGUUAAAACGGAAAUUCUACGGGAUUUCCAAGUUUCACUUAAAGUGAAUAGUAACUCGAUUUUCCGGAGAAGCCACGGUGUGAACACUACAACAAAAGUACUUUUUAGUGGCGACAUUUUGGUGGCGACAGAGAAUGUCGCCACUAAUGUAAAUAAUAUGGUGACGACAUUUAUUUGUCGCCGCUAAUGCAUAGAAAAUGGUGGCGACAAUUAUUUGUCGCCGCCAAUGCAUAGAAAAUGGUGGCGACUUUUAUUUGUCGCCGCCAAUGUAUAUAAAAUGGUGGCGACAUUCAAGAGUCGCCACUGAAACGGAAUAUAUAGCGGCGACAGUUUGUCGCCGGUAAAAAAAUAGACUUUUAGUGGCGAUAUUUGUCGUCGCGAUAUAUCCUUAUGAAGCGCGCCAAAACUUCCCUCCCUUUUUUUCACCACUCACCAACCCAUCAUCUCUUCAAAAUGAUAAUUUUACCCUCACUUAUUUAAUGUCUAUUACAUAAGCUCUAGGGACUCUAUUGUCUUUUAACAUAUAAAAAGAAAUGUAAUGAAAUUACAGCUGUAUACACCAUCUAAUCUUUCUCUCUCAGCCUCAGUUGUUUACCCAUCUUCGUCGUCCCCUCCGCCUCCGCCAACUGUGGCUCCAGCACCCCUCAUCGUCUCGUCCUCCCCUGCGGGCGCCAACAGUUGCUUCGCCGUGGGCCGCCUCCCCUGCGGCUCCAGCACCCUUGCGGCAACCACAUCGUCGCCCUCCACGUCCGCAACCCCCUCGCCGCCUCCACCCUCCUCUACUCCCACGGCAACGCCGCCGACCUCGGCCAUAUGUACGACCUCUUCCUCGAGCUCAGCAUCCACCUCCGGCGUCAACGUCCUCGGGUAUGCCAACGAACCCCCCCACCCCACUACUUUAUCUCUUUCUUUAAUUCCCUCUUCUUCUUCUUCUUCUUCUUCUUCUUCUUCUUCUUCUUUUGUCCUGGGAUUUGGGGUUUCUUCUUCUUCUUCUUCUUCUUAAUUGGGCGGGCGGAAAUUUGCAAUCCUUUUGCUGCUUCAAUGAUUUCUGUUUUGUGCUAGAUUGGAGCUUUUUGUUUCUUUUUCAUUCCUAUUUUUUCAUUCAUAUUUUGAACCCUAGCUCUUUUUCGAUUGUGCUUCCUCAUGUGGCCACAGGACCUGCCUUCUAGCUAAACCCGCUGGUGGAACCGCCUUUGAGGUUGACCGCGGCCAGAAGCUCAUCUUCAAGGUGCGUGCUACAAACCCUAGAUCGCUCAUCCUUGAUAUCUUCUUGACGACGGUGAACUCUAAUCUCUUGCAACUGGGGAGCAGGAACAAGAGGAAGUAGAUCCUAAUUCUUGCUCUGUAGGUUUUAAAUUGAAUUGAUCCCUUACUUAUCUGGAAUCUCAAUAUCAUCAAGUCAUAGCACUGAAAGACUUUCUUGAAAUGCUUUGCUUUUCGACCCAGUUUUGGACCCAAAUUCACUAACUUAGGCCCCCAAAUUUGCAAUUUAGUUCUUUUUAUUAUAUUUAAAAGAAAGUUUUGUGUCGUUUUUUUUUUUUUUGUUCUGAAUUAGGUUGGAAUUCUACAAUAUCGAGGUCAGGAUUCUACUAUGUUCUGAUUUUGUUCUUUUUCCUAUUUUUGAUAGGUUUAAGUGAAUGCCUUUAUAUAAAGGCCUACUAGCUGGGUUUUCAUAAAGGAAAUCUUUUUCUAAUAACUGAUUGUUGUUUUAGAAGAAAACUCUUCUGCCUCUCGCAUCCGUCCUUGUGCUUAUUCGGUUUCCGACACACAGUGAGUGCUGCAUCGCGAAAUUUAAUCAAAUGGGUGUUUCUUGAUUUUCUUCAAUGUAAUUGGUGUUUGAACUGUAUAUUGCUUUGGAGCUGUUGCGAAAAAACUACUUUGGUGGAUUGGUGAUAGAAAGUUAGGGAUUGAACAGGAAAAGAAACAUGCUUCUUGUCACGUCAAUCCAGAGGCAAGCAGAGCAACAUGCUCCUCUACAUUUUAAUUUAUCAUCCCUUAAGUUCUAAGAAGUAGCAUUCCUGAUAGAUGAAACAUGUUUAUUUUUGGCAAAUGUUGCUUUUUAAGAAAGUAUUUUCCUUGAUUUUGAAACUCAAGAUUUUGAAAAUGAUGACCAAGAAAAAUUGACCAUGGCAGUAAAAUGAAAAAAAAGAUAUGAUUGUGAUAAUUUCCUGGUAGUGCAACGGAAUUUAUGAACUACCAUGAUUCAUUCAAAAUACUUCUAGAUAUCCUUCUAUGAUUUGUGAGGCUACCAUGUGAGAUAAAGAAUUGGUGAUGAGGUUUUAUGAUAACAACAAAUUUGAGGAUCAAAAUCAGAACUUAUGUUGAUGAUAGAAAUAUAUCUAAGUUCGCCUUAGAUUGCUUAUAUUGAUCAGCAUUAUUAGACACCCCGUUAAUUUUGAGGAUUAUACUUUUAGUAGUAUUAAAUAAAGAUAGGUUACUUCGAUAAUUGCUUUUAGACAGGUUUUAAUGAAGACUGAUGCCUUGUUUGGUUAAGCAUACAUAUUCCUUGUUUUUUUUUUACCUUUAAACCCAAAUUUUAUGCAAUUGGAUGCUAUGAGCUGAUGCAUUUGCAUGUUGCAAGCAAUAACAAGAAUAGAGAAGUCCUUCCCAAGGCGAAUUAAAUUGCAUAGAAUUUGAGAUUUACAAAAUAGAGAAAAAUGUCAGGGUAGCCAAAGGAAGCCUAAUGCCUCCAUUAUAAUGAUGUGGAGAGUUGCUCUUCUUAUUUAUCAUCAAUUUAUGCUCAGUAUCUCUGGAUAAGGAUAACUGUCGAACUUAGUAUAUUAUGACUGGCUGCUUCUAGGCAAACUUCCUUAUUGCCUUUAAAAAAAAAUUGCUUAUUAGAUGGAAUGGAUGUCUAACUUACAUUUCUCUGAGUGUUUUCUCUGGAAUUAAUGCUGCUAUCCACAUCCCUUGUUUAUCUCAAUUCCUAGUUUCAGUUUGAUUACCUCUAGUUAAAGUUCAAUUUUGAAGUGCUUUAUCCAAAAAAUUAAAUUUUAUUACGGAUGAAUUCAGUUUAUUUUUCUGGGCAGUUACAUUUUUCGGAGUAAUUUUAAAUAUAGGUUUGUGGAAGUAAUAUGUGCAUGCAUGUAUAUGUUCAUGCAUUGCAUCUGAAUUACAGCAUGGGCGCAGUCUCUCCUAUAAAAUCGAUUAUGCUUUUGUCAUUCAUAUGUCCUUCAUCAUUAUUGUAACCUAUCUUUUAUGAUACAGUCCUGAUUUCAGUUGUGUUUCAUAAAUGUUUUUAAUAUGAUUUAUGCAUUAUUUAAUGCAGGAGGAAUUCGACACGUAUGAUGAUAAUAUCCAUUGGUUUCUCAAAUUACAAUUUCUGAAAAAGAGGUCCAAGAUCAUUGAGAUUGUUGCAGCAAAGGAUGUUAUAUUUGCUUUAGCACAAUCUGGUCUUUGUGCUGCUUUUAGCCGGAGUACGUCUGAUGCUUUCCUAGUUUCCUGUUGACUCUUUUGUUUAUUCUAGUUCUAAUUCUGAUUUUUUUUCUUUUUGUUGAUAGCAACAAAUAAGUGUAUAUGCUUCUUGAACAUAAGCCCCGAUGAAGUGAUUAGGAGCUUAUUUUAUAAUAAGAACAAUGACUCACUCAUCACAGUUUCUGUUUACGCAUCAGACCAUUUCAGUUCCUUGAAAUGCCGGACCACUCCAAUAGAGUAAGAAACUUACUUUCAUGUGAAUGCUCUAGUUUUCAAAUAACUUCAAUUCUCCUCGUGUAUAGUUCACGCAUUAUGCACAUAUGUGCACAUACAUUGAUGUACACAUUGUGUGUGUUAAGGUUCUGAUAAGUAUUAAAAACUAAAGAUAAAUGCAGAUUUUUUUCUCAACUUAACUAUUAGCUUAUAGUUGGUGAUUUGAGGAUUAAACCUUUCAUGGUUUUCUUGGUUACUUGUAGAAGAUGUACCGUGACAAAUGUUUCUAUAUUGCUGAUACCAAAAUCUACAAACGAAGGCCUCGUUAGGCAUUGUUGCCAUUUUUGCUUUUUUAAAAGAAUUUCUAUACAAAAUAGAGUGGGAGGGGAUAAUGGCUUGCUUGCAACCAUUACAUUCAAGUAUUUGUUUGGCAACAAAGAGGAAAAAAAAAUUGGAAGCAACUUUUUUUUGUUUCCAGUUUCUUUCUUCUUUUUUUUCGAACAAGUUGUCAUUCAUCACUUGGCCAUGGUACAACAACAUAAAUUCCUUCUGCCAGUGCAGCAAAAUUAUAUAAAAUUAGUGUGUAAAAAAAUAAAAAAAAAGGGUCAGAAAUGCCAAAUGAGACCUGCUAUCUAAUUUUGUUCCAAGCAGUUUUAGUAAUGACUUAUUUUUCG